CUAAGUAGUUCAAGAGCUUCUCCUUCAUUCAUUGCUGGCAGAGGACAUAUCUUAUCCACAUUAAUUAUCUUUAGCAAAUGUUCGUUUCUUGAAGUUAUAAUGAUUCUGCUCCCUGGACCAAAGGAGUCAGGUUUAUAGCCAAAGCAUCUCUUUGUUGAACGCUGUCUAAAUCAUCAAUUACGACAAGUACCCUUCUGUUGCCUAACCUUUGUUUUAUCUCCUUGGUCCCUUCAUUGAUACUACUUACCAAUAUGUAGGCCGGUUUCAAGAUAUCAGAAAUAAGUUUUUUUUGCAAAUCAACCAGUUUCUCUUCGCUCGCAGUUUCAAGGAAACUUGCACCGUCAAAACUAUGAUGAUGUUUGUUGAAAACGGCUUUUGCAACCGUUGUCUUACCCAGUCCACACAUACCCAAAAUUCCAAUUAUGCGAACAUCAUUUGAUCCUCCAACAUCUAAAUGCUUACUAAUUUCUCGCACACGAGAAUCUAUUCCAACUAGCUUCGUAGGUACCACUAAGCGAUUGUUUCUGCUCAGUUUUCCAGUGAUCUGAGAAACAACGUUCCUGAUAAAAUUUCCUUCAUUCCUGGUUGUUAAAAUUCAACAAAGCAAAAGUAAAAAUUUAUUAUGCGACUUCAAGAUCACAUUAAUCUUUCAGAAAUUGACGAGUCAAAAUCUCCAGAUACUAUUACAAUUUCCUAAACUGAAAUCUUGGUUGUUAAAUUUCAACAAGGCAAUUAUUACCGAUUAUUUUUUUAUUGUGUAUAUCGAUAUUUUACACUAAGAAGAAGAGAGGGAAUUCGGCUAGGUCACACAAUAAGCAACAUAAUUUGGUAUCGAAUUCGCCAUCCACGAUAUUCCAACAUAAGAUCUCUCGCUUAUAAGUGAAGAGUUAUACCAUCAAAUCCUAGUAUUGAGUGGCUAGAUAAGCCUGAUAUAAUCAUUACUUAUACAUAAAUAAAUAAAAUGGAAGGGAAAUUUCAGCCACACAAAGUAAAGAAAAUAAAAAGGAAAUAAGAAAGUAAUUACCCGGCAGAUUUGGUUCCAACAACGUCAGUCUGUCGAAAAUUGAAUCCGGCCAAACUUCCAGCUUCCUUAAGAGCGUUUCUCCAGAGAAGUACCUUUUCUUCCUUAACUUCCUGUUCAUAUUUCUGAAACGCCUGUGCAAAACUACCACUCUGGUUCAGGACAUCUGAGGAAUCAACACCAUAGAAGAUUGGAAAAACCAUUUGACCCAGUGUUUUUCUGCACUCCAUGAUCUUCACCAGCUCCUCGAGACACCACGCGGACUCUGGAUACCCUCUUGAGAAGACGACGACGGCAACCUUAGACCUUUCGAUUUUUUGAAUCAGGUGUUCUGGUAUAGCUCUAUUACUUUUUUCUAGCUUGUAAUCGUAUUCGUCUCCGUACAUGAAGACGUUGAAUCGGUGGUCUUCUAAUGUACAGUAGAGGUGGUCCGUGAAGGUCGUGCGUGUGUCUUCACCUCCAGAACUCAAGAACACGUCGUACAUCGGAUCGUCUUUGGAGGAUGAAUCCAUCAAUUGUUACUCCAGGAUGUCUUGGCAGGCAGCACAGAUCAAAUUUGAGAUCUACAGACAACCGUAAGGGCAAAGUAAACUCAAAACUCCGAAAAGAAAAGUGGGAACUGGCAAGUGACAAGUCAAUUACGAUCGAUCCCACCCAUUUUAUUUUUUGAUCCAACGGUAUCAAAAAGCUCAAGGAAGAAAAAAAAAAUUUAACCAAUUUUUUUAAGAGAAUUUUAACUAAAAGCUACCGGUACGGUUUACUUUAACGAAAAAUCAUAUUUUUACACUAAAAAAAUCAAUCAUCGUACUUUUUAUUUUAUCCUUUAUUUUGUUCCUAUCGUUAAAAAUUAAAGUUUUUAAACCAUUUUCAUUAGUUUUCUUUUUUUUUAAAGACAAAAUAACACCUAUCCUUCCUAGAAAAAAAAAUAAAAAUAAAAAAUCCAACUGUCACCCAAGGGCCAAGAGCCAAAAGACACAAGCUGUGUGAAAGGUGCUAAAUCGUCUCACUCCUUACUUUAGUUUAGUACAAGACUGGACCUUUGUAUCAAGGAAAACGAUAGAUUGCCGAUGAACUAAACCACCUAAAAAAAUCUAUGACAACUUUAAAGAAGGAAAAAAAUAUCUAUGACAAUUUGAAGAAAGCAGAUGGCAAAUCAAACAGUAAACACUGAAUUAAAAACAAUAAACUCAUCCAUACAUCCAGCUCCCAUCUCUCUCAAAUCUGUCAGUCCCUCAAAGUCACCCAUACCUCCCUCAGUCACCCCUUCCUGACCGGCCAACCCCACAAACUGCACACAACCAUGCCUUCCCCUCUCUCUCUCUCUCUCUCUCUCUCUCUCUCUCUCUCUAAAAUCAGAGGAAACCUCAUAGAUCCUGGCAGAUGACGUAGAUAAAUCUCUCUCUCAUUGAGUCGAAAGCCCUAACACCCAUAUCUCUCCAAUAUGUCACUCCCCCUGUCCUCCCCUAACCACCCGAAGCACAGCCAUCUCUCCCCGAGUCAAAAUUGGCGGCCCUCACUCUCUCUCCAUUCUAUCAGCUCUUAUCUCUCUCAAAUCUGCAGGUGACUCCUCUCUGUGGGUGAUUGUGUGCCCAAACCCCAUUUCCAUCCGCCCAAUACAAAUCCAACCAAGCAAAUAAAACCCCAUCCAGAGCCUAAACCCACAAAGCCCAUUUUUUAAAGGAAUGGCAUGCCCGUAAAUAAAAUGAAAUUCGAACCCAAACACUAUUCAUUUCUAUAGUGCUAAUUCCAAUGCUUUCCUUAGACUAAAGUAAUUUUAUUUUAUGGGUUAAUAUCAGUUUAUUACUCUAAUAUUUAGUGGUUUUCAACAUUUGGUAUAUGAAGUUUUUUUCAUCUCAGAGUCAUACCUCAAGUCUUAAUUUUGGAGCAGUCUCGUACUUUCGUUAGUCAUUCUGUUAAGGACUCUGUUAAAACGUGAUGUGGCACUUGAUUGGGCAACGACAAUGCAAAAUGUGGCACUGUGGGCUCCACAUAGACCUAUAAAACAAUUAGAUAAUUAAAUAAUAUUUUUUGCCUACCUUUUCUCCAGUAAGAAGAACAAAUAAAUAAAAAAUAAAAAUAUUAUAACUCCCAUCUUCUCAAAGUCUUUAAGCUUGUUUGGAUGUAUUUUUAAAAUAACUGAAAGCGCUUUUGGUGAAAAUACUUUUGAAAACUAUCCUUAGUAAAAAUGUUAGUAAAUUCUUGAAAAGUACUUAGGGUGCGUUUGUUGCACCGGACUGUCUCGGACUGGACUAGCUUCAGGGACUAAGCUGGACUAACUUAAUGAAAAGUUUGGUGCAGUGUCGGACUAAGAAGCAAAAUAAUAAUAAAUUCUAAUAUUAUAUAGUUUAAUUCAUAAUUUAUUCCUAAUUCUAGAAACCUCUCCGUCCAUCAACCUCUGUUUUUAUUCCUCAUUUUUCUCAGUCCCACCCUCAUCCUCUUUCUCUACCCUCUCCCUCUCUGCCUCCUAUCUCAAGUCGUGGAAAAGGAAGAAACUUGCUCUAAUUCUCCUGCACUUGAGCUUCCAAGAAGGACCCAAAGUCUUGAGCGAUUUGUAUUUCUUUUUUUUUUUUGUUUUUUUGUCAAUUCACUGUCAUUUUCCCAGGCCCCAGAUCCGGCCGACCCAGACUCUUUUCGUAGUUGGAGCUAACGAUUUGAGACAUGUUGGGGGAGUUGGUGUGUUGAGUCGACGAUUCAACGGCGGAGGUUGUGAAAGUCCAAGCUUUUCCGAUGUAUGUGCGGCAAGACACGCGGUGAUUCAACUACGGAGUCAUCGAGCUUUUUUUUGGAAAAAUCAAACCCGUUUUCUGGUGGAGUUGGUGAAGGGAAGCAGACGAGCGACAGAGGAACGAAGCAAGUCUUAGUUUGUCCCAUGGUUUUCGGGGACUCUAACUAAGAACCUCUAGUGACGCUGUCAGUCCCGAUGAGUCCGGGCUAAUCUCAUUAAUCUUAGCCCCGCAUGAUAACAAACACUGGACUAAACCAAAAGUUAGUCCAGUCUGGUCCAGUGAAACCUAGUGAAGCAAAACAAACGGGCCCUUAAAGUGUUUCCAGGGAGAAGCACAUAACUGGUGCUUCUUGUAGAAAGCACUUAAAGUGCUUUUGGAACUCAAAAAUAUUUUCUUUAAAAGUGCUUUCAAUCAUUUCAAAAGCACAUCCAAACGAGCCCUUUAUCACCUACAACUUCUCCAACCACCCCUACAUCUCCUCCGACAACCACGCUUCCCUAGCCGCCAUUUUUCACACACCUAGAACCUAAAUCCUCCAUUUUCCUCACUGCCUCCAUCUCAUCCUUCGACUCUUUCGCUACCAUAGUUAUCUCCUUCACCAAACCCACAACCUCUAUCGCUGGCAUAGCUGUCGAUUACGGCGAUCCAGAUCCGAAAACCUUAUGGAAGAUUCCACGACAUGUUGAAUAUGGCCACGAUAGUGAUCGAAUGCUCGGAUUUGGCUACGGCGAUGAGUGAGUUGUCUGGGAUCGGGAACCCCAACUGGAUUGGGACAAAACGACGACUUCAGAUCUUGGCUUCGUCUGUACAAUUAGGCAAUUAGGAACCGAUUCUUUGAACCAUGAGGGAUCCAAAACCUUGGCGACGUCUUCAGAUCUCGGUCUCGAUGGCGAAGAUGAGCUAUUGGAAAUAGCUCGUUGUCGCGGACCAGAUCCAUUGCGAAAUAGAUCUUGGACUUGCUUGCCAUGACCUUUUUAGAGUUGGAUGAUGUUGGGUGCUUCACCAUCCUCAUCACAAAGGACGAUGUUGGGGUUCUUUUUUAGGUUUUAGGUUUUAAAUUUUUUAAUGUUUAAUUUUUAUAUUUUUUUAUUUUAAAAAAAAUUAAUAUCCAUGUAGGUCAUAUUGACAUGUGGCGUCUAUUCAUUGUCUACAUAAAUGCCACAUCACCAGUUAAUGACUUUCUUAACAAAAAGACUAACAGAAAUAUGAGACUGUCCCAAAAUUAAAACUUGAGGUAUGACUCUGGGAUGAAAAAAAACUUCAUGUACCAAAUGUUGAAAACCAGGAAAUAUUAGGGUAGUAAACUGAGAUUAACCCUUGUUUUAUAUUAUGAAUACUUUACUCACUCCUUACUUAGUUUAGUGUUUUAUAUUAUGAAUAUUUUAUUAGGUAGAUACAGGUCGGGCAAAGCAGACACUCUGCACUCUCAAUCAAGGUUCUAAAAAACGUUAGGCGCUAGUCGGGCGGUGGGCUGGCGCCUAGCGCCUAGCGCCUAGGCGGCUAAGACCAUCUCCAACCGAAGGGUCUAGAGGGCCAGAGGGCCGAAAAUAGCCCUAAAACCGUCUCCAACCGAGGGUUAGGCUAGAGGGCUCGGGAAUCUGGGAGGGCCCCACGGGAUCGGAGAGGGCUGGAGGGCUGGAGGGCUGGCUGCUUUCGGCCAGCCAGCCAGCCUCGGGCUGGCUAUUUUUUUUUUAAUGUUUCUUAUUUCUGUCGGUUACAACCGACAGAAAUAACAUUUUGAAUUCAAACUUCCAACGGCUAGCGCCACUAGCCGUUGUAAAUCCUUUUUUUUUUUUUUAUGAAUUUAAACCUUUUUUUUCUUUUUUUUUCUAUAACUUCCUAUAACUUCUAUUUUACAAAAUUUGUUUCAAUUUUUUUUUAAUUCUAUUUUUUUUCCUAUAACUUAUAUUUUACAAAAUUUGGUUCAUAUUUUUUUCAUAUAACUUCUAUUUUACAAAAUUUGUUUCAUAUUUUUUUUUAAAAUUCCAUUUUUUCCUAUAACUUCUAUUUCACAAAAUUUGUUUCAUAUUUUUUUUAAAUUCUAAUUUUUUCCUAUAACUUCCUAAGCCAUUAUACAACAUUAAAUUAAAUUAAGUAACAUGAAACAACAUUAAACAAUAUGAAACAACAUUAAAUAACAUUAACCGACAUAAAAAUUAUACAACACUAACCAACAUGAUUUUUAAAUAAAAUUAAGUUGUAGUUUUUAAAUAAUAAAUUAUGUUUGGCCCUAUGGCCCUUUGGCCCUCGGUUGGAGACGGUUUUUUUUUACAGGGCUAAAACGAGCCCUCUGGCCCUCUGGUUCUCAGUUGGAGACGGAGGCAAAUAUGGCCAUGUACUGUUCAUUAAAAUAUUAAUAUCUUGGAGAAUCUUAGAGGGCCAGAGGGCUAAAACGAGCCCUCUGGCCAGCCAUCGGUUGGAGAUGGCCUAAGAGGGUCUAGGCAGGCGGCCUAGGCAGAUUUAGAUAAAUUUCUUGUAUAUCUUAUAAAUAAGUGCAUAUUAACACUUACAAAAAAUUAUACUUGUAUGAAAUCUAUGGAUAACAUAAUAAAAGAAUGAUAAAAUGAAAAAAGAGUACCCAACAAGUCCAAUUUAAAAACACAUUAACCAUAUAUGCCAUAUAACCAUAAUGAGGAGUAUAGUAGGAUGACACAUGUAUUACAAGUUCACAACUUAGACUUAGAUAGGAUAUUUUUUUUAAAUUUAAAAAAUAAAAAAAAUAAAAAAUAAAAUAAUAAAAUAAUAAAAAAACCACUUAGCCUCCUAGCACUGCCUAGCUCGCCUAACCCGCCUAGAGCCCAGCCAAUUUGCAAGAAAAUGCCUUGGGUCACCACCGCUGAGUGCCUAGGCAAUUUUUUAGAACACUGCUCGUAAUUGAGUGCUGAGCAAAAAUAAGGAUGAGGUCUUCUUUGUGAGGAUCUUAGAGAUUCUCACAUUUUAACUGUUUUGUACGAUCAAUUUUCAUUCAGUACUAUUUGUGUUUAAUUUUAAAUAAAAUUUUAAAAUGAUUUCUGAAUGCAAGAUAUACGAUGAAUGACUAGAAUCGGAUUCCCACAAUUUAUAUCCGGAUGGGAUCCAAAUCCCAAAAACAAGUCGUAAAAGAAAUGUAACAAACAAUUUACUCAAUAAAAUUUUAUUCUCAUUUGUUUUUUGGAAGAUUAUUAAUUUUGAGGUCAACUCAUUCUAAACAAUGCGUUUAUUAAUCACACCUUUUUUUUUAAUAACGAAAUACGUUUUGCUUCUAACAUGAUAAAAAUGAAUUUUCGAGAUCAAUGUCUUUAUUUGAUUUUGCGGUUGCACUUAGGUGGAACCCUAGACUACCUACCUACCUUUUUUGAGGGAUCAAGCCGCUUGUUCUUCAUCAUUUUCAAUGAGUGAAUGACUCACUGAAAAAGAAAGAUUUGGUUAUGCUGAUAAUAGAUUGAUUAUGCAUCCUUCGUAGAAUCAAACUGGCAUAAUUCUAGAUUUUCGAUGAGUGUAUGACUGAAAGAAAUUUUUUAUAUUUUGGUGAAUUUGGUUGAAUGAACUAGGGAUUUGAUUUGAAUUUGGACUUUGUGAUGAAUUUGGUUGAGGUGAACUAGGGAUUUGAUUUGGACUUGUUUUGGUUUUGUGCAUUUCCAUCUAGAUCGAAUCUAGAUUGCCUACACCUUUAGCGGAUCAAAUCUGAUGUAGUUGAAGAUGUUUUGUGUGGCUUUGUGCCAUUUGGAAUAUGAAGUGGCUUUGUGCCAUUUCGACCAAUUCGGUAAUUUUCAUGGGAAUUUAACCUAUUAAUGUGACUUGGUUCACAACUGCUGAAUUUGAGGUAAUUUGCCUCCAUGAUUUUUGAAGAUUCGCAUCCACUAAUGUGACACGGUUCGAAGUUUUCUCCAUGUUUUUCUUUAUUUUGGACUACUUGGAUGUGGUAUGCCUCCGCCAAGCCGUUUCGUUCUUGGUCCUGUUUGAUUCAUUGAGCCUAAGUUUGAAAGCUAUGACCAUUUCCAACCGAUCAAGCCAAAGGGUCAUAGGCCAAAAUAUAGCCAAUUUUGACAGAAAAUCGUCUCCUAUCGAGAGCUAGGCCAAAGGGCUUGUGAACCCCACUAAGCCAUACUUCAUCCAUUAGGCCAGUGGGCUGGCCAAAAAGAGCCAGCUAGCCCGUUUCUAGCAGCCCAAAACAGGGAGAGAAUAGGCGUGCCCCAUCUCACUGAGACCGAUUGCACAGAUUCCAAAGACACGUGUCCUAGCUGAGAACGAAACACACCCUAAAAUCCAUGGAGUAGGAUUCUCUCCCCUCUUUUUUUUCCCUCCCCUUCCCUCCCCUCCUAUUUGAACGGUCACAAUUAAGCUACAUCAACAUCUUAUAUUAAUUUAUUAAAGAAAGAGAAAGAUAAAAUAAAGAAUGUGAGAUGAGGAGAUGGAAAGAAAAGGGUAGAGAAUCAUAAUCCAAAAUCCAUUAAUGUGGACAACUCCUUGCAAGGCAUGUGUCAUCCUUCCUCAGAAACAAUGAUGCCUCCAAAAUAAUAUUCACAUUCUUCUACAUCCUUUCAUCAUUCUAUAUCAUCUUACCUCAUUUUAUUUCAAUUCUUCACAUUCUAUUCUCUUACAUUUUUCAAUAAUCUUUCCUUUAAUAUUUUCAAUAAUUUUCAAAUGGCCACAUCUUCAAUCAAAGAAAGGGCUUAUUCAUUUAACAACAAGUGGCACUCAAAAUACGUCAUAAAACCUUAUUUUAAUUCAAUUAACAAUCUUAAUUCAAUUAAAAUAAUAAAUUAUUGAGGGGGCUAAAAAAUAGCCCCCUUCGGUUAGAGAUGGUUUUUUGUUAAACGGGCUAUGUUUUGGCCUAUGGCCAUUUGGCCCCCUCAGUUGGAGGUGGUAUAAAAUAUAGCCUGACUGUUCAUUAAAAAAUAAUUUCUUGCAUACCUAUAGGGCUAAACAUGGCCUUUUGGCCUCCUUUCAGGCCAUCUCAACCGAUCCGGCCAAAGGGUCAUAGGGCCGAAAAUAGUCCAAAAUGACACGAAAAUCGUCUCCAACAGAGGGCUAGUCCAAAAGGCUUAUGGGCCCCACUGGGCCAAAAAUACAAAAUCAGGCCAACCCGCUGGCCCAAAUAAGCUAGCUAGUUAGCCCUGGGCCGGCCCAACCUUUUAAAAGCAACGGCUACCUGGCAUCAGCAUGACGCCAGCUAGCAAUGGCUAGCUGAUGCCAGGUAACCGUUGGAUUUGAAUUUUUUUUUCCUGACAAAAUUAAAAAAAAAAAAAAUUCCAAUUUUUUUCUAUAAAUACCUAAUUCAUUCCUACACCAUUUCUCACAUUAUUUUCACCAUUCCAUACUAUUUUACACGAUUUCUCUCCUAAAUCAUUUCUUACCUUUUCCAAUAAUCUUUGCUUCAAUUUUUUCAAUAAUUUUCAAAUGGCCAGAUCUGCAUUGAAAUGUAGGGCUUGGACCCGAAAAGAAGAUGAAGCUCUUUGCAGGGCUUAUAAGUGGGUCUCCAAAGAUAGUGUGAAGGGGAGUUCUCAAACAAGUGAAGGUGUUUGGACUCGUACAUCCAAAAAAUACUAUGAGUUCUACAAAAGCACCACUCCACCGAUUUCCCAAAACCACGAGAGUUCUUCAAGAUCGAAAAAACAUCUUCAUCCAAGUUUGAAUAAAUGACAUCAAGCAGUGUUAAAGGCCAAAAGCAGACAUGAAAGUGAAGCCAAUUACUACGACCAAGUAAGUGUUUUCACAAGUUAUUUUAAAUGUUUAAUUGGGUAAAUUACAUAGUAGCUCCUCAGGUUUGAGCUCUAUUGCAAUCUCAUACAACAUCUUUAAAACAUUUCACUUUCAUACCUCAAGUACUAUUUUAUUUCAAUUUCAUACAACCGUUAGAUUUUCCAUCCAUGGAUCUGUUAAAUGCUGACGUGGCUGCCACAUAUAUGACACGUGGCUGCCAAAUGUCUGCCACGUGGCAAAUAAAAUAAUUUUUUAAUUUUUUUUUUUUAAAAAAACAUAUCUGCCAUUUUUUUUUCUCUUUCUUCUUCUUCUUCUCUUUCUCUUUCUUCUUCUCUUUCUCUUUCUUCUUCUUCUAGGUUCGGACCUUUUUUUUUUUUUUUUUUCUUCUUCUUCUUCUUCUUCUCCCUCCUCCUCCUCUUUCUUCUUCUCUUCUUCUUCUUCCUCCUUCUUCUUCUGGGUUCGGUCCCUUUCUUUCUUUUUUUUUUUUUUUCUCUUUCUUCUUCUUCUUCUUCUUCUUCUCUUUCUUCUGGUUCGGACCUCCUUUUUUUUUUCUUCUUUUUCUUCUUCUUCUUCUUCUCCCUCCUCCUCCUCUUCUUUCUUCUCUUCUUCUUCUUCUUCCUCCUUCUUCUUCUGGGUUCGGUCCUUUUUCUUUUUUUUUUUCUUUUUUUUUCUCUUUCUUUUUCUUCUCUUUCUCUUUCUCUUCUUCUUCUUCUCUUUCUUCUUCUUCUUCUUCUGGGUUCGGACCUUUUUUUUUUUUUUUCUUCUUCUUCUUCUUCUUCUUCUUUUCUUCUUUUUUUUCUGGGUUCGGUCCCUUUUUUUUUUUUUUUUUUCUUCUUCUUCUUCUUCUCUUCUUCCUCCUCCUCCUCCUCCUCUUUCUUCUUCUUCCUCUUUCUUCUGGGUUCGGACCCCUUUCUUUUUUCUUUUUUUUUUCUUCUUCUUCUUCUCUUUCUCUUUCUUCUUCUUCUGGGCUCGGACUUUUUUUUCUUUUUUUUCCUUCCAAUUUCAGGUUUUUAAAAAAAAAAUAAAAAAUUAUUUUAUUUGCCACGUGGCAGACAUUUGGCAGCCACGUGUCAUAUAUGUGGCAGCCACGUCAGCAUUUAACAGAUCCAUGGAUGGAAAAUCUAACGGUUGUAUGAAAUUGAAAUAAAAUAGUACUUGAGGUAUGAAAGUGAAAUGUUUUAAAGAUGUUGUAUGAGAUUGCAAUAGAGCUCAAACCUGAGAGGCUACUAUGUAAUUUACCCUAUUUAAUUAUAUUACAUUUAAUUUCAUAAAUUAAUUUCCUUUAAUUUUUGUAAUUAUAUUUUCUAGGUACGCCAAGCGGAGGAAUUGUAUGUCAAGGACAACUCGAAACUCUUUAAUCAACACAGUUGUUGGAGAAUUUAUAAGGGGUGGGUGUUAUUUGAAGAUCCACCUCAAGAAAGAAUUGCUCCUAUGCCGGUGUUCGGAAAUGCAUCCUCAAAUGCAGUUGGGGAUGAAUAUGGAUCUCCUAUCGUUCAAGAAACAAGGGUAGAAAAUCUAUCUUCGGGUGAAGGUUCCAUACCUAGGGCUAUGGGACGAAAUAAGGCCCAAAGGGCAAAGCAAAGGAUGAUUAUGCCUUUCAACAGGAAAUGGAGUCCUCAUUACGAUUAAUGGCGAAGCAAAAUGCCUUUGCCGCGGAAGAAAUGAAUCGUAGGCAUGAAGAACGGGCAAAACAAAUUCAAGAAGAGAUGGAUGAUAGGAACAUGCAAAGGAACACUUCGGAUUACACUUCAAUGAGCAAGACCUAUUUUGAUAGGAAAAAAAGUGAAAUUAUGGUCCAACGGGAGUUGUUUACAUCCGACUAUAAUCCUACAAUGGCGGAUGAUGAUGAUGAUAAUUAUAGACUUUAAAUUUAAGUUGUUGUAGUUUUUAAAUUUAAGUUGUUGUAAUCUUUAAAAUUUAAAUAAUAAAUUAUGUUUGGCCUAUGGCCCUUUGGCCCCCACGGUUGAAGAUGAAUUUUUGUCACAUGGCUAUGUUUGGCCUAUGACCUUUUGACCCCUCGGUUGGAGAUGAUAAGAAAUAUGGUCUGGCAUUGUUGUUACGCCCCGGACCCGGGGUCAACAGGAAAACUCUCGAACCCAAAUCCAGUGCACGAGCUAAAAAUAGAAUUAAAUAAAAGGAAAGUGAAACUGGGUGGAAAAAUAUGAAAUUCCUCUUAUAACGAGAAAUCGAUAAUUCUUUACAAGACUAAAAUAAAUAAAUACAAAAUUAUAUCCUCACCCUUAAUCUGAUCUCAUCCCGUCUACCUUUUCUGACUGUUUAGUUCUUAAACCUACUUAACAAUAGAGGGUUGAGCUUCAACAGCUCAGCAGGGACAUAACCUUAUCACAGUAAAUUGACAAUAUUAAAUUAAGUGUCAUGAAAUCAUAUGGCCAAAUAUCAAAUCAUUAUUGAUCAUGAAUGCACUUGAAACUCUUCGGCUACCCCUGUUAAUUUAUAUAAUAAAACAAGCGGACUUGCACGUUCCAUACUGUAACAUCCCACAUCGCCCAGGGGAGUGAUCCUUAAAUGUAUAUUCUCAUCCCUACCUAGCACGAGACCUUUUGGGAGCUUAUUGGCUUCGGGUUCCGUCGGAACUCCGAAGUUAAGCGAGAACGUGGCCAGAGCACUCCCAUGAUGGGUGACCCACUGGGAAGUUGCUUCUGAGUUUCCAGAAACAAAACCAUGAGGGCGUGUCAGGGCCUAAAGCGGACAAUAUCGUGCUACGGUGGUGGAGUAGGCCCGAGAAGUGUUCCGCCCAGGGCGGGAUGUGACAAAUGGUAUCAGAGCCAAUCCCUGGCCGGAAGUGUGCCGAUGAGGAUGUCGGGCCCCUAAGGGGGGUGGAUUGUAACAUCUCACAUCGCCCAGGGGAGUGAUCCUUAAAUGUAUAUUCUCAUCCCUACCUAGCACGAUGCCUUUUGGGAGCUCACUGGCUUCGGGUUCUGUCGGAACUCCGAAGUUAAUCGAGAACGUGGCCAGAGUACUUUCAUGAUGGGUGACCCACUGGGAAGUUGCUCGUGAGUUCCCAGAAACAAAACCGUGAGGGCAUGGUUAGGGCCUAAAGCAGACAAUAUCGUGCUACGGUGGUGGAGCGGGCCCGGGAAGUGAUCCGCCCCGGGCCGGGAUGUGACACAUACCAUGCAUUUUACCCUUGCAUAGAUGGUUCGAAUAUUCUAUUAUAGAAACUAACCCUCAUAUGAUAUCCCAAGUUCAUUGAUCUCCAGCCUAAAUUACCCACAUCGACAAUUCCUGUCAAUCCUAUUCUAAUGUGCACACCGGGCUCGCCUGGAACUAGUUUCACAAUGAUUAGAUUCAACUACACAAAAGAUCAUUUCAAACUACCCUCAUUUCCAUACUUCCAAUCUUAAGGCUGAAAUUUCAACCACAUCAACAUGAAUGAUGCACAAACAAUGUCAUUUCAUCUUUCACAUGUAUCACAGUACAUUCUCAAUGCAUAGCAUUUCAGCAUUAAUUCCAUAACCAAGAACAAGUAAACACUUAACUGAACCAAUUAGCCAAUUAUUAUCCAAUCACAUUAAUCAACCAAAAAGAUCAAGAAUAUUAUAGCACUUCACGAAAUUGAAUAAAAUCAAUUUCUGUAAAGGUUUGCCGUAUUUCCCCUACCUGGAUUCCAAAGCAUUGCUCCGACUCUCUAUUGCAAGAGUCUACCUUCAACAACUCCUAUCCACAAGUGUAAGAAAUUACUAAAAAAAAUGACAUGAACUUUAAUCCUAGUCAGAAUACUUAAGCUUGCUAAUUACACACUACUAAUUCAAAAGUCAUUUGGUUAAUUUACAACAGCAUGGUCAUCAGUGAAGGAAACUUUUGAACUAGAAUACCUUUAUAAAAUAAGUAAAGGUAUACUUCGAAAUACAUAAGUACAUUAACAUACUUCAGCCAAGCUAUAGAUAAAAGCACUAAUCUGUUAGUAUUAUGAAUGAUGUAAAAGCCCUUUAAUUGGCUAUGGUUUUGGCCCAAUUAGAAUAGAACAAACAGCUUAAUAAAAUAAUCUAAAAGAAAAGAAAAUGAAUAAUAUGAAUAUAUAGUUCAAAUACUACCGUAAUGGUGUACUGAACUUAUUUGGUUCAAAAUAAUAGUAAAUUAGAGUAUAGAAAAUUGAAAUAAAGGAAUUAACGAUUAAAUAAGAAGUAAUACAAAACUUUAUGAAAUUAAUAAGUAUAUACAACACAUAAUUAUAUAUAAUUAUUUUUGAAAAUACAGGUCCUCACAAUUGUUUAUUAAAAUAUUAAUUUCUUAAAUGACUAUAGGGCUAAAAGAGUCUCUAACCCUCUUUUGGUUGGAGAUAAGCCUCAAUUGGAGAUGGUAGCCAUUAUGAAUAAUAAUGAUGACUAAUCGUGACAAACGUUUGAAAUCUACAUGAGUAGGUAAGGUUUUGGCAGUAGGCAGUGGAUGUCUCUUUUUGAUUCCCAUCCACUUGUUGUCCACUUGCUCCGUAAGUGCAGCUUUUCAGUGCCUUUUUUUCUUAAGAAAAUUAAUAAAAAUAAGCUUUAAUUUUUUACAUUUUAAUCAAAAAUCGUUUAUUAAUUUUAUUUAACAAUAAAAAUAAAAAGAAUAAAAAAUAAAAUAAAAAAUAAAAAUAUACAACUCACGCUGGGCGCACGUACCUCCCACCCUUUUACCUCUCUUUCACACUCUCCUUUCUCCCGUUGUCAGCUAUCAUUAAGAGUUUUUUUUAGAAUAAGAAAAAGACUUCAAAUUAAAUUACAUUUCUCAGUUUUAUUUUUGUGGUGUUGUUUCCCAAUAGUAAUUAAGAUGACGAGAGACUUUUCAAUGUGUACAGAAAACGGGUAGUACACUACAUGUCUCUAUACAUGUGGUGAGAUUUUUAUGUUAAAAAUUAUUAACGUAAAAAAUAAAGUUUCUCACCACUUACACAAUAACACGUGGUGUACCACUUGUGUUACGCGCAUAAGAAAUUUUUUCUCCAAGAUGACACCUAAGCUCAAAGAAAUUGGAUGAAGAGUUACAUUUAAUUAAUGCAGGUAUGUAAAAAAGUGAGGAAAUUUUAAUUUGGUAACUGAAAACAACUUUUUAAAUAUAAGGCUAAAUAGCCAAAAUGGUCCCUGAGAUUUGCAUAACUCAUCACUUUGGUCCCUAACAUUUCAAAUCAAUAAAAGUGGUCCCUGAGAUUGUCCACCAUCCAUCAUUUUGGUUCUUCCGUUAUGCUAAAACUCACAAAACCUCACUAUGGUAAAACCCACAAAACCUCGCUAUGGUAAAACCUAAGGUGGGAGAAAAAACUCAUAGACUAAGGAGAAAGGUGAGAAGUUGCAUUAAGUCAAAACUAUACGUCUUCUGGAUGCAAGUAAAAGAGCUUACAAGGGUAUGACCAGCCGAAGAUGGGUGCCUCGUCAAAACCUAGUUAGGUAGUAAAAAACCCAGUGGGAAAAAUGCUAUCGUAGAAAAAAAAGUACAUGAAGAUCAAGUGAGUAUAAUUUUGGAUACUUCCGCAGAGUUUGACAAAAUUUCCAAAUAAGAAUGACAAGCAUUGCAUAUGAUUAGUUAGGCAUACCAAUUCCUCAGACAAGUUUCGAGAAAGUAGACUUCGGCAGUGACGUCGUGUAAAGGUUGGCAAGGUUGUCAAGGAUCGGCUUGCAUAACUUCAAUCUCCUGAUGCUUUGUUGAUGUGGUGUAGAUGCAAUAUCUCUUGGCGUUGACUUCGUUGAUGUAUCAUGUCUUUGUCGAGUUGAUACAUGCUGCAUAGUCUUCAUAGAUUGUCGUUAGGACUCAACGAUGGAUGAAGGCAUUGCAUGUACUUCAAAUAUGCUCAACAAUAGCUCUUAACCAUGUCUCACAUGUGGCAUAGUGAAGUGAGGUGAGUCUUGGAAUGAUUUGAAUAUUUGCAACUAAGGUCACAUCGUGGACCUCCAAGAUAUUGCGGUAUCCCUAACGGUAAAGACAUAGACAUUUGGGGAUGUCCCUUGUGCGGGUUUGAUAAGCAUCUUGCGUCAACAUAACAAACAAGGCUAGGAUCAUUCUGAUGAUCAAGGGGUUAGAUUUGCUCGGCAUAUGUUGGGAUUAGCCCAAAUCCGUAGUACCUUCAGGGUAGCAGAAAAACGUCUUUAUUACCAAUUCAGUGGUUGCAUGUAGGCGCGAUGCUACAUCUUUACUAAUAGAUCAACAUCGAAUGAGAUAUCAUGUCUAACAUAAUGAGCUAAGUACAACAAAGCGUAAAGUUGAACUUAGAUAUGGAACUUUAGAUUCCAUAACCUCUUCAAGGGUCUCAUUUGCAUAUAGCGUAUGGAAGAUCAUAGGUAUACUCAAAAGAUAACACCUUUGGGGUGUAGUUCGAUUGGUAGACCAAAAUAUCAUCAAAACACAAAACAACGCUUGAACUUCAGGUCAAGGCAUAAACGAGUUUUCCUAAGAUCCUCAUCUCCAUUUCCAUCUUUAGGUGUUAGGCAGUUUUCUCAAGCUCUUCUAGAGUCUUAAUGAGAUGCAUGUCAUCGACAUAAACUGUAACUCUAGCAAUUCAGAAUAUGACUUCGUAGUUUAACACGCAAUGGCAUAAUUCAUAUCUCUAAUUGAUCAAACAAUCACUUUGACAGGUAUACCAUAUCUGUCGAAUUGCUUCAAUCCGUAAGUGAACACCUCAAACAAGUUGAGAGGGUGUUCCGUAGUCUAACUAUUUGAACUAGUUCAUGUAAUUAUUCGAGAACUUACAUGUCAAUCUCCGUAUCAAUAUUCCUAUCGAGAAACACUAACCACAUUCAUAAUUCUACAGUCAAUCACAGGGCGUUUGAGAGAAACAUUGCGCUGAAAGUAAUGCUAUCUCAUUCAUCUCAUUACAUUUCUUUUCCUACUUGUAACACAACAGGGUUACCUUGGACAGUGUAGGAACGAAAAGUCCAAACACAUUUUGGUAAGGAAUUUAACCUAGAUUGAAAUCUUGGUUGUCCGAUUAGUUUUACGUUGUCAUUAAUCAACUGAAUGUAAUUCAAAAUUGUCGUUUUUCAUUUAUGUCCGUAGCUACCAUAUAAGUGAAAACAUCAUCGAUGAUAAUCUCAUUCCAAUUCCAUAUCUCAUCCAAACUAGUAUACUAGACCAAGAACUUCAAGUCUCAGGAGUAAUCCGGAUUAAUCUUUUGAGGUGAAAAUUAUUUGAGACAACGAUCAAUUAUGGAUUUAUGUUGUGUCGUGAUCUUCCUCUUCUAGGGAAGUGAAUCUUAUGAACCGAGUAAUACGUCGUGCUUCAAGCCAAGAACGGAUUGAUUGACUAUCUGCCAGGGUACCAAGUUGCCCAACAUGGGCAGCCAACACCCUUUAGGAAUGUUGACUUAACGUCUGUUAAGUACAUCUAUCCUUGCAUGCAUGUUUGCAGCUGGCAUAUGAUCUUGUCACUUUAGCUAGAUCAAAGGAAUGCGUCUAGAGCAACAUUCUGAAAGUUAGAAUACAUCACACAUACUUAUCACACUUGUGUGGAUAUGAGACAUAGUGGGCAACGUGCACGCGAAUUUGCUUCGUUCUACAGGAACUUUGACGUUCUUAUCUCCCUCUAAUAGCGAGAAGACUGUCUCAUUCAAGUGACAAUUCACAAAAUGAGCGAUAAGGAGAUCGCAUGCAAAGGUUGUAAAGAGCUAGUGCGAAGGAAAAUCAUAAUCAACAAAGAUUCACAUCCUUCUUUAAGGAACCAUGUUGGUAUGUUGCGGUGGUGCAAACUUGGCACAUGGAAUGCACACCCAAAUGUGUAAGUAUGGAACGUCAGGUUCGUACCUAGUAACCAACUGUAACAUCGAAUAGGUUAGGUGGCAAUGGCCUCAAAGCAAAUCAACAUAGUUGUGUACAUGAUUGCAUAGCUCUAGAAAUCAAUAGCUUGGUGUGUUCACCAAGGUCCAACGAUCAAUUAAACUGCGCUUUAUGAUCACUCUGCGAGGCUGUUUUGGGGUGAACAUGGGAAUUCAAUGUCCAAUUAUAAACCCAAAAAAAAAUGCAAUACUUCUUGAAAACCUUCGAUAUAAACUUUCUAGUAUUAUCCAGUGUUCUAGACUUUAUGGGAUAAUUAGGGUGGUGGUGCCUUAAAAUUGGCCAAGAGGUUUAGCUGCAGUGUGUGUGGACAAACAUGUGACCAGUUUGUCGAUUCAUCAACCAAAACCAUAAGUAUUUAUAUUGUCCACAUUUUGGUUGGAUUAGUCCACAUAUAUUUCCUUGAAUCCACUAUGAAAAGAAGGCCAUUUCGUAUCUUUGCUAGGGAUGAUUUAGAAAAUCAAAUUUCCCAAACGAGUAAGUUUGGCAAAGUGUGUGCUUGUAAACAUAAGAUCCUUACUUUGGGCAAGGAGAUUCUUCGUGGCAUCAUUGUUCGACCUAAGUUUACCAAACGGUCGUGCCAAGGCAAGUAAACUGCUCGAAUCACCCACCUCUAAGUCGGCUACACAUGGCGUAUCCUAGUGGGGAGGUAGCCUAUUGGCCCUAAAAUAAAACUUUAGGCUCAUUUUGGGGGUGAUGCAAAGACAUUCCACUCUAUGUUUCAUCAAUGGUUUCAUUCAUGAUCAUUGUUCUCUCGAAUAUCCUAAAGACUCAAUGAUUUUCUUCUGGAAUGAGGAGAACAUAAGGUCUCUUAAAUGGUAAUUUAGUACCAUUUAUACAAUGAGAAGCAUGCCAAUGCUCUUAAUUAGGUUGGAUAAACCUGAAGUCGUUGUUAAAGAUGUGAUUUAGGUAUAUAGUUAGUGUGCGUAGUGUCGCAUUCAUCCAGACAACUAACUUUCCCACAUUCGUACCUAAUCACGUUUUUAAUUGAAUUCGGUUAGAAACAUUAUUCAAUUAACUCAUAUUCGAGGACAAUAUCGAUAAGAUUAUCCACAAAGUAAACCAAAGUUACUAAAGAGAUUCUCCCAACAAGGUCAUCCAUGUCAAAAUUCUGGAGCAAAAUUAGUCUCAGAUAUUGAUUACGAGAAUGGUACUCCUUAACGAUAUUGGUAGGGGCAUGAAAAGGUGCAUAACCAAUGAAUCUAUUCCACCAAGACGGAAGUAGAUUCUGCAAGGUUGAGGUUUGGGAACACUAUCCCUUAUUCUUGAAGUUUUAGGUCUUAGAGAGUAUCCUACGCACGUUUGGUGACUUUUAUCAUGGCAUUUAUGAUGAUCAGUUUCUCUUUAUUUGCAAUGGUAUGCAGGCCCUCGUUGAUCUUAAGAAUCUUCUACAACUCAGGACAAUCGCAAUUCUCGAGCCUCUCGUUUUUAAGAACUUUUGUGGGCUGGAUGGUGCCUUGGAGAUAUUGAGGCAGCGACUACAGGGUUUAAUGGUGGUGGAAGACCACAGAGAUUAUGCUAUGGAUGUGCAAAGCAUCCGCAAUGAAGUGCAGCAGAAUUUUGAUAGAAAGCUGGAAGAGGUGGUUGCUAAACUUGUUUUGGGUAGCAAUCUGUUUAGAAAUUUACUUUUGGUCGUAACUACCAUCCUAUUAUUUUCUUUUACUUAGCGUCUUAUGGAAAUGACAGGUAAAGCAAAAGGGUGGCCAGGGGAAGACUGAAAUGCAUAUGUGAGUCUUUCGGCCUCCAAAAUGGUGGAUUGACGUAACAAAGCCACCAGCUGGUUCCGUAAACAACAUUACAUACUUGGGUACAUCUGGUGCGCUUGUAAUUUAUGUAUUGCUCUUGAUCUUGGAUCUGUACAUAGCGAACAAUUGGAAAUCUAGUCUCUUUCCCCAUAAGGGAAACUAAGGUAGGCUUUGGUUGUAACUUGUAGUCAUAAAUUGAUAGGUGAAACUUCAGGGGAAGAAAUGUUAUAUGUUAUACUAUCUUCUUGGAAAAUGAAUUUAUCUUGGCAGUCAGCUUAUCCAAGCAUCUUCGGUGAAAAUGAAGUUUUGUUGUGAAAGUAAUUGACGAUUAGCAAACUAGUUUAUAUGCCUGUGUAAGAUUAGUGGGGGUGAACAUGCUAUGAUUGCGUGAUGGAAGUUAAAUUUUCGCUCAGUAACUAAUAACCCAUGUAUCAUGGUGAAUGGGGAGGAGUAGUUCAACUCCUUAGAAGCUUUCUUUAACUUCUCAACGUACGAUAAUUCCAUAUUCUCACAGAAACAGCAUGUAGAAGCAACAAAGAAAGUUUUGAAGUGAUACUUCUACAGUUUGAUACAAGAGUAAGACUCUUUCAUGAAUGAAGUAGGUGAACAAUUCUUGUUGAACUAUUAAAUAGCAAUUUUUCUCUUUGGUACCUAAAAACACGGACUAUCGUUGCAUGAUUGAUUGCUGGAUUUGAUCUAAAAACUUAAAAGUUUAACCUUUGGAUAUGAUGCUACUGUUCAGGCUAGAUCUGUCCCUCGCACAGCUCCUUGGAGCUCUUGCUUGUCAGGCAAGGUUUGCUGCAAUAUGAACUUGCUGUUAGUUUGAAUGGUGCCUUUGUAGGGCCUUUGUUAGGUCGAGUCAUUUGACAUGAUUAAUGAAAUUGAUUGAGUUAGGGUUGAUUAGAAUUUGGGAUGGACACAAAGCGAGGAAUAGAGAGCAGGAAAAUUUGAAAUUGAAGAUCAAUUAUGUGAAGAAUAGUGCUAACUGUGAGAAUGUGAGGACAAAUAUAGGUGAGCGACCAAACUAUGCAAAGGGCUUAUAAAAGGCUGAGUUGCUCUUCAUAUUAUCAAUAAGUUUUAUGAUGGAACCUUAGCUUUCUUCAUGGUAUCCGAAUAGGUUGACCCACGUGUAAAGCCCAAUAGCCACAUGUGCUCACAUCACCCUAUUUGUAUUAUCCACGUGUUAGGCUUGAAAAUUCGUCACACAUGAGGGGGCAUGUGAGAAUGUGAAGACAAAGUCUCACAUUGGUAAGGGAACAAACCAUACAAGGGCCUAUAAGAGGUGGGACUAUUCCCUAUAUAAUAUAUUGCUAAUUAGUUUUAUGGUGAAAUCUCAACUUUAUUCAGUAAUAGUGCAUGAAGAUGAUGAUAUCAUAAAAAUUAUUAGUGGAGCGUGAGAGGGCUUUCUUAAGUUUAGGAGAGAUAACUAAUAAUGUUUCAAUAGAGAAAAAUAAGAUUUGAUAGAAGAAUUGUAAUAGCCAUGUGGAGCUAGGUGUAUGGAAAGGGAAUUUAUAACCCUUUUGGGGAAAGUAUGGGGGAAUUUUAGUUAUAUAAGGUUUUCUGGUCGAGUGAGUAUUGAAAUAAUUUUUCAGACUCCAUUAAGUUUCAGGUGACUGAUUGUUUACUUCAGUGGUAGUCCAGAGUUCAUGCCCUACGCUAACAGUUUGGGGCAGGACAAUUUUGAUGUGGUGAUUUACAUUUAUGAUAUUUAAAAUCAAUAAAAUUGGUUUGUUAACAAUCAAUCAUUUUAGUCAUUUCAUAAAAAAAUUUCGUUAAAUAAAAAUAAAAUAGCAAAAAUACCAUCAAUUUUUGUCAAAUUAUUUUGGCAUAUUAUUUAUUAAAUUGAAGAGUAUUUUUUUCUCAUUUUGGUCCUUAUUUAACAGAAAUUUUCACGGAAUGACCAAUAUGAUUGAAACUGGACAAACUCAGUAACCACUUCUGUUGCUUUCAAAUCUUAAGGACUAAGUGAGGAGUCAUGACAAUCUCAAUAAUCAUUUUAGCUAAAAAGCUGAAGGUAAAAGCCCAAGAUAAUAUUACCCUUUACCCUUUAAUUUUAAAAAACUUGAAAGGAAAGGGGGCUCAAAAAAAUAAUUUUAAAUUGGAAAACAAAAAUAAAGCAAAUUUGAGGUUCAAAUAGAACCAUCAUAAUUCAUUUGUUUUCUAUUGGAAAAAGGUUUUUUGCCAUCUUGGUCUGUGUUUAACUAGCUUUCUUCUAGUUGAAACCUAAUUUCCCUAAUUCUCUAAUACAUUAGUUUCAAAUGUUUUUUUUUUUUCCCGUCAUUCCUGUAAUCCCAGAUUUAUUUCAAAGUAUUUAGAUUUUUGUAACAAAUGUAUAGUUAUAAUAACUUAUUUACAACUUAAAAUCCAGCCAUCUAAACUUGCAAAUUGUUGCAGCCAUGAGGCUCGUUAAUUAUUUUUUAAUAUUUUUUUUCACUGUUUUCCUAUAUGAUAAAGGGUGGUGCAAUCUACACACCUAACUUUACCUCUCACAUAUCCCUUGUUAAUUACUGUCCUUUCUAUUUUUCAAUUCAUUCGAUCAAUUUCAACUGUACAAUACACAAGCAAAACACAAAAGCGAAUACACCAAUUCUGGUUGAUUUCUUAAGAGAGAGUCAUCAUCCAAACCAGAGUAGUGCUAAAGACUAAUUGGAAAACUAAUCAUUGUCCGUACAACCAACAAAAUCACACUCCCAAAUAGGUUACAAGCAUUCAUCCAAGUUCCAACUAGUACUAGAGAGCAGCAACAGUCUAGAACUCCCAUUUCUUCAUGUCCACGCCGACCGGAGCACUUCCCUCAACCUUUUGUUUCCCACUUCCUUACAGUUUGUCUAAGUCAUUGUCCUGUUCCACUCCCCACAGCAUGUCUUGUCUCCACAGAGCACUUCCCUCAACCUCUUGUUUCCCACUUCCUUCCAGUUUGUCUAAAGCACUGUCCUGACUUCCCUCAGCAUGUCCUGUCUCCUCGGUGCCCUUUUUCGUCUGUAUUCGAAGAGGUGAUAAUUUUCCGCACCUCCAUUAAGUUCUUCCCGCCGCAUCGCUUAGUCUACCCUUUUUCGUUUCGGGGAUGGGUAGUACGGGCUUGACGCUCCAACAACUGGGCUACUGACCCUUAGUGGAACAGAGUUGUCCUCGCUGAAUUCAAGAGAUGUCCAGUGUAAUGGUUCAGCUUUAGCCAGGCGAAUUUCAACUUUGGUGGACAGAACGUCAAAUCUGCACUUUUCAGGCAUUAUCUUUCCAAAUAAGCGAGGCUGAAAAUAAUAUGUAUCUUCACCAGCAACAUCAAUGCUAACACUUAGUAUUUGUUCACCAAAGUCAACAUUAACGUCUUUGGCUGGUAUGCCCUUGGCGAAUAUAGUCACAACCACUUCUUCUGGCUUCUGGUAGAAUUCAUGCCUGUACUUUGGGUUGACAGAUGCUACGGCCAACUCGAAGGGGCCAUAGAUGAACGCCUCCUUUGCACGCUUUUUGAGAUCAGAAGCCAUGGGCGGACAACGGUCCAUGUGGACUGAGGGAGAUGUAAGAGUCUAGAUAAAAAGUAUACAACUAUGGUUAAUUGUUGAUUUCUUUACAUCUUUGAGAUAAGAAACUAAAUACAAUUUAUGGUAUUUAAUAAAAUACAAAAUACGUUGAUUAAUUAAUAAAUUUUUAAUUUAUCGAUUAUUUAAUAUUUUGCUAAAUAAUUGUCUUCCUGGGUCUCGAGGCUAUUAAUUUAAAGAAGUUUAAUUAUAUAGAAAACCAAAAAUAAAAACAGAACAAAAUAUAAAAAUAACCAAACCUAAACUUAGGUGCUAAAAUUUGGCAAAUAUACGAUAUAACUCUAAUAAUUUCGGAAGUACAAACCUCGUCUGAUGAAGUAUUGCUUGGUACGGCACCAAUCUCGUCAUUCCUAGAGUAUGAGUCACCACCAUCACCAUCAUCCCAGACUAGAUUAACUCCUGUUUUCAUUGCUUUCGCUCUCCAACCUGUAACUGCAGAAAUCGAGACUUCGUCCCCACUUUGCAAAGGGAAUACAUCAUUUGAUAAUACACUUUGCAAACGGAGUACACUAUUAGCGAAACCGAGUGUAUAUUCUCCCGGGAUGUGCAAAGUCUUACCCUUGGUAAUAUUUGUAACAGUAAAUCCAGGACAAUACGUUUUGAAAACACAGCAGAGAGUCAAUCCUCUAAAAAUUACGACCAAUAAUUUGAGGCACUUUAAAAUGAACACCAUUGGACUCAUGAAUACCAACAAACUGGAACCACUCUGGAUUAUCAUAAACUCCAUUGAGAAAAAUGCCACCAUGUCCGCAAGAAGUCCAUCCCUAGAUCAUACCAUGUAAAGCCAGAUUAAUUUGUAGAAGCAAUAGUCUUAAUUAUGCAUGCGUGUCAUCAACAGUGCCUCUGUGGGCGUGUGAUAGAAAGUGCAAGAGAAUAUAGCUCUCAGAGAGAGAUCUGUAGGAUGUUCUUCCUAAAACUCAGCAUGUACACGUCAUUCUUAUGCAUAAGUAAUAUAUUCUUGUACAUGCAUGUCUUAUGCGUGUAUGUGUGAGAGAGAGAGAGACCUGUAUGAUGUUCUUCCUAAAAGCAGCAGUGAGAUCGGUGCAGCCUUCCAUAUGAAUCCUCCUCAUAGUGUUUAACGACUUAUGCAAGCCUAGAAUCUCAGUGAGUUCGGGAGAGCAAUUCAGAUGCAGUUCUACCAUACUCGACAUUUCUGAAAAAUUUGGCAUUUUUUCAAGUGCAAUGCACUGAUUCGCUCUCAAGAUUUCCAAAUUUGUUGGUAAAUUCGGGAUUUCAUGAAGACACAUGCAAAAACUCAAAUCUAACAUUUUAAGCUUGGAGAGUCGACUGAGGCUCGGUAGGCUAUAAAACAAAUUGCCAGCAAGCUCCAAUAUUUCUAAAGAAAAUAGACUCCCAAGAUCCUUAGGGAUUGCAUCAUCAGUUAAACCGCAGUUUCCAAGAUCUAAAAGUGUCAAAGAAUUUAAGCCAUGCAAUGAAAGGAGCACAGAUCUCAGGUUCUUCAAUCCUGCUAUCGAGGAUGGUAAUUUCCUUGUCAUUGUAUGGCUUGCUUGAGGUGUUGUCGAUGAUACCAUCUCCCCCUUGUCCUUCAGUUUUAUAAAUCCUGUACAGCCUUUAAGAAUAAGAGUCUCAACUGAUUUUGACUUACAGAAAUCCCCUGGAAAAUACUGAAGCGUUUUGCAGUCUUCAAGAUUUACCAACGAAAGUCUUUCAAGAUGCCCAAUGGAUGGGUGAAUCUUAGACAAUCUUACACAGUUUACCAAUAUCAGUUUUUCAAGAUUUGGGACUUUGGAAAGAUCUGGUGAUUCUGUUAGGUAAUGGGAAUGACUGAGAUUGAUGAUUUUCAGAUUCUUGAGCAGCUGCUAGGAAAAAACAGAUAACAAAAUAAAAAUUCAAAUACAAGAGAGAAAGCAAGAUAUUGGCAUUCACAGAAGCUGAAGAAAAUAAUUAAUAAUUUGUUUGAGAUCGUAUCAUACCACGUCAGUAUCCUCCCAAACUCGUAUGAGUUUGCUAUAGUUCAGGUCAAUAGCAACUAGGUUUGGUUGAUCGAAAUCUUCAGGUAUGACCUUCAGAGGAAAUCCAUGCCAACACAACCAUCUUAACUCUUUUGAAAGAUUGCUGUGACUUCCGGUAACAUUUACAUAAUUGAGUUUGAGCAAUCUCAGACGUCGCAUCUUUAAAUGCUUCUGUACUGAAGCUACGCUCGCCAGACUCUUUCAUAUCUAAAGCGAGUCCUUCAACGUCUUCCGUUCCCUAUUCAAGGAAAAUAAAAAGGAAAAAAGUAAGACAAAAUUUAUUUUGACGUGAAAAGAGAAUUUACACACAUGAAGAAAGCCAUGAAUGGGAUGUAUGAACUAGAAUUCAGUUGUGAUUUACAUUUUGCCAAAUUAAUUAGGUAUCUUAGUCGGCAUCGGUUACACGGUGUUACUUUAUGUAUUACUAAACCCUUGGCACACGCGUGUGCCUUUAAUAUUGUUUUGGACUUCUAUUUUUGAAUAUAAAAAUACGUGGUGUACAACUCGUGUUCCGGUUACAAUAAAAAAUUUCUCCAUCUACUGCGUGGGUUUGGGGUUUUUAAUUUAAAAAAUUAAUUAUUGCAAUAAUAGGUGGCAUAUACUUAUCCCUUAAUGAAGUUCAUAUUUAACAAAGAUUUGAUUGCCGAAGUACUUACAGAUUGUUUCGCCAAUACGUCUAUUACAUCCACAUGAUGCCACAACCUACUACGUUCUCCUGGAUGGUAACGGCAUUGUGCAUGUACGAUUUCUCUGGCCAUGUCUCGAAUCAAGUCAUGCAUCAUGAGAUUGCCUUCUGUAUCAACAGUUACAAGGCACUGAUCUUGGAGUUCUCGAAUUCCUUUUUCUGGAUAUAAGUCACAGCCAUCCAAUAUUGUCGUGACAUAGUUCUUGUUCAUUCCAAUAAAGAAACAGCCUAUAUUCAGGAAUACAUCCUUCACAAGGUCAUCAGUUAGCCCAUCAUAACUUAUUUUAAGUAUUCCCUGUAUCUCCCUAGGAGGAUGUCUUUUCCAUUUAUCCAGUACAGUUUCCCAUUCACUUUUGCUUUUUGUACACAGAUAAGAACCUAAGACUUCUAGUGCUAGUGGUAAUCCUGCACAGUAGCCAACAGCUUUUCUUGAGAGCUCAACAUACUCUUCAUUAGGAUAACUCUUACCAAAGGCAUGCCAACUAAGUAGCUCAAGAGCUUCUUCUUUAUUCAUUUCUUGCACAAUAUAUAUCACAUCCACAUUAAGCAUCUCUAGCAAAUGUCGAUCUCUUGUUGUUAUGAUAAUUCUACUUCCUGGACCAAAUGAGUAAUGAUUUAUACCUAAUGCAUCUAACUGUGCAUCGCGGUCUACAUCAUUUACUAUGACAAGCACUCUUUUGUCGCCAAGUCUUCUUAUAAUCUCCUUGGUCCCUUCAUUGACCUUAAGAACCUUCAUGUUUCCCAAACUCAAUAUAUCAGAAAGAAGUUUGUUCUGUGAAUGAACCAGUUUCUUAUCUUCUCUCACAUUUGGAAGGAAGCUUGCACCAUCAAAACUAUGAUGAUGUUUCUUGAAAACGGCUUUUGCAACCGUUGUUUUACCCAGUCCGCCCAUACCCAAGAUUCCAAUGAUACGGACAUCAUUUGAUCCUUCAACGUCUAAAAAAUUACUGAUUACUUGAACGCGAGAAUCUAUUCCAACUGGGUGUAUGGCUACGUCCAAGUAAUUGCUUCUCAGUUCUCUACUGAUUCCUUCAUACCUGGUAGGUAAAAUUCAAUUCAAAAUUAAGCAAAAGUAAGAUUUACAAAUAAACAGCACAAUUAAAUUGAACUAAUAUCUUGCUCAUUAUGACAAGAGCUUGGGAGUGGAAGAUUUGAAAGCCCAGUGAUGCAUCAAAAUCUUUGAAAAUCAUUAAAGCAUUAAACAACACAGAUUUCUCAUGGAAGAGUCUGGAAGCUCUACAUUGCAAUGUGUAAAAUCAAUUACUCCAAGGCGUAGUUAUGAUAAUUUCAUUGUUUCUUGACAUUUGAUAUAUAUGAGAGUUCAAUAGACCAAUACAUUAUGUAGCCAAUUAAUAACUCUUGUUAGAAGGAAUGGGAAAUAAAAAAAAAUCCAAAAUAUAGGAAAGGAAAAAAGAAAUAAGAAAGUACCCAUCAGCACCCAAUAACCAAUCCGGAUGUUGGUCAAAAUCGUAUAGAAGCAAGUCUGAAUCAUGCAUAUUUUCCUUCAUAAAGUUGUCCCAUACUAGAUUAACCCCUAUUUUCUUCACACUCACAGAAGCAUCUGCAGGUUCAACAGGCUUUACAAAUAUAUCAACCUUGUCCCCUCCUUGCAAAUUGAGCACAUAGUUUGAUAUAUGUCCCUGCCAAAGAUAAUGGCCAUCAAGCGUGCAGGAAGUUGGUACCGAGGCAUAUGUUAUCCGGGCGAGCAAAGCAGUACACCAACAACAACAACAACAAAGCCUUUUCCCACUAAGUGGGGUCGGCUAUAUGAAUCCUAGAACGCCAUUGCGCUCGGUUUUGUGUCAUGUCCUCCGUUAGAUCCAAGUACUCUACGUCUUUUCUUAGAGUCUCUUCCAAAGUUGUCCUAGGUCUUCCUCUACCCCUUCGGCCCUGAACCUCUGUCCCGUAGUCACAUCUUCGAACCGGAGCGUCAGUCGGCCUUCUUUGCACAUGUUCAAAAUCACCGGAGCCGAUUUUCUCUCAUAUUUCCUACAAUUUCGGCUACUCCUACUUUACCUCGGAUAUCCUCAUUCCCAAUCUUAUCCUUUCUCGUGUGCCCACACAUCCCACGAAGCAUCCUCAUCUCCGCUACACCCAUUUUGUGUACGUGUUGAUGCUUUACCACCCAACAUUCUGUGCCAUACAACAUCGCUAGCCUUAUUGCCGUCCUAUAAAAUUUUCCCUUGAGCUUCAGUGGCCUACGACGGUCACACAACACGCCGGAUGCACUCUUUCCAUCCAGCUCGUAUUCUAUGGUUGAGAUCUCCAUCUAAUUCUCCGUUCUCUUGCAAGAUAGAUCCUAGGUAGCGAAAACGAUCGCUUUUUGUGAUCUUCGCUAGAUUGCUCCGGUCAUUAGUGUGGAUAAGUAUAUAAAUGGAUAGAGAUAGGAAAGCAAACACAAGAUGUACGUGGUUCACCCAGAUUGGCUACGUCCACGGAAUAGAAGAGUUCUCAUUAAUUGUGAAGGGUUUACACAAGUACAUAGGUUCAAGCUCUCAUUUAGUGAGUACAAGUGAAUGAUUUAGUACAAAUGACAUUAGGAAAUAUUGUGGGAGAAUGAUCUCGUAAUCACGAAACUUCUAAGUAUCGGAGUGUGGUGUCGUCUUGACUUGCCUUAUCUGUCUCAUAGGUAGAUGUGGCAUCUUCUCUGGAAGUACUCUUCCUCCAUCCAGGGGUGGUAUCUUUAACUGGUGGAGAUGCACAAGGUAAUGUAUCAAUUUCACUUGAAGCUUACUUGUAGUUUCAGGCUUGGUCAAGCGCGAUACAAACCAUGUAGUAGGAGUCCCCCAAGUCGCCGAGCUCGGGGGGUCUGCUGAAAGAGGUGACAGACAAGGUAAGCAAUCAGAGCUCCGACUGAUUGUUCACCUUCUCCCCAUCUUGCAGCAGCAUGAAGGAUAAAGAGAAGAAAAAUGAGAAGAGAUGAUAUGAGAUACUUUUGCUUUUGAAGAAGUAACUUUCCACAGGCUUAUUCUUGAACUGAGCUGGAGGGUUUUCUGGUUUCCUCCAGAGUAUAAGGCCGACUGAAGAAUUUGAGGGUCAAAACAAGUCCAUCAAAUCUAGAGUACGUUCCACCCUGCUGAUAUGGGAUACUUUUGCUUUUGACAGAGUAAUGAAUGUAUCGGCACGUGUGCUGUUACGCUUGUCUCCACAUGCUUCCUUGUAUCCUUCGCACUUGCCCUAUCUGUUCCUCAAGCAGAUGCGGAAUCUUCCCUGGAAACAUAAGAUGUUGAAGAUGAGUACUCGAGAGCAAUGUCAGGUAAGUAAUCAGGUAAGGGGUUCCAGGCAGUCAGUUCCUGGCUGGAAGCUUGAUUCCAAGUGCUGACUGAUUGCUCUCUUUUCUCCUUGUCUUGCAGGUAAAAACAAGGCCAAAAGAAAAGACAGGGAAAAAGCAUGAUAUGGGAUACUCUUGCUUUUAACCCUGAUGAUAUGAGAUAUUCUUGCUCUAGUAUAGCUUGUUUGCAGAGGUAUUAUCGGGGGGAAAGAAAGCUGAAUAUUUCGAAAGGCUUCGUUGGGAGUGCCCUCUCAGAUAUGAUGAAGGGUUGAGCAUUUUUGCAGGUCUGCCUGUCCGUUGGGGAUGGAGGUCGACAUAUAUAGGAGUCUCCCUAACAACAAGUAGUAAUGCUAUUCCUUUACCCUGCUUGGUCAUAGCACGGUAGUGGGAGCUGCCAGUUUCACAUGUUUUAACUCUGUCAGAGCACUUUGAAAAAGUGGUCUGUCUGUGGUAUCUGGCUCUCGAGAUUCGGAGAACACGAUGCCUCUUCGAUUUUUGAGAAAGCAAUCAUGCUGGGGGUAUGACUCUCGAGAUUCGGAGAGCAGUGUCUCUUCGAUUUUUGAGGAAGUAAUCAUGUUGGGAGUCUGGCUCUCGAGAUUCGGAGGGCGGUGCCUCUUCGAUUUUGGAGCAAGCAAUCUUGUUGGGAGUGUUGUCUCGAAUGUGAGUAAAGGUUGGGCAUGUUUGCUAGUCUACCUUGCCACGAAGCACAAAGGUUGACACACAGGGACUUUCCAAUUAUCCAGCAAUGGUACUGUUCCUUUACCCUCUCUUCGAUUUUGAGAAAGUAGUCAUGUUGGGAGAGUCUGGCUCUCGAGAUUCGGAGGACGGUGCCUCUUCGAUUUUGGAGCAAGCAAUCUUGUUGGGAGUGUUUUCUCGAAUGUGAGUAAAGGUUGGGCAUGUUUGCUAGUCUACCUUGCCACGAAGCACAGAGGUUGACACACAGGGACUUUCCAAUUAUCCAGCAGUGGUACUGUUCCUUUACAGUUUGUGGGUAAUAAUAUGGUAGCUAGACCUUCAAAAUUUAUGUGUCUAAACUUUUGUUAGUGCUGUUUCUUUGCUAUUCUUUUACCUUUCUUGGUCAGAGCGAUGUAGUGGGAGCUGCAAGCUUCACGUGCUCAACUUUGGCAGAGAACUUUGGCAAAGUUAUUUGUCUGUGGUACCCAUGAGCUAUUGUUGCGUGUGGGAAGUGGGUGAUUGAACAGUAAGAUUCAUGUGCUUUCUACUUCACCAGAAGUCUUCGACAGAAUGCCCAUAAUUUCUGCAAAGCUGAGUGUGCGUGUGACAGGUGCUGACAAGGCUAGAAAAGUAGGUGCCUCUUCGAUUUCUGAGAUCGGCCCUCGUGGUCUCUGAGCAGCCCAGCUUUUGAGAAAGCGAGCGCCUCUUCGAUUGAUUCGGAGAACGAUGCCUCAUCGAUUUUUGAGAAAGCAAUCAUGCUGGGGGUCUGGCUCUCGAGAUUCGGGGAGCAGUGUCUCUUCGAUUUUUGAGAAAGUAAUCAUGUUGGGAGUCUGGCUCUCGAGAUUCGGAGGGCGGUGCCUCUUCGAUUUUGGAGCAAGCAAUCUUGUUGGGAGUGUUUUCUCGAAUGUGAGUAAAGGUUGGGCAUGUUUGCUAGUCUACCUUGCCACGAAGCACAGAGGUUGACACACAGGGACUUUCCAAUUAUCCAGCAAUGGUACUGUUCCUUUACCCUCUCUUCGAUUUUUAAGAAAGUAGUCAUGUUGGGAGUCUGGCUCUCGAGAUUCGGAGGACGGUGCCUCUUCGAUUUUGGAGCAAGCAAUCUUAUUGGGAGUGUUUUCUCGAAUGUGAGUAAAGGUUGGGCAUGUUUGCUAGUCUACCUUGCCACGAAGCACAGAGGUUGACACACAGGGACUUUCCAAUUAUCCAGCAGUGGUACUGUUCCUUUACCCUUGUGGGUAAUAAUAUGGUAGCUAGACCUUCAAAAUUUAUGGGUCUAAACUUUGUUAGUGCUGUUUCUUUGCUAUUCUUUUACCCUUCUUGGUCAGAGCGAUGUAGUGGGAGCUGCAAGCUUCACGUGCUCAACUUUGGCAGAGAACUUUGGCAAAGUUAUCUGUGGUACCCAUGAGCUAUUGUUGCGUGUGGGAAGUGGGUGAUUGAACAGUAAGAUUCAUGUGUUUUCUACUUCCCCAGAAGUCUUUGACAGAAUGCCCAUAAUUUCCGCAAAGCUGAGUGUGCGUGUGACAGGUGCUGACAAGGCUGGAAAAGGCUGGAAAAGUAGGUGCCUCUUCGAUUUCUGAGAUCGGCCCUCGUGGUCUCUGGGGAGCCCAGCUUUUGAGAAAGCGAGCGCCUCUUCGAUUUUUGAGAUCGGCCUUCGUGGUCUUUGAGCAGCCCAACUUUUGAGAAAGCAAACGCCUCUUCGAUUUCUGAGAUCAACCCUCGUGAUCUCUAAGCAGCCCAGCUUUUGAGAAAGCAAACGCCUCUUCGAUUUCUGAGCAGGCGCCUCUUCGAUUUCUGAAGCUUCCGUCGAGUGCAGAUUUUUAUAGGGGCUGGCAUUAAGUUCCAAAGCACACUUGAAUCUCCACCAGUAGAAGCUUCAUUCUUGCACUUCUAAGAUCUUGAUUUGUCCGACCUCUUCUCUCUUCAACACCUUUGAAAAUGUCUGGCCCCUCCGACCGUCGUUUUGACUUGAACCUUGUUGAAGAGGCAGCCCCGCCUUCUCCAGACAACAUAUGGCGCCCAUCCUUCGUCUCCCCUACUGGUCCUCUUACCGUUGGGGAUUCCGUGAUGAAGAAUGAUAUGACCGCUGCGGUGGUGGCCAGGAACCUUCUCACUCCCAAAGAUAACAGACUACUUUCCAAACGGUCUGAUGAGUUAGCUGUUAAGGAUUCGCUGGCUCUCAGUGUUCAGUGUGCAGGUUCUGUGUCUAAUAUGGCCCAACGCCUAUUUGCUCGAACCCGCCAAGUUGAAUCAUUGGCGGCUGAAGUGAUGAGUCUCAAACAGGAGAUUAGAGGGCUCAAGCAUGAGAAUAAACAGUUGCACCGGCUCGCACAUGACUAUGCUACAAACAUGAAGAGGAAGCUUGACCAGAUGAAGGAAACUGAUGGUCAGGUUUUACUUGAUCAUCAGAGAUUUGUGGGUUUGUUCCAAAGGCAUUUAUUGCCUUCGUCUUCUGGGGCUGUACCGCGUAAUGAAGCUCCAAAUGAUCAACCUCUGAUGCCUCCUCCUUCUAGGGUUCUGUCCAGUACUGAGGCUCCAAAUGAUCCCCCUCCGGUGCCUUCUCUUUCUGGGGCUCUACCGACUGCUGAGACUUCUCCUAAGCAACCUUUGUGAAGGCUCCCUCUUGUGUGUUUAUUUUGACUCAUGUAUAUGUACAUAUUUGUAGCUUAUCGGGGAUAUCAAUAAAUAAGCUUUCCUUCAUUUCAACGUAUUGUGUUAAAUACACCAAAGCCUUCUUCGCUAAGUUCUUUGAAUUUUUCUUUUGUUGAAGCUUGUAUGUUGAAGCUUUCUGAGUGGAGCAUGUAGGUUGGGGUAGUGUUCCCUUAAUUUCCCGAGUGAGGAAAACUUCUCGGUUGGAGACUUGGAAAAUCCAAGUCACUGAGUGGGAUCGGCUAUAUGAAUCUUAGAACGCCAUUGUGCUCGAUCCUGUGUCAUGUCCUUCGUUAGAUCCAAGUACUCUAAGUCUUUUCUUAGAGUCUCUUCCAAAGUUUUCCUAGGUCUUCCUCUACCCCUUCGGCCCUGAACCUCUGUCCCAUAGUCGCAUCUUCUAAUCGGAGCGUCAGUAGGCCUUCUUUGCACAUGUCCAAACCACCGUAACCGAUUUUCUCUCAUCUUUCCUUCAAUUUCGGCUACUCCUACUUUACCCCGGAUAUCCUCAUUCCUAAUCUUAUCCUUUCUCGUGUGCCCACACAUCCAACGAAGCAUCCUCAUCUCCGCUACACCCAUUUUGUGUACGUGUUGAUGUUUCACCGCCCAACAUUCUGUGCCAUACAGCAUCGCCGGCCUUAUUGCCGUCCUAUAAAAUUUUCCCUUGAGCUUCAGUGGCAUACGGCGGUCACACAACACGCCGGAUGCACUCUUCCACUUCAUCCAUCCAGCUUGUAUUCUAUGGUUGAGAUCUCCAUCUAAUUCUCCGUUCUUUUGCAAGAUAGAUCCUAGGUAACGAAAACGGUCGCUCUUUGGUAUUUCUUGAUCUCCGAUCCUCACCCCUAACUCGUUUUGGCCUCCAUUUGCACUGAACUUGCACUCCAUAUAUUCUGUCUUUGAUCGGCUUAGGCGAAGACCUUUAGAUUCCAACACUUCUCUCCAAAGGUUAAGCUUUGCAUUUACCCCUUCCUGAGUUUCAUCUAUCAACACUAUAUCGUCUGCGAAAAGCAUACACCAAGGAAUAUCAUCUUGAAUAUGUCCUGUUAACUCAUCCAUUACCAACGCAAAAAGGUAAGGACUUAAGGAUGAGCCUUGAUGUAAUCCUACAGUUAUGGGAAAGCUUUCGGUUUGUCCUUCAUGAGUUCUUACGGCAGUCUUUGCUCCUUCAUACAUAUCCUUUAUAGCUUGGAUAUAUGCUACUCGUACUCCUUUCUUCUCUAAAAUCCUCCAAAGAAUGUCUCUUGGGACCCUAUCAUACGCUUUUUCCAAAUCUAUAAAGACCAUGUGUAAAUCCUUUUUCCCAUCUCUAUAUCUUUCCAUCAAUCUUCGUAAGAGAUAGAUUGCCUCCAUGGUUGAGCGCCCUGGCAUGAACCCGAAUUGGUUGUCCGAAACCCGUGUCUCUUGCCUCAAUCUAUGCUCAAUGACUCUCUCCCAGAGCUUCAUUGUAUGACUCAUUAGCUUAAUACCCCUAUAGUUCAUGCAAUUUUGUACGUCGCCCUUAUUCUUGUAGAUAGGCACCAAAGUGCUCGUUCGCCACUCAUUUGGCAUCUUCUUCGUUUUCAAAAUCCUAUUGAAAAGGUCAGUGAGCCAUGUUAUACCUGUCUCUCCCAAAAGUUUCCACACUUCGAUUGGUAUAUCGUCUGGGCCUAUUGCUUUUUUAUGCUUCAUCUUCUUCAAAGCUACAACCACUUCUUCCUUCCGGAUUCGACGAUAAAAAGAGUAGUUUCUACACUCUUCUGAGUUACUCAACUCCCCUAAAGAAGCACUCAUUUCAUGUCCUUCAUUGAAAAGAUUAUGAAAAUAACCUCUCCAUCUGUCUUUAACCGCGUUCUCUGUAGCAAGAACCUUUCCAUCCUCAUCCUUGAUGCACCUCACUUGGUUUAGGUCCCUUGUCUUCUUUUCCCUUGCUCUAGCUAGUUUAUAGAUAUCCAACUCUCCUUCUUUGGUAUCUAGUCGUUUAUACAUAUCGUCGUAAGCCGCUAACUUAGCUUCUCUGACAGCUUUCUUCGCCUCUUGCUUCGCUUUUCUAUACCUUUCACCAUUUUCAUCGGUCCUCUCCUUGUAUAAGGCUUUACAACAUUCCUUCUUAGCCUUCACCUUUGUUUGUACCUCCUCAUUCCACCACCAAGAUUCCUUUUGGUGUGGGGCAAAGCCCUUGGACUCUCCUAAUACCUCUUUUGCUACUUUUCGGAUACAACUAGCCAUGGAAUCCCACAUUUGGCUAGCUUCCCCCUCUCUAUCCCACACACAUUGGGUGAUUACCUUCUCUUUGAAAAUGGCUUGUUUUUCUUCUUUUAGAUUCCACCAUCUAGUCCUUGGGCACUUCCAAGUCUUGUUCUUUUGUCUUACUCUUUUGAUAUGUACAUCCAUCACCAACAAGCGAUGUUGAUUAGCCACGCUCUCUCCUGGUAUAACUUUGCAAUCCUUACAAGUUAUACGAUCCCCUUUCCUCAUUAGAAGAAAAAUCUAUUUGUGUUUUUGACGACCCACUCUUGUAGGUGAUCACAUGUUCUUCUCUCUUCUUAAAGAAGGUGUUGGCUAAGAAGAGAUCAUAUGCCAUUGCAAAAUCCAAGAUAGCUUCCCCAUCCUCGUUUCUCUCCCCAAAACCAUGGCCACCAUGAAAACCUCCAUAGUUGCCUGUCUCCCUGCCCACGUGUCCAUUUAAAUCUCCUCCUAUAAAUAACUUCUCCGUCUGAGCAAUUCCUUGCACCAAGUCUCCAAGAUCUUCCCAAAAUUUCUCCUUCGAACUCGUAUCCAACCCUACUUGAGGUGCGUACGCACUAAUCACAUUGAUAAGUUCUUGUCCUAUUACAAUCUUGAUUGCCAUGAUUCUAUCUCCUACCCUCUUGACAUCUACAACAUCUUGUACCAAGGUCUUGUCCACGAUGAUGCCAACACCGUUUCUCGUUCUAUUUGUGCCCGAAUACCAAAGUUUAAACCCUGAGUUUUCUAGAUCCUUUGCCUUACUACCAACCCACUUAGUUUCUUGUAGGCACAUAAUAUUUAUCCUUCUCCUCACCAUAACUUCCACUACUUCCAUAGAUUUUCCCGUUAAGGUUCCUAUAUUCCACGUUCCUAAACGCAUUUUGCUCUCUUGAACUCUACCCUUCUGUCCUAGCUUCUUCACCCUCCCCCGUCUAAUAGGAUCAAAGUACUUCUUUUGUGUGUCCCGGGUAAAGUUGAUAGGAGCAUAUGCUCCCAAACAACUUUGAGUGGAGUCGUUCGAAAAGAAGUUUCUAUGGCCCCCUUGCUCAUUUAACACUGCAUCCGGGUGCCGAUGGAGAUACAGCGACCCUUGCUCACUUAUCACUGUGCUCAGGCCACACAGCGCGCCACUUACGGGUGACGCCCUAGCUUUAGCGCGAUUUUGUUCUGGAUUCAUUUUCAUAAGGAUUCGACGUGAUCAUGGAGUGCCGGCUGUCGACUACCUGACGCCCUCCCCCUCCUCCUUUAUCCGGGCUUGGGACCGGCCAUGUAAGACAUAGUAUUUGUCUUAUGGGUGUGCCAUCUGCUGUCUUCUGGCAACUCUUUCCCAAGCCUUCAGCCAAGUUUUCAAAUCUUGAACGGCUGUUAAGAAUAAGAGUUUCAAUAGACUUGGAAUUAAAGAAAUUCAGUGGGAGAUCCUUGAGAUUUUUGCAGCCUUCAAGAUUAACCAAAGUAAGUCUUUCAAGAUUCCCAAUGGAUGAGUGAACCUCAGACAAACUCUCACAAUCAUUCAAUAUCACUUCCUCGAGAUUUGGGAGUCUUGAGAAGUCUGGUGUUUUUGCCAGGUUAGGGGAAUGACUGAGAUUAAGAAGCUUCAACUUCUCGAGCAACUGUUCAACAAAAGGAAAAACUAAAAUAAAUACAAAUGGAAAAGAGAAAGCAUGAAGUUGGAGUUUAUAAAACCUGGAAGAAAGAAUUAACAAUUUGGUUGAGGCUAUAUCAUACCAAAUCGGAAUCCUCCCAAACUCGUAUGAGUUUGCUAUAGCUCAGGUCAAUAGCAACUAGGUUUGGUUGAUCAAAAUCUUUUGGUAUGACCUCCAGAGGAAAUCCAUGCCAACACAACCAUCUUAACUCUUUGGAAAGAUUGUGGUAACUUCCAGUGAGCUUUAUGUUAUUGAGUUUGAGCAAUCUCAGACUCUGCAUGUUUCUAAAUAAUUCUGAACUGAAGCUACACUCGUCAGACUCUUGCAUAUCUAAAGUGAGUCCUUCAAUGUCUUCCGUUCCCUAUUACAAAAAAUAGUUAAAAAUUAAAAACAAACCAACAACAACAACAGAGGAACUAAGAAAAGGGUUAUAUGCAAGUGAAAAGGUGAUUAAUUCAUACAUCAGAACCACAAAGCCUUGAAUUGGAUGGAUGAACCACAUGAGAGGUAGACAAUUAGACAAUAUAGAACAUGGGACCUCUCAAAGGCAACUUUUAUUAUAUAUCUUCCAAUAAUGUGCUUAUAUGUCCGGAUUAUAACCAUAGAGUUGUACUUUACAUCUGUCUACAUUAAUUAGGUAUCUUUAGCAAGCUUCUUUUACGGGUAUCAUAAUUCACAAAUUGUACUCAACGAGAGCAGGACAUGUGUGAUUCUGUUAUUUAAUUUGAGAUGAUUCAAUACAAAAGGCUCCUUUUUUUGUCUCUUACAGGUUCCUUUCUCUGCUACAUUAGUACAUGCAUUUAACAUCAAAUUUAAUUGCAAAAGUACUCACAGAUUGCUUCGUCAAUACGUCGGUUAUAUCUUCAUUAUGCCACAAUCUACUACGUUUUCCAGGAUUGUAAGGGGAUUCUGCAUGCACGAUUUCUCUGCCCAUGCCUUGAAUCAAAUCAUGCAUCAUGAGAUUGCCUUCUUUAUCAACAGUUACAAGGCAUUGAUCUUGAAGUUCUCGAAUCCCUAUUUCUGGAUAAAACUGACAGCCGUCGAGUACUGUCAUAACAUGGUCCUUGUUCAUUCCAGUAAAGAAACAAGAGAUAUCAAGGAAUAUAGCCUUCACGUCAUCAUCAGUUAGCCCAUCAUAGCUUAUUUCAAGUCUUUUGUGAAUUUCUCGAUAAGGCUGUGAUCUAUUCCAUUUAUCCAGUACAGUUUCCCAUUCAAUUGUGCUUUUUGUACGUAGAUAAAAACCUAAGACUUCAAGUGCUAGUGGCAAACCUCCACAGUAGCCAACAGCCUUUCUUGAGAGCUCAACAUACUCUUCAUCAGGAUCAUUCUUUCUAAAGGCAUGCCAACUAAGUAGCUCAAGAGCUUCUCUUUCACUCAUUGCUGGCAGAGGACAUAUCUUAUCCACAUUAAGUAUCUUCAGCAAAUGUUUGUUUCUUGAAGUCAUAAUGAUUCUGCUCCCUAGACCAAAGGAGUCAGGUUUUAUAUCCAAAGCAUCUAUCUGUUCAACGCUGUCUAAAUCAUCAAUUACGACAAGUACCCUUCUGUUGCCUAACCUUUGUUCUAUCUCCUUGGUCCCUUCAUCGAUACAACUUACCCCUAUGUAGGCUGCUUUCAAGAUAUCAGAAAGAAGUUGUUCUUGCAAAUCAAUCAGUUUCUUUUCCCUCACGUUUUGAAGGAAACUUGCACCGUCAAAAUUAUGAUGAUGUUUGUUGAAAAUGGCUUUUGCAACCGUUGUCUUACCCAGUCCGCACAUACCCAAAAUUCCAAUUGUGCGAAUAUCAUUUGAUCCUCCAACAUCUAAAUGCUUACUAAUGUCUCGCACACGAGAAUCUAUUCCAACUAGGUUGGUGGGUACCUCUAAGCUUGUGAUGAUGCUCAGUUUUCCAGUGAUCUGAGAAAUAACGUUCCUGAUAAAGUUUCCUUCAUGCCUGGUUGUUAAAAUUCAACAAAGCAAGCGUGAAAAUUUAUUAUGCAACCUCAAGAUUACAUUAAUCUUUCAGAAAUUGACGAGUCAAAAUCUCCAGAUACCAUUACAAUAAGCCUGAUUUAAUCAUUAUAUACAAAGAGAUAAAUAAAAUGGACGGGAAAUUUAAAGCGCACAAAAUAAAGAAAAUAAAAGGGAAAUAAGAAAAUAAUUACCCGUCAGUCUUCCUCAAAUUUAAUCCGUCCGAAAGGGAAAGUGCAGCUUCCCUAAGAGCCUUUCUCCAGAGAUGUACCUUUUCUUCGUUAAUUUUCUGUUCGUAUUUCUGAAACGCUUGCGCAAAACUACCACUCUGGAUCCGGACGUCAAAGGGAUCAACAUCAUAGAAAAUUGGAAAAAAUAAUUGACCCAGUGUUUUUCUGCACUCCAUGAUCUUCACCAGCUCCUCCAGACACCACAACGACUCCAGAUACCCUCUUGAGAUGACGACGACGGCAACCUUAGACCUUUCGAUUGCUUGAAUCAGAUGUUCUGGUAUAGCUCCAUUACUUUCUUCUAGUUUGUCAUCGUACUCGUCUCCGUACAUGAAGACGUCGAAUUGGUGGUCUUUUAAUGAACAGUAGAGGUGGUCCGUGAAGGUCCUGCGUAUGUCCUCACCUCCAGAACUCAAGUACACGUCGUCCUUGCGAUCGUCUUCGGAGGAUGAGGCCAUCACUUGAUACUCCAGGAAUUUCUUGGCAGCACGGAUCAAAUUUGAGAUCUACACACAACCGUAAAGGCAAAUUAACGUCAAAACUCCGAAAAGAAAAAGGUGAACUGGCAAGUAAUAGACUCGCAGUUUUCUGACACGACCAUGGUAUAAAAUAUCCAUGAUAUCGGAAAGAUGGUAGUUAAACAUAGAAUUUCGAUGAAAAUAUUAGGAUAUUAUUGAUAUCGAUAAAAAUUGAAUAAAAAUUAUGAAAAUUGUAAAAAAAAAUUAGAAUUUUUUAUUGAAACUUUGGAGAAUAUUUAUUUAGUCAAUUAUCUAUUAGUUUAUCAAAAAAAAUUAAAAGGAAAUGCAUUACAUGAUGAAUUUAACUCAUUUAAGUUGAUUAUAGAGCGAGCUGGCAAACACUGAGGGUAGAAAAUAUGUAGUAAUUAAUGAAAAAAAGAUUAAACACACCAUAAUCAUUUAUAUAUAAUGAUUUACUACAAUAUUUUACAUUUUAUACAUUGCAUGGUAAAAUACAUGAGUGAUUUAGUAUCACAUAAAGUUCCUAUAAGGUUUAAAAUUUUCACUAUCUUCAUCAUCUCUAUGUGUAGAGUAAGUUUAUUGUGAAAAGUAUUCAUCAAAUGAUAAAUCUCCAAAAUACUUAUGCAUCUAAUUGUUAACAUGAAACUCAUAUAAAUAUAAAUAUUUUAGCAUAUUAUCACUAAAACAUAAGUGAUAUAUGGUGGUUAUGGUGUUUGAAGAGUAAAAUGGGAGGGGUUCAAAUCCCUUUUGUGUUUUUUUUCCUCCCUUUUUUCCCUUUUUUUCUUUUUUUUUUCCUUCCUUUAUAUCGAUAUUUUUGAUAUUUUAGCGAUAUUACAUCGAUAUUUUGACAAAAUAUUGCUGAAGUGUAAGCGAAAUUAUCGUCAAUAUUGUCGAUAUUUGUACGAUAUGUACAUGGAUAUGUUCCGAAAUAUCCGUGAUUCGAAAAAACCGAAAUAUCCUCGAUAUUUCGUCAAUAUUAUCGAUAUUUCAGACUAUGGACACGACAUAAAAACAACACAAAAAUAACAGGUUUCGGAUCAACACGAUAACUUAUCGGGUCAUUAUCGGGUAACCCGUUAAUAACGAGUUCUUAACGGGUAUACACGCAGGUAACACGUGAGUAACCUGUUUCGAUCCGUUAAGAAAAAAAUUAUUUUGAUAAUUUUAAAGUUUAAUUACUAAAAGAUUUAUUAUAAAAUACAAUAGUCAUAUUAAUAUAUACAAUAUAUUCUAUAUUAAAUAUAUAGUUUUGUAUUAUUAUUCUAUAUAAGUUUAAAAAAAAGUUUUAGUCAUUAUUUAUUUUUAUUACGAGAGUUCCUUAUUAUAAUUACUACGAUAAAUUUUACUUAACAGGUUGUUGUCCAAAAUUAAAAUAAACUAAUAUAGUAUUUGCAUAGGUAAGAACUAAGAAGACAUACAUACAAGUAUGAAAAAUGUGAAAGAAUAUAUAAACACUCGUAAUUCAUCAUUAUUCCACCCCCAAAUAGAUAAUGGUUACACUUCCAUUAUCGUUUAGAUUUUUAAAAUCUUCCAAACCUUCAUGAAUAAUGUUUUUUUAUUUGAGGGAAAAAUUAAUAAUUAUUAUUGUAUAAGUGUAAAAAAUGUUAAAAAAAAAUACAAUUACUCAUAGUGACAAACUUUACAACUUUAAUGAAGGAGUCAACUUCAAAAUCCAACACUAUAAUUCAUAAACCUUAAAUUUAUAUUUAACUGUCGAUUGUCAUUUACACUUUAUUCUUCUUGCUGAAUUUCAUUUUUAAAAUUUUCUUUUAUGAAAACAUGAUUAUCUGGCGAAUGUAAGAACAUGAACAGUUCAGAUCUUUGAUAUCACGUUUCGAUAUUUACGGUUAACUGAAAUAUGAGUCGAUGUCAUAUAGUUUGUAGAAACUUUAUAAACAUCAAGCAAUAUUUUCACUAACCGUAAAACUCUUAAUAUAAUAUCAACGAUCCAAACCGUUCAUCUUCUUGCAUCCUCUAAUAGAUCAAGUUUUCAAAAAAUAAAAUUUGAAAAAAACAAAAUUUGAUGAGAACAAUGAAACGUAAAUGUAAACAACAAUCAGCGGUUAAAUUUUGAUCUAUGAUUUAUAUGAUUAUAGUGGCGAAUUUCAAAGUUAAGCUCUUCAUGAAAGUUGUAAAGCUUGUCAUUACGAGCAUUUCUAUAUUUUUUCUAUAUUUUUUACACUUCUAUAUUAAUUAAAAAACUAUUAAAGACUUUAGGUAAGUGAAAAUAUACUUAAAAGAAAAAUUCGUUUUUAUGUUUUGGAUGUGACAAUAUGGUAUGUAUAUACUUAUUUAGUAUUAUGUUUUUUAUUUGAUUAUUUAUUGGUUUAAAAUAUAUUUUCCUUAACUGAUAACGGGUCGGAUCAUAUUACCUGUUAAUAUUAUCGAGUCGAUUUAGGAUCAUGUCAUUUUACCCGUUUAUUUUAACGGAUGUUACACGACAAGACCCGUUAAGAUAUCGGAUAUGACGCAAAAAUAACACAAACACGGAAAACACAACACGAAUGUCAGGUCUAAUACUGAGUCAAUUACAAUUGAUCCACCUAGUCUUUUUCAUCCAACGGUAUCUAAAAGCUCAGCAGGGAAGAAAAUGGCUUCUUUUUUUUUUCACCAAAUGUUUGUCAAAGACGAAAUAAUUAACAGCUGUCCUUCCCAUGGAAAAACAAAUAAGAGAACAUUUCUUGUCAACUAGUUCUACGGCCAGUGGUGCUAUCUAUCUAUUCUAUUAAGAGAACAUUUCUUGUCAACUUUUUACCUCUUUUUUCUCAUUUUGAUACAUAAUAUUGACAUGAGAAGGUAAAAUAGUAAUUUUGUAUCUUUUGAGAAAAUAGCAAUCAUAUCCCUAUUUUACAUUUUUUUAAAAUGACAAUCAUAUUCCUAUUUUUCCUAUUUUACCUUCACUUUUGAUACACAAUAUUUACAUAAAGAAGACAAACAUUAAUUAUGUAAUAUUAAGAAAAAAUAUAUACUUAUUAAGAAAAACUAGCACAUCAUUAUUAUUUCAUACUCUUUUUAAAAUUUUAAAAACUAAUCAUACUCCUUAAUAGAAAAAUUCUGUUUAAAAUUUUAAAAACUAAUCACACUCAUUAAUAAAAAAAUAAAAAACAAAAUGAAAUUGUUCACACACACAAAGUGUGUGCUCAUUUGCUAUUAUCAAUUGUGUGAACGGUGCUAAAUCAACCACUUGUCUCAAUCAUUAUUUGGUUUAGUACUUUAUAUUAUGAAUAUUUUGUUGUGUGGAUAGAAGUUGUGUUUCGAAUUCUGGCGCCGGUAAAUGAUACGGUAAUAGUUAAGGAGGCUAAUAUAUUUUUAUGUGUGUUCUCAGCCUCUAAAUGGAUAGAAUACUGUGGUGAAGUCACCAGUUGAUUUUCUUUAAAAAAAAAUUAUUAGAUAAGAAAUGCUUGUCCCUUCUAUAGCGUAUCCUAAUUUGUUAUUUACGUAAUUGCUUUAACGUGAAUGGUGCUAAAUCAUAAUCUUUGUAACAAAUUUAAGUUAUAUAUAAUCAAUUAUCAAGAUUUUAUUAUGCGAAAUUAUAGAGCUAAGUGUAUUCUAACAUUCUAUGCAAAAAUUGAAAUCAUGAUUGUUGGAACUAAAUAUGUGCACACCCACGAAUGAAGGUGAAAUCCAGUCGGAUUUGCCAAUGCUCUCUGAUGAGGGAAGAAUGAGGUUAAUUGAAGGGUGUGGUGAAUCUGAAUUGAAUUGCCUACAUAUCUUCCGAAAUACCUCUGUAAAUCUUCUUGGCUCCUAGAAGGAUAGAAUAUUGUGGCGAAGCCAGCAACUGGUCAAUUUUUUUAAAGAAAACACACUAGAUAAGUGAUACUCGUCCAUCCUAUCACAUACCCUAAUGCGUUACUUGCGCAAUUGCUUUAACGUGAAUGAUGCUAAAUCACAAUCUUUGUCCCGAAUUUAAGUAUAGAGAUACUUUAGAUGCGGUCCCUAAUCCUUAACAUUCUUUGAUUAAAACCUUAGUGGUAUUCAAAAUUUGAUCGAAGUCCCCUGACUUUGUAUACCUCAUUAUAUUACAAUUAAUAUCAAUAUUUUUAUAGUUUUGACAUUAAUUGUUUAAUAUUUUAUGAGAUUUAUAAUCCUAUAAAUUUAAAAUCCCUCAUUAUAAUACUAUUAUAAACGGUUACAAUAAAAAAAAUUCAAACAUUUUGAUUGAAUAAAUGGAUAAAAACUACAUAAAAAUAAGAAAUAAUAAAUGGAAAAAGAAUGUAUCCAUAGUGUUAAAAAAAUUGGUACAUUUCACAUAUAACAAAGUGGUACAUUAAUAAAGAAGAAUGGGUACAUUAUAAAUAAAUUAGGGUACAUAUAAAAGAUUAAACAAUUAUGAGUACAAAUGAAUUUUUAAAAAAUAUAGGCACUAAAAGAAAUUAAUACAUGGGUACAAAAUAAAAUUAAAAAGAAAAUACUACAAAUUUAGAAAAAUGUUGCAAAUUAAAAGUGGGUACAAACUAAAUAUAUAAAUAUAUGAUACAAAGUUUAGGCAUAAAACAUAAGUAUACCAUAUGUAAUUUUUCUAUCAUUGAUUAAAUAUACAAUGUCACGUGACGGUAUACACAUGGGUACAAACACAAAUAAAACUUUAAAAAAUAUGGGCACAAAAAGAAACUAAUAUAUGGGUACAAAUUAAAAAUAGGUACAAACUAACAAUAAAAAUAUAUGAUAAAAAAUUUAACCAUAAAUAUAAAUAUACUAAUUUUAACAUUUUUAUUUAAAAAUAAAAAUAUUUUAUUAUUCAAAUAAUGAAUGAUGUUAUUAAUACCCAAGGACAUUGAUCAAAAAUUUAAAAUGAAUAGGAUUUUAAUCAAUGGAGUAACAAAAAGAAGGAUGUGAACCUAAUUUCUCUUUAAGUGUAUAUACAAUCUAUUAUCAAGAUUUUAUUAUGUGAAAUUAUAGAGCCAAGCGUAUUCUAAGAUUCUCUACAUAACUUGAAAUUAUGAUCGUUGUAACCAAAUGUGCGCACAACCAUAGACAGAUGUGAAAUCUAGUGAGCUGACUUGUCAAGUCAGUCGACAAUACCGAAACAUAAUAAUCCCCACGUCUAUAAGAUAGUUCGUAUAAGAAGUCCAGGGUGAUAUUUUCCCAUCUCCAUUCGAAUACAGGAAGUGAUUAUAACCACUUGAAUGAUUUCUUUAUGCUUUCACUUGUGAUAAAAACAGAUAUCUACUUAACGACUAAGCAAUCUCUUUUUUUCAUCUCAAGUCAAAAGUAGAAAGAUCGAACUUGGAAAUUAACUAACAACAUUUCCUGAUGAUCAGUAAAUAACGUCACAUCAAUACUCACGAAUUCUACUUAAGGUGGAAUAUGACAGGCUAAAGGGUAUUCAGUCAUUCAUGUGUUUUUCUGCUGAAGUUGUCGAUAACUACGUUUGCACAACUAGGGUAAUACAUGAUGGCACAAUCGUAGGCAUAGAUUUGUUUCUUCCAUCGCCGCUAUUUGAAAUUUUGUUCCUUUCGGACGAAGAUGUACUUGAGAAAUUUAUGUGGUCUAUAAAGACUUUGACAAGUUUCUUCACGGAAAAGUGUCAUCAGAUUUUCAAGUAAAUAAGGUAAUCAUUGACUCUAGGUUAGGAGUAAGGUAGUUCACUUCAUGCAAUUCCACCCAUCGCUAGACAUAAGCAAUACCCUAUCAUGCUGCAUCAGCAUGCAACCAGAACAUUCAAUGAAACUUCACUGUAGAUAUAAAAUUAUCAAUGUCAUCGACAAGUGUAAGAACAAUGCUUGGAAAGAGACAACACUUCAAUUGUCAGAAACUUUAUUCACAUUUAACGUCUAAAACUAAACUAACUUUCCUCGAUCAACUUGAAAGGAAAAUGCUAUAGCUGAAAAAUCAUUAAUAAAGCUUUAAGUAAUCCUAAAAAACAAUGGUAUUUCAUAUUUCACAAUACUUUGUUAGGAUUUCAAUUUUCUUCCGCUACAACCUUUUGGGAAAAUGAAAAGAAUAUCAUCUACUGAGACUACAUCUUCCAAGAAAGGUAAAUAAAGCUAAUAUUUGAGGAACUUGAUAUAAAGCUGACUAUUGGUGUUUAGAAAAUUUGAUCUAGUUGUUGGAAUAAGUAAGAAAGUCGUCGGGAAUGAUAUCAAAAAUCCAUCAUUGGAUCAUUCGCUAACUCGAAUGACAUUACAAAGAACACAUAAUGGUCAUUCAAGUCUUGAUCGCAGUCUUGGGAUCAUUAACGCUUCUGAUCUUUAGUUGGUUGUAACUAGACUUCAGAUCAACUCGAAUAAAAUUCAUUCUCUACUGAGUUGGUCAAAAAGACCAUCAAUUCAACACAUUGUUAACGGUUCUUAAUCAUCACCCGAUUAAACUACCACAAAUAUAGGUACAACCCUAAGGUUCAAUCUUUAUCUUCGCAAAUAGGUUUGUUAUUGCCUAAGAUAAAUGUUGGGUUAGAUAAAUCCCUAAUCAAUAAGCUUUUGUAACUAAGUUCUCUCGAACACGCCCCAACCCAGAUAUCCAAAUGACACCUGGAUGUCACGUGUUGGCCGACACUCAAGAGUGACGAAAGCCAUAAAUAUAAAAAUGUGCACAGACAUAAGGAAACGUGUAAUCGAAAAGUCACAUAAGAAACAACAUUCAUAAAGAAUGUACAAAACCUAAAGCAAUAAUAAUAAAUAAGCAUUACUCAUAAGAUAAGAAGGAUGUCCAACAAUCAACAAACCGAAAGAAAAGACGCACAAUUAUGUUCAGAGCAUACUACUAAACGAGAGUGCUAGUGAAACGAAAGUCAUUAAGUUACAAUUACACAUAAAGAAAUCGUACGUAAGUGGAAGAACACAAGAUCACUGGUAGGGAAAUGCCUUGAAGCUCUGGUCAUUUUCAUCGUCACUUGGUCCUAAAGAGGGUGUAGGUGCAUAGACCAUAGUUUAUUAUAACCAUAAUAAUAAGAAAACCAUUUUCUUUCUGAACAUACUAACCCCCUCCCCCCGUUUUAAAAACAAUAUGAUACUACGUAAUAGGUUUUUCGAAACUCUACAUGUUAUAAAAAAUUACAACUCGAAGUGAUAUCAAAAUCACAACUCGAAGUGAUAUCAAAAUCACCUAAAGGUAAAAUCCGUAAAAGCUCAUAAGUCAAAAACACUAAUGUACUCAAUAGGGCUAUCAUAUUCACCCAAAGACAUAUCCAUCACCCGAGGGUGAAGCUGUACGACACUGGCUUACGCCAAUGAAGAAACAUGGUAGGUCCCAUCACCCGAAGGUGAAGCUGUAUGACUUUGGGUUACACCAAAGAAGAAAUAUACAUAACACACCGACACUAGCCAUGGCUAGUGAAGUUGUCUGACAUUGGUUUCGCUAGUGAAGCUAUGAGUGUGUCAUAAAUAUCUUACAACUCAUCAACUGUGUCCUAUGACUAUAGACGUAUACAUACUCAUGUUGUGUGUAUGUUUCAUAUGAAUACCCACUAAUUAAGCACAUAAAACGUAAUUCAAAAACUCAUACCAAACUUAGAAUUCAAAACCUCAUCAUCCGAAAAUCAUAAGCAUUUCCAUAAACGUGAUUUCUAGAAAGAUAAAAUUUUAUAAACCUUAAAUUGAUAAAUCGUAUAUAUUUUGCAAAAGAAAAUUAAAUAAAUCAUAGAUUCUCCAUAAUUCAUAAAUCUAGAAAAUUCGUAAAACGUAUCAUAAAACGUAAUUAAUUCAUGAAAUGUAGAAUGAAUGCAAGCCUAAUAUUUUUAUAAAAAACAUGCAAUUUGAGAAGGGGUCCUCUCACAAAUAUUCUGCUACUGGGAGUCGAUCGAACUAGGGAGGACGAAAUCACUUCCAACCAACGCACCUAAACACAAAUAGGGACCAUUUAUUAAAACUCUACUAAAACGGUCGAAUUUGGGAAAACGGAUGGCUAAUUCGGAUUCUGCACAUAAAAAACCUAAGAAGGGACUUCAGGUUCCCUACGCAUCACCACGGGGCAGCGACCUGGGUCAUCACCCGCCACCCCACGCACUACCACAUGGCAAGAUAGGUGUCGGAAAGUUGGCCGAAAUUUGGUCGGCAUAGUGCCUCCAGCGGAGGCGCGUGCACUCCAUGCGCUGAGCACAUGUGGCCUCCACGCGCCGCGAGUCGCCCGUACUAGCCUUCUACAUGAUUUCUGGAAAAUUUCCAGAUUUUUCCUCCACAUCAAGUGAUUCAAAAGCCAAAGUGUAGUUAGGAAUGUGGAGAAGAGAUUCAAAAGCCAAAAUUCCUACAUGCUGCGAUAUGAGAGUCAACGUUUUCACCGCUAGGGGUAUUUUCAUAAAUUUAUCGAAUUAAAACGUAAUAUUCAAGACGGGUUGUUACACUUUCAAUGUCUUAGGAGUCGUUUGAUAAAAUGCAGGAAGAAUAGGUGUUGUAUUUGAAAGUGGAUCGAUGGUACUCCACUUCACACUUUGAUGGUAUCCCAAGUAAAUUUUGAGAAAUGACGCCAGGAAUAUACGUCCUUGAACUAUACUGUAUUGCUUUCUCAUACUACUACACGUACUAAUAGGCUGUCAAAACUUUUCUAAAUAUUCGUUUCAACCUUACAGCAAGAAUUUACUCAUACUUCAAUUGCUAAUGUCUGCCUGUGAAAGUGACCACAAGGAUCACUGGUCAUAGGAAAAUAAUCAUCUUCGGUUUAUGUUCCACUGAAUUGAUAAUUCUGAUGUAGUCAAUCCAUCCCUAUCCACGAGAUCCAAUGAAAUAAGAUUAAUUGCACCGUUGGAUUGGUAAAGAAAAUGAUACAUCCAUCGCAUUCGCACGGGACAAGGCAAACUUUGCUUCAUAACUUUGGGAUUCACAAGACGUACUCGACUAGGGUACCAGAAAGAUUUAAAAGCUAAGGAUGAUGAGACAACUUGAGUGGUGCUCGAAUCAAUCAAAGUCUUAGCGAAAAUGUCCUAAUAACAUACUCCUGACUAGGUCAGGAAUGUUCUAGUCACCUAAGUGGGUGAUAUGGGUAAUACAACUGCGGGUUUACUUUCCUCCUACAAGGUUUGGUCCUAAGUUUCCACGAUUUUAAUUUCUUUGGUCUAGAUUGUCAAUGUUAGCCAGUCUAUUAAUCACACCACUAAUUGACGCAUGCGUGAUAUUUUAAUAUUGUUCGCCACUGAAAAUGUGAACUAGCAUUUUGGUACAAAGCUAUCACUCCCAGAUACUAGUAUAUGCCCGGUAUCAGAAAUCAUACCCCUGGAUACUGGAUCUAAAUAGUAUCGUCAAUGAGUAGCGCCACCAUAGGCUGACUAUAGGUUAGAGCCUGCUCCGAUGGAUAGUUUCAGUUGAUUGGUAAGGAAUUGGUUUUGGGAUUUGGUUCCGUUAACUCUAGAGAAAAUUAAUUACUGAUUCUGGUAUUUCUGUUAACCGUAGGUAUAACAACUUAUACUCUCAUGCAAAAACACCGUAUUGACGGGUACCGCAUCAGAAGUAUAUAUGAGAACUAGUGUUGGUUGAAGUGUCCUAAGGUAGGGAAAUGGAAUUUGCUAAUAACCUACUUCAAAAUGAGGUUUGACGUACUUCAAUCUUCCUAUUGAAGAUCCAGAAAUAUAACUAGUACGUUUGAAAGAUUAGUGCUAUCGGGAACCAAAUGUGAUGUCCCCCAGAUGUUCUUCCAUUGACUACUACCGCUUUAGCACCACAUUAUCACUUGAAAUAUUUCUGGAAAUUUCGACGAAAAGUAAAACUUCGUAUGAAUUCUAAUAGGUGGUAUACUAGACGGGUACUGCCAAGGAUCAAAACUAUUUAUGAUUUUCUAUCUCGGACGGGUUGGUAAUGAUGACUGAAUAUUAAUAUGAUUGAUUGGUAAAAUUUUCGGUGGUAUGUAACUAUCUAUAAAUUAGCCUUGCUUCAGGUCUAUCAACUCAUUCCAAAUCGGGAUUUUCCUUGGCAAGGAGAUUCUUCAUUCAAAGUCUAGAGGCGGGCGCGAAAAUGUUUUUCUAGAAGGUCGAUAAGUCAUCUAAGUCGCCUACAACUUAGGAAAAGCUAAUACAUUUCUCGUGCUCGAUAAGGUGGCAAGACUUGACAUUAGGUUCAAGAACCAAAAAUGCUUACAUCACGUGUCUGAUGAAUGCAAUACUGCCCAAACUUAUGCUCUGAUACCAAAUUGACACACGCCGGCCCGAUAUGCAAAGUGAGCAUAUCGGUGUAAUGUGAGCAUACAUGUGAAGACUGGCUCUGGCCCGUGCAAGUACUAACACCAGUGUUGCAUGCACAAUGAGUAGUAUAACACAAAUAUGAUCAUGUGACGGUAAUUCAAUAAUUCUAGUCAAUAAAAUAUUAUUCAUGGCCACAAAUAUAAUUAAGGCAUCCUAUAAUAGUAUGCAUACCUGUGCAUCCCGUAGGAUUUAGGAUAAGUUCAUAAACUCCGUCAUUCCGCAUAUUCAUAUAAGCGUUAGUCUAAUCUAGGUGUACUGUAGAAAAUUCUUUACUAAAUAUAUAUAUAUAUAUAUAUAUAUGAAAAUUAAAUAAAUAUACAAUAUUUAAAAGCAAAAACCCACUCAUAAAUCAUGUCGUCGGUUCGAACCCGCCUCGCGGGCAUCGAAGAUCCUUGCGAUGCGUUUAAUCUAGAAACGAAACCAUUCACGUAAAUAUAAAAUCUACUAGCUUAAAUUCGCGUAUUCGUACUAAGUACGGCUAAUAAAGAAACUAUUUUAAAACGAUCGAAUUUCGGAAAAUGAAUGGCGAAAUCGGGUUCGGCACGUAAGAAACCUAAGGGGAGACCUCGGGUGCCUCUACGUGCUACCACACGCCGCCACAAGGUGGCAGUCCAGACAGCCACGUGCUGCAUGCGCCAAGGAUAGGAGAGUCCACACGUGCCUUCACGAGCUCGCGAGUGUCUAGAUUUUUGUAGGUUUUUCUUUAACUUCCAGAGCUCUUUCCGAGUUCUAUUCUCAACCAAAAUCGAUGAUUCAAAAACCUAAAUGAAGUUAGAAAUGCAGGGAAUAAAUCUAUACCCAUUUGAGGCUGUGUCAUGGUCGGAGUUGGCUGAAAAAAUGGCCUGAAGAUGGCCUGACGGCAACGGUUCUACAUUUCCAGAAAACUGGGAAAUCUUCCUUAACGGUUCUACCACCAAAACAUGCAUUCAAAGUUAAAAAUAGGAUCAUAUCAUCACUACGGGGAAGAUUCAGGGAAAAACAAUGCUUACCCGAGAUCGGGCAACCGAGAAAUCUCGCUGGAGUUCAAUGAAGAAAACAGUGAAUAGUGGCAUAAGCCACUGCGCAGUGCCAUGCCCUCGUUCAAUAGUGUUGUUUAUGGGUUUGUGGUUCGUGACUGGUCUGUGUUUGUAGUGGCGGUGCUUGCCGGAGUGGUGAAGGUGAUGGUUGUGUUGUUUCUCUGCACUUGUAGAGAGAAGGGGACGAGAAGGAGCUAAAAGAAAGAGAGAGUGUAUAGGGUAGAGAGUGAGGAGAGUUUUUGUGAAUGAUAGAGAUGGAGUGAGGGAAAAGAGAGAGACAGUAUGGGAGGGAGACAUGGAAAGGGGACACGGGAGAGAGAGAAAAGAAUGGGGUGUGGGCCCCACUUAGCACAUAGCCCAAUCCAUAAAAAGACGAAACAAAAAAAUAUCUCCCGUAAAUGUGAAAUUACCAAUGCCCUUCACGCUACAAAAUUCGUAAAAUCUUCGUUGUAACUUUGAAUUCAGUUCUGCUUGUGCCCAUGUGUUCGUACCGUCAAGUACUUUGAGAAUAUAUAUGUUUCUUUGGUCAUGCCCAGAUAAUAAUUAAUUAGGCAUGAAGCCUAAUUAAUAAAAUACUAAUAUAGACAAGCCUACUUACCCAUUUGCUUAACAAACCCAACGAAUAAGCUAUCGAUAUUACAGUUUGCAGCCCGCAAUACUGAUAACUCACUGUUGUCUCAAUAAACAAGUAAUAAAUUCCCAAGAGUACAAAAAUACCAUUUUUCCCCUCAUCGGGAAACGUACCUAAAUAGUCAGAUUUAUGCCUCGUUCGCUCUCACGUGUUCGUAAGGACAUGUACUACCUAGAAAUAUGUCCAAGGUGAUAAAGAGUGUUAAGGACUCAAAUGUCCACGUAUGAUUUCCACCUGUCAGGGGCAUAUUCGUAAUUUUACCAAGGUUAGGGAAUAAAAUAAUAUUAAAUUCAGUAUGGGACGGGACGUCACAUGAAAUACCUCUAUAAGUCUUCUCGGCCCUUAGAAGGGAGGAAUGUUGUGGCGAGCCACCACUUGAUCCUUUAAAAAAAAAAAAAAACUGGAUAAGCAAUGCUCGUCCCUUCUACCACAUACCUUAAUGUGUUACUUAUGUAAUUGCUUUAACGUGAACGGUGCUGAAUCAUAAUCUUUGUCAUGAAGUUAAGUGUGUGUGUGUGUGUGUGUUACUUAUGUAAUUGCUUUAACGUGAACGGUGCUGAAUCAUAAUCUUUGUCAUGAAGUUAAGUGUGUGUGUGUGUGUAUAUAUAUAUAUAUAUAUAAUCUAUUAUGAAGAUUUUAUUAUGUGAAAUUAUAGAGCCAAGCCCAAGUGUAUUCUAACAUUUUGUACAUAAAUUAAAAUCAUGAUUGUUGAAACCAAAUAUGUGCACAUUCAUGGACGUCAGUGAAAUCUGGUUGGAAUUGCCCAUUAUCUCUAACAAGGGAAGAAUAGGGUUGAUUGGAAGGUGUGGUUAAAUCCGAAUUGGACUGCCUACAUAUCUUCGGGAGGAACACAAUGUUUUUUUUUUUUUUAACCAAGUGUUUGUUUAAGACAAAAUAAUAGAUGUCACCCAUGACAAAAAGGAAGAAAAUAAUGCGAACCGGUUCUACAACCAUUGGUGCUAAAUUAAUCAAUUAUGUGGGAAUGGUGUUAAAUUAAGCCCUUGUCCCAACCCUUAUUCAGUUUAGUAUUAUAUAAUUAUGAAUAUUUGUAUAUGUAGAUACAAGUUGGGUUUAAAUGGAUAAACAAAUUUGGAUUUUAUUCCUUGCACUGGUAAACCACAUGAUGAUAGUCAAGAAAGACUGAAAUGCCUCUAUGAAUCUUCCUGGCCCUUAGAAGAAUGCUAUGGCGAAGCCACUAGCUUGUCCCAUUUUUAAAGAAAAAAAUUGGAUAAGCUAUGCUUGUCCCUCCUAUCACAUAUGAUAGGGAUUUUGCUACACGGUUAAAACCUCCUAUAAUACUUGCAAGAAUUACAAGGUUGUUGUAGUAUAAACAGAUCUUGCGAGGUUAUUCUCCACAUGGAUUAUUAAAUAAUUCGAAACAAACCAAAUUUCAAUUAAUUAUUAUAAAGUAGAAAUUGAGAUGAUUGAUUUAUAACGUACUUAAAUUAAAACGAAUUUAAUUAAUAAAAGUAAACUAAUCUGCAAUAUUAAAGAUGAAAGAGAAGGAAAUAGUUUUGGAGAAAUCAAAUUAAGAAAACACUAGGGUUCCACCAUCACCUAUCAAUCCUAUGAACUUUUACCAAUUACUUAUGAUCUACACAUGCCACUUUGAAGGUUAGAUUUUCCUAAUUCAUAUUCUACUUGGAACCUUCGACAUAGAACGUAUAUCUAACAUGCAACCCGUCUGGACAUUCGGAUCAAAUCUGAACAUGAAAGACUCAUUAUGCUUAUCGAAAACCCUUUGAAAAACCAUGCAACCCUUAAGACGUGGUGUUCAUCCUAAGUGAAAUUACAAUUAUUAAUCAUAAGAAGCCAGCGUCAAUUUCAGGGAACCUUCCGACCAAAAUUGCAUCAAAUUACUUUUCUAAAGAUCCUAAUGGUGAUCAGGCAUUAAGACAAUUAGAUAGUUUUUAUCCCGGUAAUUAAUAAUUCAAAGUAUGCAUGCAAUCAAUCAUAAGCAAUUAAAUAAAAAUCACAUAUUCAUGCUAAGGCUCAAGACUUUGACCUAGCAAAAGGAAUUAGUUACACAUAUUCAUAAUUAAAAACAUAGAAAAUAUUAUUAAGAAAAGGAUUGAAAACACCUUAAAAUAGAAAAUCUCCAAGAACCCUAUCAAUUUUCUCUGUCUCCAAAGUUGCAUAAAAGAAAGCGUAGGAAAAAAAAUAAAGAACGGCAAAGCAAUAUAUUUGCUUAGCCAUCCACAAACCCUAAAACAUAGGUCUCUUAUUUCAAUUAGGAAACUAAGAAAAAUAAUAAAAUAUCUUAGAAAAUAAAACCUUAAUUAAACUAGGGGAAUCUGCCAAGUACUUGUCCAGCCACGUUUUAGCCUCAGAUCUCCUCCAAAUCUGGCACAAGAUAGCUUGUUUUAAACAUUAGGACGUUUUGAACACAUCUCCAGAAGGCCACGAAACCAUCCAAGGUCAUCUUGGGCUCCAAAAAUGUAAUUUAAGCCCAGAAACGUCAUUUUCCAACACCGUGCACUGCUUCUUUAUUUUAUCGCCAGAAAAUAACUGCUUGGUAGAAAAAUCCCAAAUUUUGAUACGAUCAAGCUAAGUGACUCAUGAAUGUCCUUCAACUAGAAUUACUCCAAAAUUCGUCCAUUUGGUCCUGUUUUGCUCCAGAGGAAAUUGAAAGUCCUAUAUUGAAAAUACAAUUCAAAGUAUCAAAAUUCUUCCAGAAUAUUAACCAAAAUAUACUAAGAAUAGGGUAAAAUAUAUAAUAUAAAAUCUACUCAUCAACAUACCCUAAUGCAUUACUUACGUAAGUGCCUUAACAUGAAUGAUGCUGAAUCAUAAUCUUUGUCACGAAUUUAAGUAUAUAUAAAAUCUAUUAUCAAGAUUUUAUUAUGUGAAAUUAUAGAGCCAACCGUAUUCUAACAUUGUCUGCAGAACUUGAAAUUAUGAUUGUUUGAACUAAAUACGUGCACAUCCAUGGACGGAGGUGAAAUCCAAUUGGAAUUGUCCACGAUCUCUGACGAGGAGGGAAUGGGGUUGAUUGGAGGGUGUGGUUGAAUCUGAAUUGGACUGCCUACAUUUAUCUAGGAGGAAGAUAAUGUUUUUUUAACCAAAUGUUUGCUUAAGACAAAAUAACAGAUGUCAACCAUGACAAAAGGAAGAAAAUGAUGCAAACCGGUUCUACAAUCAUUGGUGCUAAAUUAAUCAACUAUGUCGGAAUGGUGUGAAAUUAAGACCUUGACCCAAUCCUUAGUUUAGUAGUAUACAAUUACGAAUUUUUUAUUAUGCAGAUACAAGUUGGGUUUAUAUGGAUAAGCGAUUUUGGAUUCGAUUCUCGGCACUGAUAAAUCACACGAUGAUUGUUAAGGGAGUCUAAAAUGCCUUUGUAAAUCUUUUCUGCCCCUAAAAGAGUGGAAAUGUUAUGGUGAAGUCACCAGCUGGUCCUCGUUUUUAAAGAAAAAAAAUUGGAUGAGCGAUGCUCGUCCGUUCUAUCACAUACGCUAAUGUGUUACUUACGUAAUUGCUUUAACAUGAAUGGUACUGGAUCAUAAUCUUUGUCACGAAGUUAAGUGUGUGUGUGUAUUGUGACAUCUCGACCCGAGAUUUAUCGUAUUUUAUUCUCGGUAGUAGUGAAAUUAUCAAAAUACCCCUAAGAUGCCACGUAGGCCUUCCACAUGGACCUCAAUUUUCCUUUCACUUUUCUCAUCUUAUUUUACUAUUUUUGAAUACUACUCAUUUUUACGGACACAUGAUCGCAGACGGAAUUCAAUUCAAAGUUAUAACAAACAAGUUCUGCAAGCUUCAAAACUAAGGGCGAAACUGAUAAUUUUGCACCUUGGGAAUUUGUGACAGCUGACUAAAUUCAGCUUUUAUGUCUGAUGGUCCUCGUGCAGACCAAAUCCAUGCAUGGUUUAGAAAUUUGAACGGCAAGUAGUAAAUGAAAAUAAUAUUUAUUUUGGGUUUGAAAACCCACAUGUCCCAUCACACUUGUCACCCUCACUUUUCUUUCUCUCUUGGCUGGUUCUUUCCCUCGGAAAUGGAUCAUUUCCAGAUCCCUUCCACCUAAGCCAACUGAGGACGAAAUCUGAACCCUUGAAAUUUGAUCCAACGACUAAAGUUAUUAUAACUUUUAAUGAGGCCCUGUUUUUAGUCGUUGGAUCAAAUUUCAAGAGUCCAAAUCAAAUUUCAAAAAUCCAGAUUUCAUGCUCAGUCGGCUCAGGUGGAAGAGAUCAUGAGGGGAUCCCUUUCCCUUUCCCUCUACCUCAUCCUCUCUCUCAAGCCUUAUUUUAUCAUUUCAACUGGCCUCAUUUCUUUCUACCCACUCAACUUUCCCUCACUUUUCUGAAAGUCAUUCUCUUUCUCUAAGUCUCGGUACUCUCUCCAUCCUCACCACCUCUUUCUUCUCUAUGAAACACAUAGAUGGCUCUCAGUCUAUCUCGACUAUGUGCUCACUGCACAGAAAACGUAGCUGCAACACCACCAACUAACCUAACUCCGGCGAGUUUUCGAACAACCAAACCACCCCUCUUUAUGCCUCUUCAAAUCAAACAAAUCUCUAUCAUUGCUUCCUGGAAACCGAACCUGAGCCUCGAACUAACGAGCUCUGACGAGGAGCAAGUUUCUUCGGCGAGUUGGAGGUUUUUGGAGCUCAUGUUUUAUUUGAAACAAUCCCAUGUAUUUAGAUAUCCUCUUGCAUGUAAAUUUUAGUUGGAAGUUACUGAGAUUUGACAUGCAUGCACUGUGCUUCCUAUUUCCAGAAUCUGGUGAAGGCUUUCGAAGGGAAUCUAUCGAAUCCGAGGUGGAUUCGACCCUUAUUACUCCUUUAUCUGUUCAAAGUAAGUCCAUGAGCCUUGUAGUAGUGUUUUCUACAAGAUUUAACUUGAAAUUCGUGAAUUUUGGGACUAAAUUCAUGAUUUGCAACUUUCUAGAAUUUUCCCCAGUUACCAGCAAAGGACCCCGUUGUUGCAGGCCGUUUUCCGUCCACUUUCGACCACGGCUGGUCCUCGUGUUGGUAAAUCCUUGUUUUCCCUUUCCUUAGCUUCAAUUUGACAUAUGGAUUGAUGAAAAUGGUUGUGAUUCGAAUCUAAUUGGAGCUUAGAAAUUUAUCCCGGCCAAACCAGCCCAGAAACCGACGACCUGACCCACAAUAGGGACAGGGUUGACCCGACCAGAAGAAAAAAAAAAGCCAACCAGAUAUGUAGGCUAGAUUCGACCCCCGACCCGCGAGUUGGGGUUAACUCGACCCAGUAUAAAAAAAAAGAAAAGAAAAUGGCCUAAUCCCAAAACCUUUUACAGGCCCAAGCCCAGACACUCCAACCCGGAUCCGAACCUAGGAUCUGGCCCAUUAUAUUUUCUAGAAUAUUCCUUGUGUUGACUUUUUCAAAAUUUUCUUGGAAAUCCUCCUAGGCUAAUUUUGACUCCCUGAGUUCGUUUUUGACAUCUAUUUAGUGAAAUUUCAAAGUUUUAACAUAGUUCACCGUCGGAGCGUCUUGGUUGACUUUUUAGGGUUGACCGUUUAUGUUUUACAAAAUUUACCCGGCACCCUUCUUAGCGUAUUUCGAUGCUCUAAAUCUGAAUCUGCACUCCGUUUUCCCAAAUUUAGUCAUUUAAGUUGAGUUUUACUGAUAGGUUCCAAUAUUAUGCUUAGGUGUGAUUACUAUUGGAGACUCCGACUUUCCCAGCUCGAAUGGUUAUGACAUGCAUGUACCUGUGAGUAGGUUUUUUUGUUUUUACGUAUAUAUAGGUAUAUGUGAUUUUUCUCAACAAGUACUUUUACAUACUAUGAUGUGACAUGCCACGUUUAGCUUUACAAAUAGACUUUUUGACACUUUAUGUUUUUAAUUUUAUUUGUGAGCAUAAACUUGUGGCAUGACAUCCUUGCAUUUUAUAUGCUCAUUAUUACAUGUUUGCACAAUGUCUCUUAGUUAUUUGUACUGUCCUGAGCCAAGGACUAGCUUCACGUGUAGUUCACAUGCACCGUUUACGUUCGCUUUGGAUCCAGAGUUAGGUGUCAGCCUGUCCUUUUGUAUUGAUGUGUUGGACUCGUAUGUGAUGCGACUAGUGCAUCUCACGUGAUGUAGUACCAGAAUGUAAAACCUACACCCAACCUGUUCCAUUGUCUGAUUAUCUCUACAAUGGACUUAUGUGCCUACAGAAAUUAAUGAGCAUUGUUUUCUUGUGAUAUGGAUUUGAGAUUUAAUGUUGAGAUAUCUUGAUGGUGUACCCUACAUCUUUCCAUUCACCUUUGUUACAAGGUACCGUAUUACAUACUAGUAUUAUAUUAUUUUUGGGAAACCAUAUACUUGUUUUACAAAUAGGGGUUACAUUUUUCGAAAAGGUUUUACAAAACUUUAUUUUCAAGCCCACUUACCCUUGUUUUUCGCCCCUCCAGGAUUUUAUUGGCAGAGUUUUCGUGACGACGAGGAUUGUUGGCAAAAGCUGCUAUGUAGGAGACUUCUUCUUUUAGUAUUAAUGUCAUUACCCUUCUUUUACUGCAAUUCAUCUAUGCUCUGACAUCACUUGUGUGAUAUGGAUUCAAUCCCCGCUCACAUGCGUACUCUAAAUUAGUCACUUUUAGGUUUAAUUAUUCACAUUUUUCACAUCACUACACUUUAUGGCUUCGUCACCUUCUAGGUGUUGGCCAGCACAUCGCAAUUUGGUGUGUCCAGGUGGACAUUCCGGGUCGGGGUGUGUCAGUUUGGUAUCAGAGCAUAGGUUAAGCAGUAUCGCAAUCAUCACACACAUGAUGUAAGCAUUUUUGGUUCUUGAAUUCUAACGUCAUAAUUAUGCCACUUCGUUAAACACGAAAUAUGCCAGCUUUUCAUGAUUGUUGAGCAAUUUGGAACAACUAUUGCUGACAAUUUUCUGACGACUUACCAACCUUCUAGAAGAUUACUUUGGCAACCACCACUAGAGUUAAAGGGAAGAACCUCAUUUCCAAAGAAAGACCCGAAAUAGAGACAUUUUGUUAACCCUGAAGCAAGGUAGAUGUAUUGAUAAUUGUGUACCAUCGGAAAUUUACCGACCAAUCACAACUACAAUCUAACCAUCGUUACCAACCCUUAUUUAUUAGGAAACUACAAGCGCUUUCAUCCUUGGCUAUCUUUAUUUUGUGCCACCUCCCAUAACCUUCUCGAGGUUUUGCUUCACCUCGAUGUUCCUGAAAAUUUCUUAGUGACUUUGUUAGUGAUGAUGUGGUUGCAGUUAACGGAAAAACAUCUGGGGGAUAGUCACACUUGGUCCCCGACAACGUCAAUCUUUCCAACAUAGUAGAUAUGAUUCCAGAUCUUCAGGAGGAAGAUUGAAUCUCAUUAAACCUAUCAUGAAGUAUGUUAUUAGUAAAUUCCUUUUUUUCCGACUUUAGAACACUCCAACCAAUACUAGUUCCCAGAAUUUCUUUUGGUGUUGUACUUGUCAUUUCAAUGAGUAUAUGCACUAAAAUAUGAGUUGUUAUACCUAUGGUUAGUAAAAAUCCCCGAAGUAGUGAGUAUUUUCCCUAGAAUUAUGAAACCACCUCAUAGGACCAAUUUCUAACCAAUCGUCUGAAACCAUUCACUCAAGUUGGCUCUAACCUGUAAUCAGCCUACGAUAACGCCAUUUGUUGACGAUGUUGUCCGAUACCCCAAAACUAUAAACCAGUAUUCAGGCGGUAUGAUUUCUAAUACUAGACAGAUGCUAGUAUAUGAGAGUGAUAUCUUUAUGCUAGAACGCUAGUUCACAAUUUCAGGGUAAUGAACAAUAUCAAAAUAUCAUAAAUGUGUUAAUUAGCGGCAUGACUAAUAGACUGAUUAACAGUGACUACCUAAGCCGAAGAAAUUAAAAUCGUGGAAACUUUGGGGCAAGCCUUGUAAGAGAACAGUAAACCCAUAGUCAUGACAACGACAUUAACCACUAGUCAGUCAUUUUAUCCAUAUUUGCUCAAAUACUUCAAUCACAUGGUACCUUAGUCGGGUAUGUCUCGACAAAUUCCUAUGCCACAAUGCAAGUCUGUUAUGCCAGUGCGAGUGUAGUAGUUGCACCAUUUCCAUUACCAAUCUGGUAAUGCCAAUUAAUCUUAUUUUAUCGGAUAUCGUGGAAUUCCACAUAAUCCAAGAAAUGGAUUGACUGCAUUAUUAUUAAUCCUUUGGUGGAGCAUUUACUGAAAGUAGUCAUUUUUCGACGACCCAUCAUCCCUAUGGUCAACCUCAUUGGCAAACAUCAGAAACUGAAACACAAAUUAAUCCCCGUUGUAAAGGCGAAACAUUUAUUGAGAAAAAUUAUGAAGGCUUAUUAACACAUGUUGUAGAGGAAGAAAACAAUCUAAAACAACUGGAAAUUAUGAACCCGGUCAAACUAAAUUAGUGACGUCAUUCCUAAAUAUUUACAUGUGAUACCACUAGAUUGAGAUGUGUGAGGCACCAUUGAUAUUCCUAGGAUUACCAGUUUCCUCAAGCAAACUCGGCCCUCCCAUGGAGAACCUACCACCACUCCACGGUGGAAACAACCCCAUCCUAACCGAUUCUACUCAUACAUUAACAUUACAACCCUAAACAUUACUACCCUAACCGACCCCACCAUGAAUCCUACCCUACCUAUACCGCAAGUUGUUACAUAAAUUGUCCAUCAUGAUUCGUCUACUGCUUCGAUUGGCAUCAAACUCAAUGGUGCCAAUUAUGGAGUUUGGUCUCAGAUUGUUGAGAUGUUUGUUGUUGGAAAAAGACAAGUUGGGCUACUUGUUUGGGAGUAAUCCCCAACCACCUAUUGAUGAUCCGGCCUUCACCAAAUGGCAUACGGAGAACGCUAUUGUGAAGGGUUGGCUCAUCAACUUUAUGAACCCAAUUUAAUUGGGUACUUUCUUCGACUACCGACAACAAAGAAAGUGUGGGACGCGGUUGCUCGCAUGUAUUAUGACAACUCUGAUAUAUCUCAAGCCUAUGAUCUUACCUACAAGGCCUCUCGUAUGAGGCAAAAUGGACGGCCGGUGGAGACAUACUAUAGUGAUCUUCAAUCUUUGUGGCAGGAGAUUGAUUAUCGUCGACCUAAUCCGAUGAAGUAUGGUACUGAUAUUGAAAUUUUUAAUAAAAUUGUUCAAACGUAUUGUAUGUACACUUUGCUUGUAGGAUUGGAUGUGAUGUUUGAUAAAAUUCGUAUUGAUAUUUUACGAACUGAGCCCAUUCCUUCCAUCGAACAAACUUUUGCCUAUGUUCGUAGGGAAGGCAUGCGACAAGCUGUGAUGAAUACCAGAGGACAGCUGCCAAGCUGGACAGCCAUGGUAGCUCGGCCUGCCACACGAGCCGUAGCUCCGCCUCGUCCCCAUGCCCUCGAUAAGUCACCUGCACCGAGCCUAAGAUUGCAACCCCAGGCUACUGCCCCGAGCCAGCACAGGGCUCGCUCUUUGCUGCUAGGACGACCUCACGACCCAGCACAGGUCCCCGUCCUCCUCGUCAUAAACCACCCGUCUCGGCUGGUUGUUGUAUUUACUGAGGCAGUGAAAAGCUUGGCCGUGAUAAUUGCUUGCAAUUGCAUGACUAUCCUAACUGGUGGGAACCGUUAAAGCUUCAGAAACAACGGGAACGAAACGAGCAAGCCAAGCUUGGGCAAGCCAAUCUCGCCACCUCUAUGUCCCAAUUAUCUUUGAUAUCUCAAGAUGAUCCUCCUCCGGUUUUGAGUUCCUCUGACAUGUCUCCUGAGUUUUCAGGUAACUGUGGUUAUGUUUUUAAUAUGAAUAGUGAUGCUACUCCAUCCGGAUGGAUCAUUGACUCCGGUGCCACAAACCAUAUGACUUAUGAUCCCACUGAUUUAGCUUGUGAUACUGUUUCACUUUGACGUAAUAUUACUAAUGCUAAUGGAGUCACCUCACCGGUAACUGGCGCUGGCACCGUGCACAUUACACCCACUCUCUCUUUGCCUCAUACAUUACUUGUACCUUCACUAAAGCAUAAAUUGAUGUCUUCUAGCCAAGCUACUGAACAAUUGAACUGUUGUGUGCUAAUGUAUCCAAAGUUUUGUCUUAUAUAGGAUAUUCUCACGAAGGAGAUAAUUGGUCGUGGUACUAAGAGGGGGGAUCUCUAUUUUGUGGAUGAUGUCAGUACAUGACAGGCCAAUCUCGCCCAAUGAGUCGUUCAUCACAAGAGGCGUCAUAUAUGGUUAUGGAAUCAGCGUUUGGGUCAUCCAUCUUUCAGUUAUUUGCAGCAUAUGUUUCCGGAUUUAUUUGUUGGUUGUUCAGUUUCAGACUUUAAAUGUGACACUUGCAUACUGGCCAAGAGUCAUCGUGUUUCUUAUCUACUGAAUUCUAAUAAAAGUGUUAUUCCUUUUGGUCUUGUUCAUUCGGAUGUUUAAGGGCCAUCUCUGAUUACUACUUCAUCUUCGAUGGUUUGCAACGUUCGUAGAUGAUUGCAUAAAGAUGACAUGGUUAUAUCUUCUUAAGCAUACAAGUGAUGUUUUUUUGGCUUUUAAGACCUUCAACACCAUGGUUCAGACACAGUUUUCUACUAAAAUACGGAUUUUGCUUUUUGAUAAUGGUGGUGAAUAUGUUAAUAAUGAUUUCUACCAUUAUUUAACUAAUCACGGAAUUCUUCACGAUACUACCUGUCUUCAGACUCCUUAAUAGAAUGGGGUGGCUGAGCGCAAACAUCGUCAUCUCUUAGAAAUGGCUCGCUCACUCUUGAUUGGGGCGUCUGUUCCCCGAUCUUCUUGGGAUGUUGCUCUUCAGAUCGCCACUUAUCUUAUCAACCGUCUGUCAUCUAAAGUCCUGGAUUUUUUUACUCCCUUACAAGUCCUUGUUACCUUCAUGCAUCUACCGUCAGUUUUAGUACUCCUUCUUAGGGUUUUUGGAUAUGUUGCAUUUGUUCAUCUUCAUAAAAAUCAACGGAUGAAACUUGAACCGUGUGCUUUAUGUUGUAUUUUUAUGGGGUACAGACUCUAUCAGAAAGGGUACCGUUGUUACCACCCUCCUUCCUCAUUGAAUGUAUGUUACUAUAGAUGUCACUUUUUCCGAGUCUGAGAUGUAUUACCAUUCGGAUUCUUCCAAUCCUACUCCUUAGGGGGAAACAUGGUAUAAUGAGAAGGAUUGGACCAUGAAUGAUACUGUUGAUCUUCCACUGCCACUAGCCGAGCUUAUAGCAGUUGCCCUACCAACCCAGCCAAUAACAGCCGUAGUGCUGCCCACAGAAUCAACUGCAGGCAUGGCAAUGUUGUCUUCACCCACGGCAACAGUGCUACCACUUGUCAACUUUGAGAGAGUUCUACUAAUACUACUCCCCAUCCUCUCUAAAUAUAGUACCACCAGAUGACCAUACUCCUAAGAAUAUUCCUGAGGUAAGCUUUAUCAAUUACCUCUCAGGCACAACCGGGGAAAGCCACCCAAUUGAUAUUCACCGGACACAAUGAAAGGCUCUAAAUACCCCAUUGCCAACUAUGUGUCAUCACAGAAGUUAUCAAAACCUGGCAAAGCUUUUGUAUAACAAAUAUCCAAUGGUAGCACACCAAGUUCAUUGAAGAAGGCACUAUCUGACGAUUGAUGGACCAAGGCAAUGGAGGAAGAAAUGGCUACACUCCAGAAAAAUCAAAAUUGGGAUUUAGUUUCACUUCCUCGAAGAAAUAAGAGAUUUGGGUGUCGAUAGGUGUACACCAUCAAGUACAAAGCUGAUGGGUCCGUUGAAUGAUAUAAAGCACGAUUGGUGGCCAAGGGAUAUACUCAGACAUAUAGUGUUGAUUAUACAGGGACAUUUGCCCCGGUAGCAAAGAUUAAUAGGGUAAGAGUAUUGCUUUCAUUGGCGGCCAACUUAGAUUGGCCAUUACAACAACUUGAUUGGAAAAUGCUUUCUUACAUGGUAAUCUUAAAGAAGUGUAUAUGGAUAUUCCACUUGGUUAUGCAUUGGUUGUAAACCCAGAAUAGUGUGCCAGUUGAAUAAAGCGUUGUAUGGGUUGAAACAAUCACCUUGAGCAUGGUUUGGUAGGUUUCGGAUGGCUAUGAGGAAAUAGGGGUUCAAGCAGAGCAAUUCCGAUCAUCACUUUUCUUAAAACGUCGAAUGGGGAAAUUAAUGGCACUUAUCAUCUAUAUGGACGAUAUGAUUGUUACGGGUGACGACAAAGAGGAAAUCUCAAGGCUCAAAGAUUACCUAGCAACCGAGUUCGAGAUGAAAGAUCUUGGUGGUUUGAAAUAUUUCUUGGGGAUAGAAGUAGCUUGAUCUAAACAGGGUAUAUUUCUGUCUCAAAGAAAAUAUGUUCUAGGCUUAUUAGUUGAAACCGGAAUGCUUGAUUGUAAACUGGCUGACAACCCACAUGGUCCAAAAUCACCAUCUUGUUGUGCAUCCUAAUCAAGUUCCCACUAACAGAGAUCUUUAUCAAAGGUUAGUUGGGAGGUUAAUUUAUUUAUCUCACACCAGGCCUGAUACUGCAUACGCAGCAAGUGUUGUUAGUCAAUUUAUGCAUUCUCCGAGUGAGGCACAUAUGGGUGUGGUUGAACGCAUCCUACGAUACCGAAGUCCUCACCGGGUAGAGGCAUCAUGUUUUCCAAGAAUGAUCAUUGCCAAAUAGAGGGUUACACCGAUGCAGAUUGGGUAGGCAACGUUAUUGAUCGUUUGUCCACAUUUGGUUACUUUACAUUUGUGGGAGGAAACUUAGUGACUUGGCGGAGUAAGAAACAAAAAGUGGUUGCUUUAUCAAGUGCAGAGGCAGAAUAUAGGGGUAUGGCAAAAGGAGUAUGUUAACUAUUAUGGCUUCGGAGGUUACUUGGUGAACUCGGGUAUCCUUCGAAAUCAGCCUUAGAUUUAUUUUGUGAUAAUAAAGCAGCUAUCGAUAUCUCACACAACCCAAUUCAACAUGAUCGCAUGAAACACGUGGAAGUUGACAGACACUUCAUUAAGGAGAAAUUGGAUGGGAAUAUUAUUCAAUUCCCAUUCGUAAAGUCAGAGGAUCAAUUGGCGGAUAUCUUAACUAAAGCUGUUGCAAGUCAAGCGUUCUACAACUCUCUUGUCAAGUUGGGCAUGAACGACAUUCAUGCACUAACUUGAGGGGGGGUGUUGGAGAGUUGACCCUUUGUAAUUAGUUUAGUUACCUAUUUGAGUCCUUGUAAUCAAAUUGUAAUUAGGUUAUUUGAUGUUUCUUUCCUUGUAAAUCACUCUUGUACAUUAUAUAUUUUCCUCAUUGGUGAGAACAAUGAUAUCAGGAAACCCCAAAAUAAGCUCUAAUUAGCACCUUCAUCGUAAAGACCUUUGCUUCCAUUCAUGAAGGGCAAAGACUGAACCUUAAGAUUGUACAUUAUUUACUAGUACUUCAAUUGGGCGACGAUUAAAAACCGUUAAUCCAUGUCUUGAAUUAAAGAUCAUUCAAACCAACUCUAUUGAACUUGAGCUUUCUUCGAGAUUGAUUUGAAGUUUGGUUACGACCAGCUGAAGAUCAGAAAUGAUGAUGCUUUAACACUACGUUCAGGACUCGACAUGUUCAUUAUGAUUCCUCGCAAUGUCAUGCGGGUUGACGGAUGCUCCAAUAUCGUUCAUGAACCUGACAAACCGUGCAUUUUACCCAUGUCCCGAAAGUUCGUGAUAACCUUAUCGAGAACUUCCUUGUUACUCCAAUAAUGAAGUCAGACUUUCUAAACACCGAUGAUUUGAUCUAAGCAAUUUCAAAGCGAAUCAGCUUUACACUAAAUUUUCCAAAUGCCAGUUUUGUUUAGAUCAUGUUUCUUUUAGGAGACGUGAGCUCAGCAAAUGACAUUCUUGUCAAUCCCAAAAAAUGUUGCAGUUGUAAAAAAAUUGGAAACCCUACAAGGUUUUGCAAAAUGCUAGGUAUCUUUGGUCUCGUCGAUUACAAUCGACAUUCGGUGCUAACUUUCUCCACCUUAGGCUAACUCCUUACAAGUUGACCAGGAAAGAAGUUAGUUUCAUUUGAGAUGUGAAUGUGAUUAAGUUUCUGACAACUGAGAUGUUGCCUCUUUCUGACUAUUGUUCUUACACUUCUCGAUGACACCAAUAAUUACGAAAUCUACAAUGAUACUUCACUGAAUGAUCUGGAUGCAUGCUGAUGCGGCAUGGUAGGGUAACCGCUUAUACCUACCAACAACUGGAACCACAUGAAGUGAACAUUCUUACUUACGACUUGGAGUUGACAAUUGUUGCUUUUAGACUAAAAGCUUGAUGACGAUUUCUCUAUGGAGAAACAUGCCAAAAUCUUUAUCGACUCCCUUAAACCCCUCAAAUACAUAUUCAAUUGGAAGAAGCUUAAUUGCAGAUGGCGGUAACGGAAGAAAUUAAUCAAUGUCUACGAUUACACCAUCAUGUACUACCCCGAUUGUGUAAACGUAGUUGCUAACGACCUCAACAGAAAAGCACAUGGAUAACUCAGCCAUUAUAUCCUAUUUCAGUUACAACUCACGAGUAUUGAUGUGACGUUACUUACAGAUCAUCAGGAAGCCUUGUUAGCUAAUUUCCAAGUCCGACCCUUCUAUUUUUGACUUGGGAUGAACAAUGAGAUUGCUUAGCUAUUAAGCAAAUACCUAAUUUUCGGCAUGUCAAAGCAGAAAGAAAGAAAUCGUUCGAGUUAUUAUAAUCACUCCUUAUAUUCAGGUGGAUAUAAAAGAAUAUCACCAUGGACUUCAUGUGCGGGGUCUGUUGGAAGUAUGCCCACAAAGCCACUCAUUUGAUGUAAUAGCUUUUGGAAUACUUAAUGUGUUAAACUAUUAUAUGUUUCAUGAAUGAAAAUUUUUAUUGUUAAUCAUUAUUUAUUGUAUUAUGCAUUUAAGCAAUAAGGGAAUCCAAGGAAUGUAUUUAAUCUAAGAGAGAAGUUAUCUAAGUAAGUUUGAUUAAUGAGACCUUUCUCUUAUGUUCAUUCCUAAAACGUUCCUAGCCACAUGAUUGCCAAUUGGGCAUUGACAAUCCGCUAAGGUUAGUAUGUGUUAUGUUAACUCAAGUGUGAGUAUGACUAGUCUCAAGUCAUUUAGUGUUGGACACUGAAACGAACACAUAGGUGCUCAAAAGGUAAUUGAGUACACUGAACAACGAUAAAAAAAGUUCGAACAUACAUGUCAUGUAAGAACUCAUAAGUUGCAAUAUGCAAAGUAAUCAUUUGACCUGAGUCAUCAUAGAUGUCUAAUGGUUAGGUCCUUGAUCUUUGAUCAUGCAAAAGCAUUCCAUCGAGAGUGUCCACAGCAUUGUUGGGGUCAAGCUAUCUAGUCAUGUAGGCAUAUGAAUGCACAACAAGGGAUCUUUAACCUUCCAUGGUGGAGGGAGAAUACUCUGAGAUAUGAUUCGGGAGUCUUUGGUGAAAGCAUACGAACAUGACUGAAGUUUGUUCCAAAUCAUAUUCAAUUAAAUCAUAUAGAGAAAUAUCACAUUGGAUAAUAGACAUGAAACAAACUAUCACUCAAACAAUGUGAUUAAGAGUAUUGUAUUAGAGAGGGACCGUAUUGCAUUGUAAUUGUAACUGGAUAGGUUCUCCAACCACUUCUACUUAGCUUGGGUAGCCAUGACAUACUGCUAGGUGUCACUCAUGGUUUGUGGAAGCCCUGAAGAUUAAUAAACACUAAUCUUCAUCAAAGGGAGAAUUGAAAUGUAGUUUCAAUUCACAAUCAAUCGUUAAGAGUAACAAUCGCCCACUGCCUCGCUAAAUGGAACCUAAUGGAUCGUACACCAAGUAAGGAAAAUGUGAAGAUAUAAAAGAGAUGGAUAAGCAAUUAAAUGGUUUAAUUGAGAAUGGUCAAGAUUAAUUAAUUAGUUAAUUAAUCUUACGAAAGGUUCGUAUUGGGCUUUUAAGUUGGUUUUGGGUUUUGGGGCCCAAAAGGGUUUUGGUCCACAAGGCCCAUUGAGUUUAUGUUGUGUGACAACUAAAACUAAAUGGAAAAAUAGCCCAAGAACAAAGCUAAAACCGGACACAUUAGGGAGAGUGAGUUGAUUGACUUAUUACAAGUUUGUCACUCACUUGUGAGAUGGUAUAAAGACAACUUUAUAGCCAUUACCUCAUUAGGAUUUUCUUGAGGAAAAUAAGAGAAACCUUUUCUCUCCCUUUUCUCUAUAGAGGCCGGCCUUCCUAAGGGUGUUUACUAGCAUCUAACUUCCUCUAGGUAAUCCAUUUCAUCUUCACACCAUCAUCCUUGGUGUGGAGACUUAGAGGUACCAAACCUUUGGUACUUUUGGAGUUCCUUUCCUCACAUCCUUAAGGAGCAAGAAGAGCAUCAUAAGGAAAGAAAAUAACAAGUAAGAUCUAAGGAGCUAGGAGGUGACUUGAAGGCUUUCCACUUGGGUGAAUCCCUUGUGUAAACAAGGAUGAGCUUCAAGGGUAAUGAAUCUCAAAAUCCUUUCUUCUCUUUAAUGCUGUUAAAGAGUCUUAUGGUUCACCAUUCACUAGGCUUUGAAAGUCAUGGGUUUUAGAAUUGUUUUUGAAUACAUGCCUACUUUAAAGUGUUAUUAGUUUGCAUAUGUGUUCAAAUGUUCUCACAUGUUCUUAGCUAGGACAAAACUUUACCUUCAAGGUCACCUUGUAUACUUGGAGACAAUGAUGAUGUUUUUGUGAUUGUUGACCAACUUACUUGGGUGCACAUCUUCUGUCGGUCAAUGAGGACACCCUUUCGACCGAUUGGAAAAAUCCUAUCCCACAUUUAUUUUUAUUUUAUUCCCUAAUGCUGGAAAAUUUCAAAACGCCCUUGACCGGUUAAGUGGAAAUCCUACGCAGAUUUCAGGCAUGGACAUCUGAGUCUUCAUUACUCUUUGUUCCUUUUCACAUCCUUCUAAUACGUGUUCUUACAAACAUGUGUGCACGUAUAAGGCGUAAAUAGCAGGACACACACACACGUGUGCAAGUAUGCCUGUUUCUGGUAGUAUUUUAUUAAUUAGGUUUCAUACGUAAUUAAUUAUUGUUUGGGCUUGACCCCCCCCCCCCACACACACACACACACACACACACACUUACUCUGGUAGUGCUUGCCACUACGAUCACGUGGACGCAAGCGAUAUGAAAUUUAAAGAUACCACUAUGUUGAAGAGGCUUCAUGGGAAAUGGAAGAACGUGUGAGAGACUUGUAUUCGUAUUUCUUCCUUGACUAUUGUUUUGAAUUUCGAGGAUGAAAUUUUCUUAAAGGUGUAGAUUGUAACAUCCCUUCUCGAGAUUUAUCGUAUUUUAUUCUCAGUAGUAGUGAAAUUAUCAAAAUACCCCUGAGAUGCCACGUAGGCCUACCAUGUGGACCUCAAUUUUCCUUUCAUUUUCUUGUCUUAUUUUACUAUUUUUGAAUAGUACUCAUUUUUACCUACAUGUGGCCACAUAUGUGAUUCAAUUUGGAGUUAUAACGAACAAGUUAUGCACGUUUCAAAACUGAGGGCAAAACUGAUAAUUUUGCACCUUGGGAAUUUGUAACAGCUGACUAAAUUCAACUUUUGUCGUCUGAUGGUCCUCGUGCAGACCAAAAUCCAUGCAUGGUUUAGAAAUUUGAACAUCAGAUAGACUCCGGGCAAGUAGUCCUUUAAAUAAUAUUUAGGCUAAAUAGCCAAAAUGUUCCCUGAGAUUUGCAUAACUCAUCACUUUGGUCCCUAACAUUUCAAAUCGAUAAAAGUGGUUCCUGAGAUUGUCCACCAGUCAUCAUUUUGGUUCUUCCGUUAAAAACUCCGUCAAGUGUCCCAGAGCUCUUGGCCGCAAAUUUGGACAAUUUUCAAAGCUUCGUAACUCAAUCGUUCUUAACCGAAUUCGACCCAUAAUAUAUCAAAAUGAAGAUAGGAAAGUGUAGAAUAAGAUUAUACCUAUUUGGAAGUCUAAUGGCUUCCAGAGAUAGCUGGAAAAUAGCCUCAAAGUUGACUGGUCCGAUGGAAAACUGGAAAACUCGCCGGAAACUGGGUAAACUUUAAACGUUCAUAACUUCUUCAAUCACCGUGGUUUGGCCAGAAAAUGGCUUGAAAGUGGCUGUUUUGGUCUCGAGUUAGCCACUUUUGAGCCGUUUUCCGGCCAAACCACGGUGAUUUAGUCAAGAAGUAUUAUGGGUCGAAUUUGUAUAAUCUUAGUAUAAUCUUAUUCUACACUUUCCUAUCUUCAUUUUGAUAUAUUAUGGGUCGAAUUUGGUUAAGAAACGAUUGAGUUAUGAAGCUUUGAAAAUUACCCAAACUUCCGGCCAAGAGCUCUGGGACACUUGAUGGAGUUUUUAACGGAAGGACCAAAAUGAUGGAUGGUGGACAAUCUCAGGGACCACUUUUAUCGAUUUGAAAUGUUAGGGACCAAAGUGAUGAGUUAUGCAAAUCUCAGGGAUCAUUUUAGCUAUUUAGCCUAAUAUUUAUUUUGGGAUUGAAAUGGAAAAUACUUGGGUACUCAAUGGGGAGUACCCAAAAGACUGACUAAAUGAAGUGGCCCAAUGAGAACAAAACACCUGUUUCAUUAUAAGUUCAAUAAACAUGUAACCAAACACAAUGUUAACCACACAUCCAAACAACCCAUUUCUUCCCCAACGCCCUCCCCCUCCCAGCCUGCAUCUCCUUCUUGCUUCUGCCAGUUUCAGUGCCGGUAACCUCGUCUCAUCCAUCGAACCCACCCGUAUCUUCUCCUCCAAUCUCUCUAACGUCUCGCCCCCAAACCCUCUUCUUUAUCGUAGCCAUGGCAGCACCACUUCCCUCCCUUUCCUUCACCGGAGACCACGUCAAGAUCGGCGUCGAUUAUCAAACUACAAAAGAUACCCACAACCACUUCUCUGCGCUUCGCUAGAAACCAUGUCAUCAUCGGCGUCGAUUGCAUCCGGCGACUUCCUUUUGAUGUUGAUUUGAAGAGAAAGAACGAAAGAGAGAGCAAAUCCUCUAAUGGUGGGUGAUCCGACGAGGCCACGGUGGUCGGUUGACACUUAUAAAUGGGGGUCUACUUGUCUUCUUGUUAAGAGAGAAUAUGAGUGCUUGGAUAGUGAUGAAGAGGAAAUUUGGAGUGUUUCGUUAGGGAAAUAGCGGGUGUUUUGUUAAUAAUAAAAGAUUGCUUAAAGUGCCAGCUAUUUCAAUAUUAUUGGUCCACCUCAAAAAUUCAAUAUGUUGCGUCCUGAUCGGUCAAGUCCCAAGUAUUAUCCGUUUGAAAACCUACAUGUCCCAUCACACUUAUCACCCUCACUUUUCUUUCUAUCUUGGCCGGUUCUUUCCCUCUACCUCAUCCUCUCUCUCACGUCUCAUUUUUCUUAUUAUUUUAUAAUUUAUUUUUGUCAUUUCAACCGGUCUAAUCUCUCUCUCUACCCACUUAACUCUCCCUCACUUUUCUGAAAGUCAUUCUCUCUCUCUCUGUAACUCUCGGCAUUCUCUCCAUCAUCGCGCAUUUUAAAUCAGUCACUUUUAGGUUUUAAUUUAUUCACAUUUUCCACAUCACUACACUUUAUGGCUUCGUCACAUUCCAGGUGUUGGCCAGCACAUCGCGAUUCGGGGUGGACAUUCGUGGUCGAGGUGUGUCAUAUAUAUAUAUAUAUAUAUAUAAUUUAUUAUCCCUUAUACAUAAAACCAGAGUCGUAAUGAAUAGUGCAUUUAGGGUCACGGCUUCGACAAAAAUGAAUAUGGCCAAAAUGCCCCUAAGCCAAAAAAUAAAUUCAAAAGAAGUAAAAUAGAAUGCAUAAAAUAAUACAAGGGUAAUUUUGUAAAUUUAAUUUUUUUUAAUACUGCCACUGAAUCUCUGACACACCCUGACCCAGAAUGUCCACCAGGACUUCGAAUCGAGUUGUGCUGGCCGACACCUGGAAGGUGACGAAGCCAUAAAGUGUGCUGAUGUAAAAAAAAAUGUGAAUAAAUUUAAACCUAAGAGUGCCUAAAUACCAAAGUGCACCAGUGAGCAGGAAUGAACCCACUUCACGAGUGACGUUAGAGCAUAAACAAGUGCAUAAGAGUGAAUUAAGAAUCGUACCCUUCAAAUAAUCUCCAAUACUAAGAAUUGCCACGAAUCUUCGACAAUAAGAAGCUCAGCUAAUAAGACCUGGUGGGUGAAGACAAGACAAAGGUGAGUGACCCUGUAAAUAAAAUUUUAAUAGAAACCAUAUAAAUUUUUAUAACCCCUCGCUACGACACCCGUAUAAUUUCCAGAAAAAUCAUAAACAUACCACAACCUAUCAUCUGGUCAGCAAUAUCAAAUAAUCAUAUGAUUAAUAACUCAUACUAGUACGCAAGUCGGAGUCACCUAUGGUGACCUGUACUACUUACCCGUAUUUCAUCACAUAUACUAAUUCAUCACAUAUUUCAUUACAUAUGCUAACUUAUCGCAUAUUCAUCACGGCUGCUAGCUCAUCACGUAUUCAUCACAUAUGCUAGCUUAUCACAUAUUCAUCACUUAUGCUAGCUCAUCACAUAUAUUCAUUACACAUGCUAACUUAUUGCAUAUGCAUCACGUCUGCUAACUCAUCACGUAUUCAUCAUAUAUGCUAGCUUAUCACAUAUUCCUCACAUAUGCUAGCUCAUCACAUGUUCAUCACAUAUGCUAGCUCAUCACAUGUUCAUCACAUAUGCUAGCUCAUCACAUGUUCAUCACAUAUGCUAGCUCAUCACAUGUUCAUCACAUAUGCUAGCUUAUCACAUAUAUUCAUCAUGUCUGCUAGCUCAUCACGUAUUCAUCACGUCUGCUAGCUCAUCACGUAUUCAUCACGUCUGCUAGCUCAUCACGUAUUCAUCACAUAUGCUAGCUUAUCACAUAUAUUCAUUACAUAUGCUAACUUAUCACAUAUUCAUUACAUAUGCUAGCUCAUCACAUAUUCAUCACAUAUGCUAGCUCAUCACGUAUUCAUCACCUAUGUUAACUCAUCACAUAUUCAUCAGCUAGCUUAUAAGUCGGAGUCACCUCUAGUGAACUAUACGACGUAUUCAUAUCUCAUUAAUCAUGGCUAGCAUGUAAGUCGGAGUCACCUCUAGUGACCUAUACGACACUAUGCCUGCACACGAGUUGGAACCACUGUAGUGGUCUAUACGAUAGGACUGGGUAUAAAUGUAUACGCUCAAGUGCUACAAUCACAUGAAGAGUCACCUACGAGUCGGAACCACUUAUAGUGGUCUGUACGACAGGCCUGUGCACCUACCUUGAAUUCAAGGUGAACAUAUGGUGCGGGAGGUGAACAUUACGUGAAGAACUAUGCUCUGGCCACGGGCGGGAGCACUAACAUCGGGGUGUAGGUUUAUGAGCUUUAAAUGCAUCUAAUACAACAUGUACGACUCAUAAGCAACAUGUACGACAAUGCCGGAGUUGCCUACUAUUGCAACCUGUACAACAAUGUCGGAGUUGCUUAAAACAUAAAUGUAGUCAUACCAUAACCCCAUUAAUUCAACUAAUACCGUAUACUUACCUGAACUUACCUGCGCCUCCUCAGCAUUGUUUAACACAACAUAAUUCAAAACAAUGUAACACUUAGAAUAUAACACAUUUUAGAAUAGCAUGAAUUGCAUAACCCAACUUAAAACAUUUUUGGAAACCAUAAAGCAUAUAUAUAUAUACACAUAAACAAAUGCCCACUCACAUUGCUCAAUUCCCCAAACAAUGCUAUUGUCUCAAUUAUUUAGUCUUAUUUAUUAUAUGGCUGCAUCUAACGUCUCGCUAGACUGCCUACGUACCCUAAACAGGGAUCAAGCCAUUCGUAGUUCAUAGUAAUUGUAAGUCAUAAACAAUUAUAGACGUUUAUGGAAUUAUCAAUCACACACACACACACACACACACAUAUAUAUAUAUAUAUAUAAUAUACGAUGGAAAGGAAAAGACCCACUCACCUGAGGCCCACGCUAUGAUCCUCUAGCACGCACAUCUAGGCGUCCUGAACGAUGGGCGCCUGUGACCAAUUAUAGAAUCACAUCUCAGAACUCUUAUCAAUAGAAUACGUAAUUCACAUAAAGCAAAUCCUCAAGGACGUUCUAAAAUAGUUUGAGACCCAUUGACCACAAGUCAACCGUCGAUCGAAGUUCGACGGUUGGGUCCACAACCCUGUAAAACUCGAUCCGGAAGAUCCGUAUCUCAAAUUCCUAAUCCACAACCUCCAAAGAUCCAAAAUAUACUUCUAGAAUAACAUACUAAAAUUUUAUUACGAUCCAACGGUCAGAUCUCCUUCAAUUGCCCAAAACUAAGUGACGGUUAAUAUUUAUUUUAUAAACUUACAAAUCCAGUUCGAGAAGAUCUGUACAUCAGAUUCCCAUUCUGUAAGUUCCUAUGAUCCUGAAGUAUUAUGCACUAUAAUGUAUUAAAGUUUGGUGAUGAUCCAACGGCCGGAUCGUCAAUUUAUAUUUUGACCUAUUCACGUGUCGAAAUGAAACUAAGCCCAAAUAAUGAAAUUACGUCAUACGGAUAUCAAUUAUGAACCCAGGGAAUCUAAUAGCACUUAAAUAAAACAUCAUUGGCUCACAGGCCACGUGCCGCCGCGGGUGGCGGUUGGCCGCCCCGACUCUCCGGAAAAUUCAACUAUUUUUAAAAAUUCUCAAAAAUUACAGAAUUGAAGAUCUCAAAUAUUAGAGUAAACUUUAUACCUGUGGCCAAGUCCCAUUUGGCCUAGAAAGGCUCCAAUUUUUCUAAAACCGUACGAAACCCUAGAAUUAGGUGUGAUUCGAUUCGACCUCCAAACUUGCUUUGACGCCUCCACCAUUACUUGGGCUUUGUUCCUGGGUUCUAGGGGAGUGUUUUGGUAGUGGUAAUUGAAGGAAAACGUUUCACAAAUGGGUGGAUUUCGAGUAACCUUUCCUGCGGCACCCAUGGUGGUUUUUCCAGCAAACUUCAACCAAAUUCCUUUUAAUUUUGGGUGGAAAUGGAAGAGGGAAGGUUAUGGAGUAGGUUGCAGGUAGUGGGAAGGUUUGAAUUGCCUGAAAAAUUGCCAAAUUUGGCCGUGUGCUUGUUUGGUCGAACGGGUCAAGGGGGAAACCCGGUUUCCCCUUUCAUUUUAUUUUUCCUCCUUUCCCUCCUUUCUGCCUUCUCUAGUUGGUCACCUCCUCCUCUCUCCUCUCCCCAUUCGUCUACCCUUUCUCUCUAUAUUUUUUGACUGGGCAGUAGCCCUUUCUUUUUCUUCCUUCCCCCGUUCCCCACACUUCUUCCCCUAUUCUUCCUUUUUUCAAAAUAACUAAAAAAAUGAAAAAAAUAAUUAUAUACAUUAUAAAAAUAUAUGAAAAUAUAUAAAUAGUGACUAAAACCAAAAUACUUCUCGAGUACUUCAGGAAAACGCUAAAUGAUUAAUUCAUACACUUCACUAUAUACUGAUCCACGAAAGUCAAUACCCUCGCCUCUAAAGGUAUUUUAGUAAAUUCACAUUUUCAAAUUUAUAAAAUAAUAAAAUUUGGGACGGGUUGUCACAAUCUCUCUGCUGCUACUUUUGUAAAUUUAAUUUUCUAGGGAAGCAUCUGUAAACAUGGAAAUUCAUGCGAUGAACAAGACAAGAACAUGUGUACAAAAUAAUAUUUGUAUUGAUGAUUUAAGGGUUACAAUCUCUUCUACAAAUUUAGCAUCUGAUUCUAUUUUUGUAAUGGGUAAUUUUGAUGUUGUUGAUCCAAAGGGUCGUCGGGGCUUGAUCUUUAGGAUGAACGGAUGAUGAAUGAUGAACACUUUCUUCAAGGGCCGUCUGGGCUUGAUCUUGAAUUAGUGGAAGUUUCUUCAAGGGUCGUUGGGGCUUGAUCUUGAAGGAGGAUUUUGACGAAGAACGAAGAGGGCUCUCUUGAUUCUUCGGGAUUUGCUUGAGAGCUUUAGAGUUUCAAGGCUUCAAGGCUUUGGUGUGAUGUGAAUUCUCUUCCAAUUUGGGAGUAGAGAUAAUGUAUGUAAAAUCCUCCCUAUUGCUUGAUGGAGAAGCCUAUUUAUAGGCUUUGAGAAUGAAUCAACACCAUCCAUUUGUUUGGUGAAGUAAGUGGAUGUUGUAGGUAGGAUGAGUGUGUGUUGUAGGUGAGGUGAGUGUAUGCUGUAUGUGAAGUGAGUGUAUGAUGUAGGUGAAAUGAAUGGGGGGUUGUAAUUUUAAUACAAUUGUCAAUACUUAUUUCACCGAAAUUUCAAUGUCUACAAAUGCCCCCACUUCAAGGCGCGUUGUAUACAUGUGAUUGUCACGUGUAGAAGAUGCGUUUUGAAGUCCCUUAAUGUAGAUGUCGAUCCAAGGGCCGUGAGGCUUAAUCUUGAAUUGGGCUGGGAGUUUCUUCAAGUGCCGUUGAGGCUUGUUCUUGAAUUUUGUUUGAAAUUUUUUCAAGGGCCGUUGAGGCUUGAUCUUGGAUGAAAUUUGGACCACAAGGAGCUUCAUGUGGUAGAUGAUCUUUGGCUUUGGUAAUGGAUGAAUCGGCACAUAUUUUGUUGCGCUUGUUGACUUUCCACAACUUUGAUCUUGAACUAAGUUGGAGGGUUUUCUAGUUUCAUCCAAAGGACUUUCCACAUACUUAAUCUUGAACUGGAUUUGAUUCAAGGGUGGUGGACACUUGAUCUUGAAUCGGACUUGUGAUUUCUUCAAGGGCCGUUGAGGCUUGAUCUAUAACUUAAACAUGACCACGAGCAGUUUCAGGAUUUGGACACAUGGCAAGUAGGCACGAGAUGGAGAUGAUGGUCUGCUUCUUUUUUUCAAUCUUUCCAAUUCAUAUUGAAGAAGGUCAGGGAGGGGAUAAGGUCAGAUGUUACAAAAAUUUUCUUUGAAAGAUCAAGGAAGUUCGCAGCAUUUUCAUAUGAACCCUGAGCAGUUUGGUUGACGGUAUGAUCUUCAAGGGUUGUCGAGACUUUGCUCUUCGGAGACAGUGCGAGUGAAAGGUUGUUGAAGCUUCUCGAGCUCUUUGAUUAUAGCAACGAUGGUGGGCUUGAAUUUGACUUAGACUCAUGUCAAUCAGCUUCGAAAGCUUCAUUUACGGGCGUUGUGCUGCAGUGAUUUUUUCCUGCUUAUCAUGCUGCAUUCUUGUCUGCUUGUUUUUUUCGCCUAGCAGAAGUAGCGCAACCCUUUGCCUUUAAAUGGUCUUUCAGAGCAUCACUUUUCAGCCACUUAUCCAUGCUUGGCAGCUUCAGUGUAAAGAGCCAACACUAUACAACUGUCUUGAAGUAUUUACAGAGGGAAUUCGAGACCUGUCAAUAGUUGAAGAUGAGCACUCGAGAGCAAUGCUAGGCAAACAACCAGGCAAAGGUUCCGAGCAAUCAGUUCCCAAUCGGAAGUUUGAUUUCGGGUUCCGACUGAUUGCUUUCUUUCUCCUUGUUCUGCAGGCAAGAGCAAGGGCAAUGGAAAAGAUAGGAGGAAAACAUGAUAUGAGAUACUUUUGCUUUCGACCCUAAUGAUAUGAGAUACUUUUGCUUUUGAAGAAGUAGCAGACGAUUAGCACAUGUAUUUGUUGUGCUUGUCUCCACAUGCUUCGAUGCAUCAUUUUCACUUGCUUCUUCUGUUCUUCGGGUAGGUGUGGUAUCUUCUCUGGAAGCAUAAGAUGUUGAAACAAUGGGUAAUUCGAGAGCAGUGCUAGGUAAGCAACCAUGCAAAGGUUCCAGGCAAUCAGUCCCCGAUCGGAAGUUUGAUUUCAGGUUCCGACUGAUUGCUUUCUUUCUCCUUGUUCUGCAGGCAAGAGUAAGGGCAAAUGGAAAGACAGGGGAAAAGCAUGAUAUGAGAUACGUUUGUUUUCGACCCUGAUGAUAUGAGAUACGUUUGCUUUUGAAGAAGUUGCAGAUGAACCAACACGUAUUUUGUUGCACUUGUCUCCACAUGCUUCGAUGUAUCAUCUUCACUUGCAUCAUCUGUUUUACAAGCAGAUGUGGUGUCUUCCUUAGAAGUACAUCAACGAUUGAAGAUAAGUACUUGAGAGCGAUGCUAGGUAAGCAAUUAGGGAAGGGGUUUCCAGUCAGCCGGUUCCAAGUCGGAAGGUUGAUUCCAAGUACCGGUUGAUUGCUCUAUUUCUCCUUGUCCUGCAGUGAAGAUGGAGGACAAAUAAAAAGAUAGGGAGAAAGCAUGCUAUGAGAUACUCUUGCUCUCAAUCCUAGUGAUAUGAGAUACCUUUGCUCUGGUGUGACUUGGUUGAAGAGGUGUUUCCAGGGAGGAAGAAAACUGAGUAUGUUGAGAGGUUUGGUUGUAGAUGUAUUCUUGGCAAGGAAGAAGAGUCAGACGUUUGUAUCUUCAGGGAGGAAGAAAAAUGAGUAUGUUGAAGGGUUUGGUUGCAGAUGCAUUCGGCAAGGAAGAAGAGUCAGGCGUUUUGGAUGUGUGCCUUGCUAUAGAGGAUGUAGGUCGAAUUAUAUGGUGUUUUCCCAAUAGCAAGUGGUAGUGCGAAUGCGGCCUUGUUACCCAUGCUUGUCGGCCAAAAGUGUGGUAGUUGGAAUAAUGGACUUCGCACGUUUUCAACUUUGUCAGUGAUCUUUGACAAAGUUGCACGUGAUAGCCGAAAGCUGAGAUUGCGUCUGAAAAGUGUUGACGGACUUUACGUAGGAAAUUCCGUGUUUUGAAAUUCGAAGAGUGGUGUCUCUUUGAUUUUUUGAACAAGUGGUUGUGUUGCCUUUCCUUUUAAAGAGGUGUCAAUCGUAUUCAACAUGCACAUUUUAAAGAUUGCCCGCCCUUGAAAAUUGUCUUUGCUGUAUUUCUGAGAUUUUACUCACUCCAACCCUUUUCUUUUACCAUUUUUUUGGAAAUAGCAUACCCGUAUAACAUUUGCUUAGAUUUGAGUUUCGGGAAUGAUACAGGUGCGCAACGUUAGGUUAAUAUAUGGCGCCCGUCCUUCUUUUUUUCUAAUGGCCCUUUUACAGUUGAAGACUCUGUGAUGAGGGAUGCAACAACGGCUAUGGUUGUAGCUAGGAACCUCCUCACUCCUAGAGAUAAUAGGUUGCUUUCAAGGCGGUUCGAUGAGUUGGCUGUCCAAGACUCCAUAGCUCUCAGUAUUCAGUGUGCGGGCUUUGUGUCCAAUAUGGGCUAGGGUUUAUUUGCUCGAACUUGCCAAGUUGAAUCAUUGACGGCCGAGGUUGAAAGCCUUGGACGAGAGAUCAAACGUCUCAAGCGCGAGAACAGAAAGUUGCAUGAGCUUGCAAAUAAUUAUUCAACCAGCAUGAAGAGAAAACUUGAUGAGCUGUAGGAAUCUGAAGGUCGGAUUCAAAGUGACCAUCUGAAGGCCAGAAUACUUCUUUCAAGCCAUAAAUGAUAUAUAUUCCUUCAAUCGUCACAUCACCAUCACCAUUUGCGUCCUUUCAAGCCAUAUAUAUAUAUAUAUAUAUGUGGAAGUUGAUCAUCCCGUCACCAUCACUGUGUACACAUUGUAUAUAUUUAUAUAUGGAACUUGGUUGCCGUGUCUUACACACACACACACACACACACACACACACAAUACCAUAUAAUGUGUCUAUUUUUAUGCACAGUGUGUUUGUGCUCCCCCACUGAUGGAUUUCUUUACUGUGAUGCCAGGAAAUCUUUUAAAUUUAAGAAGGCAGAGCAUGACGUCGAGACCCUUAUGAAGCUUUCAGAGGUGUGAUUGUUGGUGGCGGAGUGAGCAGGUUGCCUACUGCUUAUGCUAGAGACUGCAACGGGGUUUCGAUGUGUAGUGCCUUUUAAUCAUAGUUUUCCCUUGGUGGUGCGCUGCCGUAUGGUGCUAUGCAAGAGUCUGCAGCGGGGCUUCGCUGCGUAAUGCCUUUUGGUCAUAGUUUUUUCUUGGUGGUGACGUCGACGUGCGGUGCAAGAAACUACUUGCGUAGUCACUGCGGGUUUGCGUAGUACGAUUACGUAGCAUUUUGGUUUCCUUUGCCACUGUAGCAUGCCUUGAAGGACCAUCCUGUAGCUGCCAUCUUUGCCGCUGCUGCUUGGAGCCUGUUCCAGUGUGUCACCUUUACCGUGUGGGGUUGUGUAAAAGAUUGCAGCAAGUUUAUGCUGUGUAGUGCCUUUUGAUAUAGGUUCCCUCUUUAAUUGGAAAUUAGAUCAUUCUAGGAAAGGGAAAUAAAUUACUUCUGAAGUCUAUUUAAGUCUACAUUAAGUAAAUGAUUAAAUCAACUUCAAAGAGCAAUUUAUUCUACCCUACAAGAGAGAGAAAGCUAGAGGAUAUUUGUUCCUCUUCCCCUAGCAAUCUUCUACACUUGCCCGUGCAAAAGACCAUCUUUCGUUGCUUUGUUUAUCUUCUCCACGCCAUAUCGUGGUAAGAAAAAAAAAUUCCUUGUCUUCUUCUUGGAUAGUGCUGUCGCGCUGCAGCACGUCGGCUCGGCAUGGGCCGAGGAGGUGUUAUGGCAGAGACCACCGCUUAGGCUGCUCGGCUUGGCUAAAACCAAGGGCAGCUGUGUGGCAGGGGCUACAGAUUGAGGUACUAGGGCGCAGUGCUAGGCGAGCUGCAUUGCUUAUGUCUUUUGGGGUCUUGAACCUGACGUGGGCCAAGCCGGCGGUUAAGAGAAAUGAGGAGAUUGUAGCCCUCAUGGGCUAUUGGAAUGUUGGACAUCCAGGCCUCCUGCUUGCUGGUCUAAGAGAAUAAAUGAGGGAAAAGCCAAUAUGGGUUGAGCUCCCCUGCUGAGUACUGUGAAUGGCGUUAGCUGCUUAGUCAUCUUCGUCGGGAGAAAGGUGGGCUGCUCUUAAAAGAGGAGAUAGGAUUACGGCGGAUGCAUUGGCUCGUCUGAUCGCUGUCAUGGAGCCUAUUAUGAAUGAAAGUGUAAAGAAGAGAUUUUUCCAGCCUGCUCAAGAGAUGACGGUUGAGAAAAAACUGAAGACUUCCUCCGCUGCUCGUGAGAGUCCGCUUAUUGCCGAAAAGCAUAUGAUUGACUUGACUUGUUACAAUGAGAAGAAAAAUUAUGCUGCUAGAUCUGAGCCUGUGACGCCUGCUAUGCCGAAAAUGGCUAGUAUGAAUGCUAAUAGGAUUGCUCAGCAUAGAGGUUCUGUCAUGCCCUCAGUGCCCAAGUGUGUACCAAGACGUUCGUUGGGAGCUAAGAACAGUUCACCUUUGGAAAAGCUUGCUACUAUAAAGAGCGAUAAGGUGGACUUUGCUGCUAAAGUGGCACCAAGGCAUAAUCAUCCUGCUGCUGAGACUGGUUCGUGUGCUAAGAAAGAGGAGACUGCUCGAGUGAGCAAUUGUGAGAAAUCCAACAAGCCUAUUUCUAGAGAAGCUGCUGAGAUCUAUGCGCUUUUGAAGCCAGAUCUGCACGAAGAUAUGGAUAUGUGUGCCAAGCUUGUUAAUGGCGUUAGAGGGGUUAUUUGUCCAAGUUCGUUUGUGAACCAUACGACCCAAUAUAAAAAGACUUAUCUGCUUGCUAUGAUGCAGAAAACGACAAUUUUGGCAGCCGAGUUUAUGCUUAAUAACCAAGAGGAUACCAAGACUGCCAAAGAGGUGGCAAAAACUAUAGCAGAUGAAGCUUAGAGGUUAUAGUUUGAGCUCGUUCUUUGAAAGGGUCUAAUGUAUAUGCCCUCACUUCUCUGUAGCUUGAGACCGCUCACCAAGAAUGUCACACCCUGAUCCCAACAUACGUCGCAAAUCAACACGUGACAAAGAAAAAAUAACAUUCGUUGAAUAUGACAUACCAUACGGAAUGAAAUACUUUAACUGCAACCCAAACUAAAAAAGAAGGUGGCUAAGUUCUUCACAAGAUAUUUACGAAUAUGUACAUCCCAAAAAGAAGCAUAAUCUUUGCUUUACUAAGAACAAGAACAAGUUUGAAGUGCUCAAAAGAAAGUCCCAAAAGAUACAGUACAAGGUGAAUCAAGGGUAACCUAACGCUCCACAUCUCUGAUAACCACACUACUACCCCCACCUACGGACUUCUCGGAGUCUACUCAAACCUGUCACCUGUAUGAUCACUGCCUACACCAUCGGAAUGGUGCAUUGGGCAAACAUCAACCCGGAUAAGCUGUGAAGCUCAUGUGAGUGACAAUAAUACAAAGUAUGUGAUACAAUAAUAAAACCAAUCGUUAAUCACAAUUUAUAAACCUUGAAUAUAAAUCAUGCAUGAGAAAUCAACACCAAACUUUUGAAAACUCUGAAUAAGUCACCCCAGACAUUCAACGAUUCGUCUGAAACAAUCACAACAUCUCACAACCAUAUUCUCAUACAACACAAUGAAAGGUAGGGUUAGGGCAACAUAGUUCAGCCGAAACCUACACCUUUGAAGCUAUCUCAAUCCAAACUCAAUAAAACCCAAGGUGGAUACGAUCCCGGACCAUCACUCUAUGGAAUCGCAGAGUAUGAGGGAUUCCAGAUCAUCUCUCAACGAAAUUCGAGUGAAUAUGAUUCCAGACCAUCACUCCAUGGAAUCGCAAAGUAUGAGGGAUUCUGGACCAUCUCUCAAUGGAAUCCAAGUGAAUACGAUUCCGGACCAUCACUCUACGGAAUCGCAGAGUAUAAGGGAUUCCGAACCAUCUCUCAACAGAAUCCGAGUGAAUACGAUUUUGGACCAUCACUCAACGAAAUCACGGAAGGCCAACAACCAUAAUGUAUAACGGCUCAAAGAAAUGAGAUGAGACAAGCACAAGUUACUUAAUUUACAAAAGCUCAACUAAGGGAAAUAAGGCACAACUACUAAAUUUAGAACGAAUCAACGAAGCGGGAAAUGAAACAAUAUCGAAGCAACAAUCCUCUUCAUAAUGGGUUAUGGCCCACCAUUAGCCUUCACAUUUCAUCACAUCAUGCCAAUCAAACAAAUCAAACCAUAUUUCAAUAUACAUACAUCAAAUCUCAUUUCAUAACUUGAAUCAAUGGCUAAGCAUUCAAAAUAACAAUUCAAUAGAAAACAUAUAUAUAAAACCAAGUCAUAUCUACACAUGAUAACAAUUACGAAAACAAGGUAAUCACCAAUAUCACAUAUGUUAAAGUCACUCACCUAGAGUCCACGCUAAUGCACCCUAGCAUGAGAGUCAAGGCAUCACGUUCUAUCACCGCCUAAACAAGGUACAAGUCCAUAUUUAGAUUUCAUUCGAUAAUUCACAUACUUAAAAACUCUCAUAUGUCUCCCACAACAACAUUUAAUGAGGAAUCGAACCGUCAUUCUAAGAAUAGGGUCCAUGAUCUUUCAUCACUUAUUCUGUAAGAUCUAAUCACUGGGUUUUCACUUAUAAGUUCCUAAGGUCCUUAAACAAUAUCUACCAAAGCAUACUAAAAUUGGGUUUCAAUUCAAUGGUAAGAUUGUUAGUUGCUAGAAUAAUCAAUUGGUGGACCUUAUCGAUAAUAUACUCAACCAACAGCAUUUUCAUAAAUCGAAUGUCACACAUCGGGAAAUUUGACUUUUUCCAAAAAUUCUCAAAUUUUACAAGAAUGAAGAUCUCAACAAGUAGAGUAAACUUUAUAGCUGUGGCCGAGUCCAAUUUGGCCGGGAAGGACCUUAAAUUCGCUCGCACCCGUCGAAACCCUAAGGUGGGUGUUCUUCAAUUCGGCUUCCUUGGUGUUCCAACGCCCCACCCACCAGUUGGGUCUUGUUCCUAGGUCCAAGGGAAGUUGAUUAAGGGUUAUGAUGAAUGGUGAUACUCUCCGGAACGACAAUUUGUCGUCGAGAACCCCCGGGUUCUCCUGUGGAGUUCUACCCGAAUUAGGCCUUAAAAAUCCUUGUUUUUUGGGGGAGAUGGAAGGAAGAAGAUAAUUGAGCAAGUUGCAGGUGAAUGAGAUAGGAAAAUCAUAUGAGAAAUGGAGGAAUUGGCCUGAAAUUGGCCGCUUUGAAAGUGUGCUGGUGGAGCACACGGGUUCACAAAUGGGGGAGGGAGGAUUUUUUGCUUUUCUCCCUUUACUUGGUCCUUUCUACCCCCAAAAAAUCUGAUUGUCCCCUUUUUAUUAUUAGACUAACUUAAUUUUUAGCCCACAUGUGGAAUUUAAACAAUUCCCACAAUCUAUAGUUCACAACUUCAAACGUCAGUAACUAUACCGUUAUAAUUCGGACUCGUAAACGGUUUUCGCCUAUGCGUUCGUGGGUUCGAGAUCUAUUUAAAAACACUAGUUGUAACUUUGAAAUAUCAUCGAAAGAUAAGGAUUGAUUAAGAAACUUCCAACUCGAUAACUAACCAAUUACUAAACUUAAAAUUAACGGAAUUGAAAUUAACUAAUAAAGAUAACGUAAUCGCGAAAUACGAAUUUAAAAUACGAGAUACGUAAUGAAUGGUGAAAUUCCAGGGAUGGGAUUUCACAAAGAGAUCGUUGACUUGAAUAAUAGGCUUAACGCGAUCCAAGUUAAGCAUGAAAGUGCAGAGAAUGAGAUUGGAUGUUACAUACCUCAGAUUCAAGAUCUUAAGCAUGUUGUUUCUGAGCUUCUUUUCGUUGCUUACGCAAAGGAUGAAGAGUUGAUUGUUGCCUAUAAUCAAGUGAUCCACUUCAAGAAGAUCGUCGAUAGGCUUGAACCCUAAGUGUUGGAACUCCAAGGUGCACUGAAGAUCAAUGAAAGUCUGAAGAAGGAAGUGGAUGAACUGUAGCACGUCCGUGUUGGUUUGCUCGAGGAGAAUGAACAGCUGAAGGGUGAGAAGUCUAGGCUCGAGGCUUCGCUUUUUCAGAGUCGGGCUGAUUUCUACAAGCUAGGUUAUGUAAAUUAUCUCUUUGGUAGGUCUUUUGACUUUGAGUUUGCUAGGAAAGAUUUCGAGACCUUCUCUAUUUCUCCGGAAGACUUGAUUGCCUUUACUUUUGAGGCUUCCAUUGGUGAAGUAGUCAUAAAAGUUGGUUCCCAAGCUGGAGCAGCUGGGGAUGAAGCGUUGGAUGAUGCCACUGCUGAGAACAUUGCAGAUACUAAAGGUGUGGCGACCGAGUAGUCGUGGGAUGUCCAAGCUUUAGUGCACUCGGUAGCAGCUUUAGGGUUCCAAGGCAACCAUCCAUAGGGCGUACUGCGUAAUGUGUCUCCUCCAUCUCUGAGGCCCGAUCCCCCAAGGAUUUCUGAAUUCCUCGUUGAAAAAAUAGUGAAACAAAAGAAAACUUAGCUGUAAGGUAGGAACUGCAUAACAACUGGAUAGUUAUCGGCUUGUGAGGUGGUGCCCGUCGAGCUGCUUGAGCCUUUGGGCUUUAAUGUAGUGGGAGGUCACACAUGGUACUUCCUCAUAUUGUAGGCAUUCCACUGUUUUUCGAUCUCUUUGUUGUUCAUGUUGGCAAGGGUGUAGCUACCCUUGUCGCCUACUUUGUUAAUCUUGUACGGACUUUCCCAGAUGGGAUUCAUCUUUUUGGAUCCUUCUCUGCGGGCAGUGAUGAAGGCUUUUCUUAGGACUAGAUCUCCAGGCUGAAACUGCCGAAUCUUGGCUCUUUUGUUGUAACUGGAGAUGAGCUGCUGCUGGUAGGCUGCGAUACGAGUGAUGACCUUAUUGAGUUUCUUCUCUGCCAGAUCUAAGUUUGUGGUCAUCUUCUUUCUGUUUUGCUCUAUGCUUGUCAUUAGAGUGUUGAUACUUGGCAUGAUGAUAUUGGAAGGAAUGAUUGCUUCUGAAGCAAAUGCCAAAGAGAAAGAAAUCUCACCAAUUGCUCGUCGUAUGGUUGUGCGAUAUGCCCAUAGACAUCCAGGAAGUUCAUCUGGCUAUUUUCCCUUCUUGUCAAAAAAGGAUUUCUUAAGGCACUCGAGAAUCAUCUUGUUAGAUGCUUCGGCCUGCCCAUUGCCUUAGUGAUACCUUGGCGUGGAUAUGUGCUGCUUAAUGCUAUAUUUAUGAAAGAACUUCGCCAAAUUUUUGCCAACGAAUUGCAGGCCAUUAUCUAUGACGAUGGAUUGAGGGAUGCCAAAUCGGCAAAUGAUGUUUCUCCAUAUGAAGCACUCUAUGUUUGUCUAAGUUAUGGUUGUCAUGGGCUCUGCUUCCACCCACUUAGUGAAGUAGUCAGUUGCCACGAUCAUCAUGCCUCUGCCCCCAGUAGCGGGCGGCAUUAGCCCUACCAAGUCGAUUGCCCACUGCAUGAACGGCUAAGGAUUCGUCUGUGGGUGUAGUUCGUUGGCAGGCAGUGCUGGUACCGGCUUGUAGUGUUGGCAGCGGUCGCACUUUUGUACUAACUCAUUAGCGUCUUGAUGCAUAGUAGGCUAGUAGUAGCCUGCGUUAAGAGCCUUCUGUUCUAAGGAUCAGCCUCUAAAGUGAUUUCCACAAACACAUUUGUGGAUUACACUUAGAACCUUUAGGUUGUCAGGAGGUGCUAGGCAACGGAGAUGUGGUCCAGUGUAAGAUCUUCGGACGAGAAUGUCGUUCCACAUGUAGUAACGUGUUGCUUUUGUUUGAAACUUUCUAAACUCCAAUCUUUCCAUGGGGAGUGUGCCAUUGACCAAAUAGUCUAUAAUGAAAUCUUGCUAGUUUGGAGUUGUACUAACCUGUGACACCUCGGCUACUGGCUCCACCUUUAUGCUUGGCUUGUCUAAAUAUUCCACCGAAAUAAAGUAUUUGCGUUAGCGAUCGAGGGCAAAGCCUAAGCCGGCUAGUGCGUCCAUAUAGACGUUGUCUGCCGGCGGAUCUUGAGUGAAGGUGUAAGUCCUAAACGCCUCAAGUUGAUUUCGUACCUUCCCUAGGUACUGCGCCAUCUUUAGAUGUUUUGCCGAGUACUCCCCAGUAGUCUGGCUGGUGAUUAGCUGGGAAUCAUAAUGAAUUGCAAGCUUUUUCACCACCAAGUUUUUUGCUAUUCGGAUGCGUGCUAGUAAGGCUUCGUACUCUGCUUUGUUGUUAGACGUUUUGAAGCCUAUAGUGAUUGCCUACUCAAGCAUCGAACCGUCUGUGGUGACAAGGACCACGCCUGCUCUUGAGCUCUUGUAGUUGGAUGCACCGUCGACGUGCAAAUGUCAGAAGUCUCCAUCGGGUGAAGCAGGUGUGGCUAAGGCGCGCUCGGUUGCCUAGGAGGCAUUGUUGGGUCACUUUGUUGCGUCGCUUAGGAUAGGCAUGAAGGUGCGAUAAGGAGUUGUGAAGCUAUGGCCAUGUUACACAUAGCACGAGAUGCUCAACUGCCAGUAUUGGGCCACUCUAGAACUGAAUUAUGAAGCAAGGGUUGGCAAGGGCCGUGUGACGUGUAGCAGGAGGUGGUGCUUAACUGCCGGUACAUGUUGCUCCUAUGUAGAAUCUUUUGGUGCGACGAUGACAAAACUUGUUUCCGAGUGUGUCUUUCUAGUGUUCGUUUACCCUUGGCGCGCCUUUGGGGCUGAGUUGUUGUGUUCGUAAAAAAACGUUGCAUUUGCCAGUGUCUGCACCUUUAUCGCAGCGCGUCUGGAUUUGGUGGAAUAGUGUAUCAUAAGGAUGACUGCAUGCACCUGAAGGUAUAACUUGAGCUUCCGGGUUGCAACAAUUGUCACUAAAGUUGGCUUUUGAAUUUAUGGUAACUGGUUUUCGCAUUGAGGAGAGUUUUUGAACUGCUGAAUACAGGUAGUCGGGCCCCCAACUCUUCUCAUGUGAGGGCAGAGCUUAUUGCUACUUUAGAUACCGUCAAACAUCUAAAUAGGUUCUCCGCUGCUUCCGGUUUGGAUAGUAGGGAGGUGAUGCCAGGUACUUCUUCAGGUCUUUGAAUGCUUUCUUACACUUGUCGUCAUGUUCGUCUUAUUGCUCUUUUUCGAUUGAGUAAAAAAAAAGUCUCACGUUGAUCGGUGGACUGCAAGGGUAAAAGGUUGAGUACGGCUACUCAUCUGGUCAGACCUUGAAUCUCCUUCAGAGUAGUGGGGGAGAUCGCUCGGAUUUACCUUGAAUGUGCAUCGGUGAGCCUCGUCCCAAAGUGCAUGCUUAUCUACCAGAGCGAAAGAAUUUGCUAGAUUUAAAUCUUCUUUCAGGAUCAAGUUUUAGAACAACAGGUAGUCUGUUGAGAGUCAUUUUUAGAAGGCUGCACUAGCUAUCGAGUUGUUGCAUCCGACUAUCUUUGCCUUCUCUACUUUGAACCUCUUCAUAUAGUAGUGAAUCAACUCCUUUGGGUUCUUCUUGACAUUGAACAAGUGGUCGGACUUCUUCUUGAUCGAGCAUUAUGAUGAAUAUUCUUUGGUGAAAACCAAAGAAAUUUCGUCGAAACUCCAGAUGGAUUGUGGCGGCAGGGUAACCAAUUUUGCACCUCGCCUUAUAGAGCGGUGGCGAAUAUCUUGCCCAUGAGAGCAUCGCUGUUCUGAUAAAGGAUCAUUAUGCUUCGGUAGUACUUUAGGUGUCUCUCCAAGUCUCCAUCCCCUUUGAAGGAUAUGAAAUGUGGCAUACUGAACAUACGUGAAGGCUUUGCCUACUCGAUCUUGUCCGUAAAGGGUGACCAGCUUAUAUUGGUCAUGUCCCAUCGUAGCGCCUCAUCAGUGACCUUGUUGCGUUGGAAAUCGUGUAAUCACUCGAUCAAUGGUCUCUCUACUUCUUCAUGAAUUUUUCUUCGUUGGGGUAGCGAAGCUCUCGGCUGCCCCCGGUCUUAACCUGCUGGUCUAGGCUGCUCUUCCAUAUGUUCGACUCGUCUAUGUCGCGGCUACGGUGCAUGUGGUACAUUCCUAGCAAGCAAACGAGUUCUUCGCAGGCUGCCGGUUGAACUUCAGCUGGAUUGAGUGAUUGCUUCUCUCCGUCCCUCGUGUUGUCUACUCCAAUGUGAGGUGGAAGAUGCUCCUUACAGGCUUAAUCGCAAAUGAACACUUCGCCUGGAAGGUUACUCAUGUUGGUUAUCAAAUUGUGGCCCCAAUCAUGAAUGUAUGCUUGUCAGUGGGCCUAAGCAAAAGUGCACGUUCCUCCGCACGUUAAGACGGAAGUAUUCGUUAUCUCGGGGACCCAGUUGGGAGUGUACAUUGCCAGAACUCUCGCUUCGUGACUAGUCAAGUGGUUGUUUGCCAGGAGGCUGUGGAAGGGGCUCGUCUUUUGCCUUUGUCCUACUUUGGGACACCUCGUCUAGGGCACGUUGCAUCUAGGUGCGCUGCAAUAGCUGAUUCACCAAGGUUGUCUAUUGUGCAAGGGCGCUUGUCAACUCUAUGACUUGUCGAGACAAGUGUGGUUCGCCAUUCGGGUUGGAAGAUCUUGGACGGUAUACCUCUCCUUAAGUUAUAGAACUGUAAUUGACUCCGAGCGCGAAAUUUAAGUUGGGAUAUAUCAAAUCUAUGAAGAAAUGAGGUGAAAGUACCCCUAGUUCAAUCAUCAGUCUAGAAAUCUGAAGUCGGGAUGGUUGAACCGAUCUUAGACCGGUUUGGAUUGCUUGGAAGGCCACGGGAGUGAACCGAACCUCGGGUUAAACCAAGGGAGCGGGUCAGUGAUAUAGAUAACCCUCUCACCUAUUCCAUGCCAUGAAUAGUCCUCAACAAGCUAUAUGGAACACUACAAUGAAUGAGGAAUUAGAAUCGAUGUCAUAUAACAAUGUAUGGACAUUAGUGGCUUCUAAUCCUCAAAUCAAGGCUAUAGAAUGCAAAUGGAUCUAUAAGACCAAGAGAGAUGCUUAGGGAAAAAUUGAGAGGUACAAGGCCAGAUUGGUUGCUAAAGGUUUCACUCAAAGAGAAGGAGUUGACUACAAUGACGCGUUUUCACUUGUCUCUUCCAAGGAUUCUAUGAGAGUUAUAAUGGCACUUGUUGCGCAUUUUGACUUAGAACUACAUCAAAUGGAUGUGAAGACUACUUUUCUCAAUGGUGAAUUGCAGGAAACCAUUUACAUGAAGCAGCCUCAUGGAUUUGUUGAAAGGGGGAAAGAUGACAUGGUCUGUGAUAAGAGCAUAUUUAUGCAACUUAGUUAGCUUGUUUCUUGGCAUUUACUUAGUUUAAUUCUAGUUAUUUUAGUACUUUAAGCUAUUUUUGUGUGUUUGUAGGUUCAAAUAACAAAGUUAGCAACAAAGUGCUAUUUGGAGCAUUUUGGAGCAUUUUUGGGCCAAGAUUGGAUAGUGCAAGCAUGGAGACAUGAGGAUGAACGUUUUUGAAGAUUUGAAGGCUAGAAAUCAGCAUGUGUGUGUGCAAGUGUGUUGACCUACAACUACAAACAUUCAUCCACUACACCCAUUACAUCCACUCAUUACCAAACAUCCAUCCACUACACCCAUUACAUCCACUCAUUACCAAACAUUCACCCACUACACCCAUUACAUCCACUCAUUACCACAACAUACACCACUACCACCUUAAUUAGAUGAUGGUCCUCUCCCUAUCCUAUAAAUACAUCCACCUUUCACCAUAACAAGGGGGGAUCCAUCCAAAGACCUUACAUUCAUCCAUAUAUUCCCACAUCCCCCAAACACUUACAAUUCCAUUCCUUUGCCGUGGCUCUCAUCCAACCUAAAUACAUUCAUAACCUUUCCAUAUAUCCAUACACAUCCUUAGAUACUUGUGCUGCAACAAGGUGGUGAAAACGAAGAUCCUUGGCAUUUCAAGCUUGAAACUUUGGAGCGUUUUAGGUGUACUUCGUUUUUGCUUUUAAUGUCUACUUUGUUAUUUUCUGAUUUUGUUGCAAUUAUGAGUAACUAAACCCCCCAUAGCUAGGGGAAUUCGAAACCAUGUUCAUGCUUGCAAUAUGAUUUGAUUACUUUCAGUUGUGAUUCAUAAGUUGUGAAUUCAAUUUACUUAUCCAUUUGAAUUAAAACUGAUUUGUGUUUAUUGGUUGAGAGUGCACGCUUAAUUUUCAUGCAUAAAUCUGAUGCUAGGAUAUAAGGGAGUUUCACCUAAUCGUUAUGAACUUAUAUUCACAAGUAGUAAAGGUUGCUCGUCACAACCUUGUUAAGUAAAUUCUUGGCAUAAGUUUCAUGCAAUUCAUAGUUACAAGUGUUUCGUCAAUGCUUAGGAUUUUCAUAGAACUUAAUUAUUCUUGCUUGUAUCUCUAUUAUGCAAUUCUUGUGGGGAAUGUUUUGGGUUCUUGUAUGCAAUCAUCCAAUUCAAUGAAAUUAGGAAAAUCUGAGGGUUAAUUAGUGCAAUUCACAGUUAAUAUAGGGCGUUGAGAAUUCGUAGUUUAUUGAAAAGCAACUGGAAAUCGUUUUGUUUGCAAGUGUGUCAUGUGUGGAGAAGAACCUUCUAGCUAGCCUUCCAUCAAUUUAAUUUACUCAAAUUCGUACAGAUUUACUUGUUUUGUUUUCAAAUUCGUCAAAACCAAAACCCCCUUUACCUUGUUGAGUCAUAGUAGUUAGAAACUAAUUUAGUUUGUGUUUUUAAGUGUUUCGAACCAAGUUAAAACCAAAAUUCGUCCAAAAGUGUGUUUAGAGUCCAAAUCAACCUAGUUUGUGUUUUUAGGCAGAUUUGAGCUUUUUUAGCUUGUUUUGAGUCUUUUGAGUUUGUUUUGAGUUCUUUGAGUCUAUUUUAGUGUUUUUAACUUUGUUUAUAUGUUUUUAAGUCAGUUUAGAGGUUAUUAGCAAGCCUUCCUAAUCCCCGGUCCAGAACGAUCCAUACUUACAUUCUUUACUGCAAUUGAUACAAGAGGGUUUAAUUUGUGUGUUAAGUUAAUUUUUGCAUCAGUCUGCAAACUCAACAAGUCUAUUUAUGGAUUGAAGCAAGCAUCAAGACAAUGAUUUUUGAAAUUUGAUCAAGUUGUUACAAGACAUGGUUUCGUGGAAAACAAGUUAGAUGAUUGCAUUUAUAUUAAGUGGUCAGGUUCAAGCUUUAUAAUUUUAGUAUUAUAUGUUGAUGACAUUCUACUUGCGAGCUCUAACUUGAAGCUCCUUAAGGACACCAAGCACAUACUCAGCAAGAACUUUGAGAUGAAAGACCUUGGAGAGGCACACUUUGUGCUUGGCAUUGAGAUUGUCUAUUAUAGGUCCAAAAAGCUUCUUGGAUUAUCACAGAAGGGGUACAUUGAGAGAGUUUUGUUAAAGUUUAACAUGGAAAACUGUAACAAUGGUGAAGUACCUGUGAAUAAGGGAAACAAAUUUUCUAAGGCUCAGUGUCCUAAAAUGAAAUUGAAGCUAGAUAAAAUGCAAUACAAGCCUUAUGCUUCAUUGGUUGGGAGUCUGAUGUAUACAACUAUUUGCACUAGACCGACAUUGUUUUCAUAGUAGGAAUGUUGGGUAGGUUUCAAGCAAAUCCAGGAAAGUCUCAUUGGGUUGCUGUGAAGAAAGUUUCAAGGUACUUUCAAAGAACCAAGAAUUACAUGUUGGUUUAUGGCAGAGAGGAACUUUUGGAGCUAGUUGGCUACACAGAUUCUGAUUUGGGCGAGGAUGUGGAAGACAAAAAAUCCACUGGAAGUUAUAUUUUUAUACUUUGUGGUGGUGCAGUCUCUUGGAAAAGUGCGAAGCAGACUAUCAUAGCAACAUCUACAAUGGAGGCAGAGUUUGUAGCCUGCUUUGAAGGAAUGAAACAAGUUGUAUGGUUAAAGAAUUUUUUGAUAGAUAUGACUGUUGUCAAUUCUAUGCAAAGGCCUAUUAAAAUGUAUUGUGACAACAAUUUUGCAGUAUUCUUUGCCAAGAACAAUAGGAGAACUUCAGCUUCAAGAUUGAUGGAUGUAAAGUUUCUUAAGGUCCGAGAAAAGGUUAGAGAAUGAGCAUUUCAGGUGGAGCACUUGAGUACUGAUGCGAUGAUUGCAGAUCCUUUAACCAAGGUAUUGCCAAUUGGAGUGUUUAAAGCUCAUGUCUCUCGGAUGGGAAUACUUGAAUCAUUUUAUCAAUGGGAGUGAUCUGUUACAAAGUGACUAUCAGAUUGCUGUUGUGAAGUUCAGAGAGCUGGUGCAGCAAUAUAGACAGGUUUUAUGUUUAAAUUUUAAAGAUUAUGGCUAAAUAAAGAUAGUAUCAGGUUAGCUAGCCUUGUUUUCAGUUUAUUUUAUUUUUCGAAUAGAGAUCAGUUAUGUUGGUCUAUUGUUUUGAGAAAUAAAGUUUGAAAUAAUUCAUUUGAUGCUUUUAUAAUGGUUAGUUUGUUUAAAGCACUUGCUGAAUUAUUGAUUCAUAUGUUGUUUUGGAGCAAUGGUUUGUCUUUAAAUCUUGCUGCCAAUGGUAUGAAAUAGUGGGAGCAAAUUAUUACAUGUUUGCUUAUAAAGAUCAGGUUCACAAUGAUAAGAAUACAGAUCGAAUAUAUGUAAUUCUGGAAAACUGUUUUGCAUUAUGGUUGCAAUUUGAGUUACAAAGUUCUAUAUUUUGAAAUGUAUGUAAGUGGUUUGUGAUUGAAUACUCUUGAUACAAGACUUGGUGAUCACUUCUAUCUAAGAAUUGAAUAAGUCGGGUACUUGAAACUGUUAUCAUAGUCAAGUGGGAGAAUGUUAGAAUGAGUAUGAGAUAGAGAAGUUUUAGGGACCGGUUAUGGGUAUUUAGUUUGGUAGAAGAGUCUUGUUGAUAAGAGGUAUGUUGAUCCUUGCUUUAAAAGGAUUUUGUAUAUCAUUCAGAUCUUUUGGAACAAGGAAACAAGUAUCUGUUUCCUAUCAGGAUUUUAAUAGGGAAUCCUAUCUAAUUAUGGAAUGGACUAUAUGUAUAUAUAUAGUUGCCUCUCUUCUCACAUAAUAUAUGCCUAUAUUUGGGAUUGAAACCUAUUUGUAAGUCGCUUGAUGCUUGAUGUAUUUUCCAGGGGAUUUCUAUAAGUCAAAAUCAGGGGAUUUCUGUAAGUCUAAUUCUUGAACAGCCAUUAAGAAUAAGAGUCUCAACUGAUUUUGACUUAAUGAAAUCCCCUGGAAAAUACUCAAGCAUCAUGCAGUCUUGAAGAUUUACCAACGGAAGUCUUUAAGAUGCCCAAUGGAUGGGUGAAUCUCAGACAAUCUUAUACAGUUUACUAAUAUCAGUUUUUCAAGAUUAGGGACUUUGGAAUUCUGGUGAUUCUGUUAGGUAAUAGGACUGACUGAGAUUGAUGAUUUUCAGAUUCUUGAGCAACUGAUAGAAAAAAACAGAACAAAAUAAAAAUUCAAAUAGAAGAGAGAGCAAAAUAUUGGCAUUCACAGAAACUGAGGAAAAUAAUUAAUAAUUUAUUUGAGAUCAUAUCAUACCACGUUAGUAUCCUCCCAAACUCGUAUGAGUUUGCUAUAGCUCAGGUCAACAGCAACUAGGUUUGGUUGAUCAAAAUCUUCACGUAUGACCUUCAGAGGAAAUCCAUGCCAACACAACCAUCUUAACUCUUUGGAAAGAUUGUGGUAACUUCCACAGCUUUAUGUUAUUGAAUUUGAGCAAUCUCAGACUUCGCAUCUUUCUAAAUGCUUCUGUACUGAAACUUGAAUCAUCAGACCCUCACUAAACUAAAGCAAGUCCUUCAAUUGCGACAGUUCCCUAUUCAAGGUAAAAAAAGGAACAAAGUAAGACAGAAUUUAUUUUGACAUGAAAAGAGAAUUUAUACACAUGAAGAAAACUGGAUGUAUGAACUACAAGCCAUGAAUUAGAAUUCAGUUCUGAAUUUCACCAAAUUAGUUAGGUAUCUUAGUCGGCAUCUUAGUCGGCAUCUGUUACACGGUGUUACUUUACCUAUUACAAACCCCAGGUGACAAGAUCCCCGGAAACACACCCUUUUGCCUCACACCACUUUACCACCAUCAUCCAUCCAUUAUUUCCAUUUCUUCCACAACAUCUUGAGCAGUACUGCUUUUAUUCAUCCCUUGGUCAUCAAGAGCUGGAGGAUUACUAAAGUUAUCAUAAUUUGGAUAACUAAUAAUACUGUGUGGGGAAGAAGAUGUGGUAAAAGAAUUUGACCGUGGUAAGCCGGUGAGGCGUUGGACACAGUCGCUGAAAUCGCUAAGGUUUGCUUGGAUGACAUUCAGGUGCACCGAAUAGAUUACGACCGGCUGAUGUGAUUGGUUUUAGUACAACUGGAGGUUUGUUGAUCUAGUGAGAGUCUAUGUGUGUAUCUUGAGAGGCGUUGGACGUGGACCCUUGAGUUGAAGCUCUCUUCUCGGAUAUACAAAUGGAGAUUGGUUGAUCUUGUGAGAGUUUCUGUGUAUCUUGAGAGGCGUUGGACGUGGACCCUUGAGUUGAAGCUCUCUUCUCGGAUAUACAAAUGGAGGUUUGUUGAUCUUGUGAGAGUUUCUGUGUAUCUUGAGAGGCGUUGGACGUGGACCUUUGAGUUGAAGCUCUCUUCUCGGAUAUGCAAAUGGAGGUUUGUUGAUCUUGUGAGAGUCCCUGUGUAUCUUGAGAGGCAUUGGACGUGGACCUUUGAGUUGAAGCUCUCUUCUCGGAUAUUUUUCUGUUGAAUAAUCCAUGCCGUUGAAGGUGAAAUAAGGCUGUAAUCUUUCCCAUUUAUCCAGUUCAGUUUUCCAUUCACUUCUGCUUUUUGUAUGCAGACAAGAACCUAAGACUUCGAGUGCUAAUGGCAAACCUCCACAGUAGCCAACAGCUUUUCUUGAGAGCUCAACAUACUCUUCACCAGGAUAAUUCUUUUUAAAGGCAUGCCAACUAAAUAGCUCAAGAGCUUCUUCUUUGUUCAUUUCUUGCACACGACAUAUCGCCUCCAGAUUAAGUAUCUUUAGCAAAUCUUGAUCUCUUGUCGUUAUAAUAAUUCUACUUCCUGGACCAAAUGAGUCAUGCUUUAUAGCUAAUGCAUCUAACUGUGCAUCGCUGUCUACAUCAUCUACUAUGACAAGUACUCUUUUGUUGCCAAGUCUUCUUUUAAUCUCCUGGGUCCCUUCAUCGACCCCACUAACCUUCAUGUUUCCCGAUCUCAAGAUAUCAGAAAGAAGUUUGUUUUGUGAAUCAACCAGUACCUUAUCUUUUCUCACAUUUGGAAGAAAACUUCUACCAUAAAACAUGUGCUGAUAUUUGUUGAAAAUUACUUUUGCAACAAUUGUUUUACCCAGUCCGCCCAUACCCCAGAUUCCAAUGAUACGGACAUCAUUUGAUCCUCCAACAUCUAAAUAAUUACUGAUUUCUUGCACGCGAGAAUCCAUUCCAACUGGGUGUAUGGCUACGUCCAAGUAAUUGCUUCUCAGUUCUCUACUGAUUCCUUCAUACCUGGUAUAGGUAAAAUUCAAUUCAAAAUUAAGCAAAAGUAAGAUUUACUAAUAAACGGUACAAUUAAAUUGAACUAAAAUCUUACUCAUUAUAACUAGAGAGCUUGGGAGUGGAAGAUUUGAUAGGCCAAAGAUGAAUCAAAAUCUUCGAAAACCAUUAAAGCAUUAUAAAUUUCAGAACUUACAUUUAUACAGGCAUAAAUGUGUAAAAUCAAAUAUUUGAUUCAUGUGGUUGGCUCAAUAUCUGACCACACAUGACACACAGAAUGUGUUCAUAAAUUCUCAUGGAAGAGUCUGGAAGCUCUACAUUGCAAUGAGUAAAAUCAAAUACUCAAAGCCGCAGUUAUAAUAAUUUCAUUGUUUGUUCGACAUUUGAUAAAUAUGAGAGUUAAAAAGACCAAUACCUUACGUAGCCAAUUAAUAACUUUUGUUAGAAAGAACUAAAGGUAGUACGCAUGAUUGUGUACAAAAAAAUGGGCCCGGAAAUUUAAAAAAAAAAAAAUACAGGAAAGGAAAAAAGAAAUAAGAAAGUACCCAUCAGCUCCCAAUAACCAAUCCGGAUGUAGGCCAAAAUCGUAUAGACGAAAGUCUGAAUUAUGCAUAUUCUCCUUCAUAAAUUUGUCCCAUACUAGAUUAACCCCUACUUUCUUCACUCUCACAGAAGCAUCUGCAGUUUCAACAGGCAUUACAACUAUAUCGACCUUGUCCCCUCCUUGCAAACUGAGCACAUGGUUCGAUAUCUGUCCCUGCCAAAGAUAAUGGUCAUCAAGUGUACAGGAAGUUGGUACUGAAGCAUAUGUUAUCCGGGCGAGCAAAGCAGUACGCUUAGUUUUAUUGAUAACGAUAAUGCCGAGAGGACCUUCACGUUGUUUCUUUGAAGAGUAUAUGCAGCACAGAGUCAACCCGCUAAAAUUGUGACCAAAAAUUAGAGGUAUGUGAAAACUGACCAGAUCACCCUUGACAAAAUCAAACCAGUCAGGAAUAUAAUUUCCAUUGAGAAAAAUGCCACCAUAUCCGCAAGAAGUCCAUCCCUGUACGAUGUAGAGCCAGAUUUGUAACAAAAUACAUUGUUAUGUAUGCAUGUGUCAUAUAUAUGUGCUGCUGUGUGUGUGGUAGAAAGAGAAAGAACAGGCUAGAUAGAAAGAGACCUGAAGGAUGUUCUUCCUAAAAUCAGCAGUGAGAUUGAUGCACCCUUCCAAAUGAAUUCUUGUCAUCGAGUUUAAUGACAUAUCCGAGCCCGGAAUCUCUGUGAGUUUGCAUGAAUGACUUAGAUACAACUCUCUCAUAUUCAACAACUCUGAAAAAUCUGGCAUUGUUUCUAAUGAAGUGCACAAACCCGCUCGCAAGACUUUCAAAGUUGUUGGUAAAUUUGGGAUUGCAUGUAGGUUUGUGCAAUCAUCUAAACACAAUGUUUCAAGCUUAGAAAGACCAAUGAGGCUUGGUAGGCUACAAAAACUAUUUUUUCGAAGAUCUAAAUCUUCUAAAGAAAUUAGACUCCCAAGAUCCUUCGGGAUUUCGUCAUCGGUUAAAGUGCAGCAUCCAAGAUCUAAUUUCCGUAACGAGUUUAAGCAAUGUAAAGAAGGGGGCAAAAGACUAGUUGAUGGUGACUCUUUCACACCAUAUUGAGAUGAAAAACUCAGCUUUAGUAUUUGUCUUAUGGGUGUGCCAUCUGCUGUCUUAUGGUAGCUCUGUCCCAAGCCCUCAGCCAAGUUUUCAAAUCUUGAACAGCCUUUAAGAAGAAGAGUUUCAACAGACUUGGAAUUAAAGAAAUUCAGUGGGAGAUCCUUGAGAUUUUUGCAGCCUUCAAGAUUUACCAAAGUAAGUCUUUCAAGAUUCCCAAUGGAUGAGUGAACCUCAGACAAACUCUCACAAUCAUUCAAUAUCAAUUCCUCGAGAUUUGGGAGUUUUGCAAAGUCUGGUGUUCGUGCCAGGUUAUGGGAAUGACUGAGAUUAAGAAGCUUCAACUUCUCGAGCAACUAUUAGACAAAAGGAAAAACCAAAAUAAACACAAACGGAAAAGAGAAAGCAUGAAGUUGGUGCUUAUAAAACCUGACAGAAAGAAUUAAUAAUUUGGUUGAGGCCAUAUCAUACCAAAUCAGAAUCCUCCCAAACUCGUAUGAGUUUGCUAUAGCUCAGGUCAAUAGCAACUAGGUUAGAUUGAUCAAAAUCUUUUGGUAAGAACUCCAGAGGAAAACCAUGCCAACACAACCAUGUUAACUCUUUGGAAAGAUUGUGGUAACUUCCAGUGAGCUUUAUGUUAUUGAGUUUGAGCAGUCUCAGACUCUGCAUGUUUCGAAAUGAUUCUGCACUGAAGCUAGGCUCGCCAGACUCUUGCAUAUCUAAAGCGAGUCCUUCAACGUCUUCUGUUCCCUAUUACAAACAAACAACUAAAAAUUAAAAAUAAAUAAAAAUAAAAACAAACCAACAACAGCAGCAACAACUGAGGAACUAAGAAAAGGAUUAUUUGCACGGGAAAAGGUGAUUAAUUCAUAUAUCAGAACCACAAAGCCCUGAAUUGGAUGGAUGAACCACAUGGGAGGUAGACAAUUAGACAAUCUAGAACAUGGGCCUCUCAUAGGCAACUUUUAUUAUAUAUCUGCUAUAAUGUGCACAUAUGUCUCGAUAAUAACCUUAAGAGUUGUACUUUAAAACUGUCUACAUUAGUUAGGUAUAACAAAUUGUACUUAACAAGAGCAGGACAUGUGUGAUUCUGUUAUUUAAUUUGAGAUAAUUCAAUACAAUCGGAUCCUUUGUUGUCUCUUACAAGUUCCUUUCUCUGCUACAUUAGUACGCGCACUUUAACAUCUAAUUUAAUUGCAAAAGUACUUACAGAUUCCUUCAUCAAUACGUCAGUUAUAUCUUCAUUAUGCCACAAUCUGCUACGUUUUCCAGGAUUGUCAGGGGAUUCUGCAUGCACAAUUUCUCUGCCCAUGCCUUGAAUCAAAUCAUGCAUCAUGAGAUUGCCUUCUUUAUCAACAGUUACAAGGCACUGAUCUUGGAGUUCUCGAAUCCCUAUUUCUGGAUAAAACUGACAGCCGUCGAGUACUGUCAUAACAUAGUCCUUGUUCAUUCCAGUAAAGAAACAAGAGAUAUCAAGGAAUAUAGCCUUCACAUCAUCAUCAGUUAGUCCAUCAUAGCUUAUUUCAAGUCUUCUGUGAAUUUCCCGAUAAGGCUGUGAUCUUUGCCAUUUAUCCAGUACAGUUUCCCAUUCACUAGUGCUUUUUGUAAGUAGAUAAGAACCUAAGACUUCAAGUGCUAGUGGCAAACCUCCACAGCAGCCAACAGCUUUUCUUGAGAGCUCAACAUACUCUUCAUUAGGAUAAUUCUUUCUAAAGGCAUGCCAACUAAGUAGCUCAAGAGCUUCUUUUUCAUUCAUUGCUGGCAGAGGACAUAUCUUAUCCACGUCAAGUAUCUUUAGCAAAUGUUCGUUUCUUGAUGUUAUAAUGAUUCUGCUCCCCAGACCAAAGGAGUCAGGUUUUAUAGCCAAAGCAUCUAAUUGUGCUACACUGCCUAAAUCAUCAAUUACGACAAGUACCCUUAUGUUGCCUAACCUUUGUUCGAUCUCCUUGGUCCCUUCAUCCAUACUACUUACCACUAUGUAGGCCGGUUUCAAGAUAUCAGAAAGAAGUUGUUCUUGCAAAUCAACCAGUUUCUUUUCCCUCACGUUUUGAAGGAAACUUGCACCGGCAAAACUAUGAUGAUGUUUGUUGAAAACGGCUUUUGCAACCGUUGUCUUACCC
rnacentral:lncRNA from 1 species